rnacentral:lncRNA from 1 species
CAAUUGUGUUUUAAUAAUGAGAGUCCGGCUACUGUACUAUUAUAAGUACGAUCGCUCUCAUACUCAUAAGUUGUUUUCGAUAAUAGAGCUUCUGAAUUGACGAUCCACACCGUUAAACAUUGUCUAAAGCAUUUGAAACAUUUAGAAAUCAAAUUUUAUAAUUUUUCGAUACAAUUGAGCUACUGUACUAUUAUGAGUAUUAGGCCCUUCGUACUCAUAAGUUGUUUUCGAUGAUGGAGCUUCUGAAUCGACGAUCCACUCCGUUAAAUAUGAUCUAGAGUAUUUGAAAUUUCUAGAAAAUAAAUUUCGUAAUUUUUCGAAAUCAUAAUAAAGUUCAUCAAGCUGGCAUAACAUGAACAGUCAAAAUCGAAUGAUGUCUUAAAAAUGGAUCAUCGGAUCCUUCAAUUUAAGAUCGGAGUUAUUGAUCUUUAUCUAGGUAGUGAAUAGAAUUUUCUAUCAAAAAUUCAAUAAAUUCUGAUUCUUUUACACCGUUAAACUAGCAAAUAUUUCAUACCGGCCGUUAAAAAUUGUCAAUUUUAUGACAUUUUGAUCGUAAGGCAAAUGAUGUCGAAAAAUUAUAAAAUUUGAUUUCUAGAAGUUUUAAAUGCUGUAAAUAAUGUUUAACGGUAUGGAUCGUCGAUUCGAAAGCUCUAUCAUCAAAAACAACUUAUAAGUACGAGGGCGAUCGUACUCAUAAUAGUAUGGUAGCCGGACUCUAUAUAUAUAUAUAUAUACACACACCGCUUGUGAAAUGCACUACCAAGCCAUGGUAUCCUUCGGUAUUAUGUUCCGAAUUUGAAUUAUAAUCUACGUACAAAAUUAAGGCUUAGUUUGCUUCUACGUUCUCCGGUGAGACCGCAGAAAAUAUAUGGUAACCGACUUAUUGUGAUAUGCGGAACACAAUAUUAUGUGCGGAAAUAAAUAGGGUAUUUUUUCAACGUACUUUCUCACCGCAAUCUUCCCGCAAACUCAAACGAAGCCUAAAUAUAUAAAAGUAAAUAAGUCAAUCUAACUUUAUUACAAAUUAAAGGCCCAAAAAACCUACUUGUUCUUUAGGCGAAAAAAGCCCAUUGGGCCUAGAUGCCUCUAACCCUCCAACUAGGCGUCCUUGGAAACGCCAUUUAAUAGCAGUAAUAAUAAUUAUUAUUAAUUAUUAAUAAUAAUAAUAGCAGCUUCCUCUCGCAAAACUACACGACGAAGACGACGACGACGAAGAGGACGACGAGAUCUCUAGCAACCGCAAUGGCGACGAAGGGAGUGGGAGGAGGAGGAGGAGGAAAGGGAGAGGAGCCCGCGUGGGGGGUUCCCUACUACGGCUACGUCCCCGUAGCCGCAGCCGCAGCCGAUCUUCUACGUGGGCGAGAGCCCCUAUCAAUCCGGUAUGAUCCCCCCGAACGCCGUUUUCGGGGACGCGGAGGCGAUCCCCCUCCACCAGACGAUGUUCCGCGACAACCCCGCCCCCUUCAACUGCAUCCACUGUGGCGCCUCCGCCCUCUCCCGCGUCAGGUCCCUCUCUUUCUCUCUCUUCCCCGUCGAUCGCUUCUCCUUCUCCUUGGUUUUGAUUCCUUAUUUCAUGAAUCCUAGGGUUUUGAUUUUGUUGCCGAUUCGAUCGACUCUUUCUCAGUUUUGUUUGAUCGGCGCUUUUCUGAUCACGCGACAAUCGGAAUCGUUUCUAAUCUAUUAAAUUGUUAGGGAUUUACGAAGGAAAGAAGGAUUGAACAAUAGGAUUUAGGGUUUCUUUGUGUCAUGAGAUAAUUUCCAAAUGGAUGAAAUGUUCAAUAAAGUUUAUCGUUAUAUUUAAUGAGCAAUUAUCUUUUAGGAUAUAAAACUUACCUCAACUAUCACCCAUUUUGAUUUAAUUAUCUCACCUCUAAAAAUUUUGAGUUUACUAACUAAUUUUUUUAAUUUAUUUGAUUUGAGCCCGCUAGUGAUACUUUAAGUUCUAAAAUUUGAUCGCGUUGUUUAUCUUUUGUGCAAUUCACAUAGUUAAUAUAUUUUAUGCAAUUCACAUAAUUAUUCAUUUAUUAAAGUAAGCAAUUAGCUUAAAUUUUGUGACCGAAGAGCUUUGUGUCCAAAGAGCCAUUAAAUUAUCUAAAUUAAACAAAUUGAAAGAUUGGGUACUAAAAUCAGAACUUUAAAAGGUCGGAUAGUCGAAUCGAAAUGCUUUAUACUUCAAGUAAGUUUUAUACAUUUUUAACUUAUCUGAGAAUGUAAUGUCCAGUAAUCUUGCCCUUUCUAUUUUGUAGAGAGUUAGUACGUUGAAUCGAUCUCAUGUGCUUUAUUUCACUUUAGGGUUUCAAGAUCCUUUGUUUGGAUUAUAUUAUGCUAGAUUAGAUUAAUUUAAUUGCAGCAACGAAGCAACUGUCACAAGUGCUUAGGUUGUGUUAAAUUGUUAACACCUUGCUUAAUUUGUUCGAACUUUUCUAUAAAGCGACAAGUCAUAGGAAAGCGACUUGUGUGCCGGAUUCUUAUUGCGAGUCUCAACUACAAAACGGCAUGUGUUUAGAUUCUAUGCAGUAUGGUCAAGGAACCGGUAGUUCGUAUGUGGCGCAUAUGCACUAAACGAACAACAUUUUGGAAACACUCUACUUGCCAAUAAGAAAUAAGUAGAAAUCGCACAUUUGCGAAGCUUCUAAGUUCUAAUGGUCAUUUUGGGGUUAUCUCUAUCAUCUUAACAAUUUGUGGUAGACUAUUAUAGACAUAUAUGGUGAUUUGAUGAUUUCUUGUUGGGUAAACAUGAUUUCAACUGCAGUGGUUAUAUCUCGAUUUGGCUUUGAUAUUUCAUUCGUGAUUGCUUUUCUCCUUUUGUGUUAGAAGUAAUGUAGAAAUAUAAUAAUUUGUUUUUAAAUUAUACUGUAAUGAUAAAAUUGAUAUUUUGUUGGAACAUGUCAUAUAAUUCAUUUUGUUUGGGGUAUCAAGUACAUUAAUGUAAAUGAUUAAUAUAAUGUUGAUUAUCUAACUUAAAAGUGGAGGUUCAGAAAACUUGGUAGAUGCAGAUAAGUAAUUUAUGGGCAAUAGUAACAAUCAUUAGCAUGGUAUUACUAAACUGGUUGUAUCUCAUUUGGAUGCAAUUGACCUUUGGAUUCCUGAUUAGUAGUUUCUGUCACAAGCCUGAAUCUUUUGCUUUAGGAAUUUCUUUGAGGUGUUAUUCUUUUCUCCUUUUGGUGGUUGUCACAUUGGUUGGAGUUUUCAGCAUCACACUAGCAUCGAUCUUGUAAUUUCAGUUCUUCGAUUGGAUAUCUCACUGCAGUUCUUUGAACUGACGAGAUAGCUUUGAUAUUUGUUUUAUCUGUCAUUUUGUUCAUUAAUUCUUGCUGCUAGUAAUCGAAAAUAUAGAAAGAAUGAUGUUCGGUUUAACUUCUGCAUAGGUCCAAACCAAGUCUGGCAGCUGUUGUCGCGUGCAUGAUGCCAUUUAUGAUGGGGGUUUGCUUUCUUUACCCCUCCAUGGACUGCCUUUGGCAUAAGUACCACUAUUGCCCUAGCUGCGGAGAAAAGGUAAAUUUUUUUUUUCUUUUUUUUAUCUUUAAUCCUUUUGUUUUUUCUAUUUUGAGUCCCUUUUAAAUAUAGAGCUGCAAUUACUGUGUGUACUUCCAGGUUGCGGAGUUUGAGAAAUCGGAUCCCUGUCUCGUGAUGGACCCGACCCGCUGGAGCGAGGAGAGUUUUGCACUUCCUGCAUAGCUCAAAAUGUGUCAUGAUUCUUUUCCAUCAAAUUGCUUUGCCCUUUCUUUUUUUUCAAAGUUUGAGUUGUACUUCACCUGUAAAUGCAUUGUUUCACACAAGCUGAAGCUUUAUUACUGUUUUCAAAUUUACUUACUUAACCCUCCUGCCUAUUUGUCAUAAGAUGUUGGAUUAGCAAUUGAUCUUGAUCUUCAACUGUAUCAUCAUAAUAGUUAUAAAGUCGGAUUUAGCUCACAAACUUUGAGUUGGAGAACUUUGCAAGGAACUGUGAUCUUAUCUUUUGAGUUUUUAAACUCUUGAGAAUGAUAGGAGCAAGCAAAAUAACACAGUAAGUUUUAGAUUUACAUAUUUUGUAGUGUUUUGUAUUUCACCAAAUCAGUAUUUUUUUUUUCCCGUGAAUUUACUGGAAUUUGGGAGUGUUUGAGCUUUGCCUUAUCAGAUGCAACUUUUUGACUCUCCACGUUCUCUUUAGCAACAGUUUAAGAUGUCAAUAUAAUCUAAUUCCACCUUAAUCAAACAGUCAUAUGCAAUAAUAAGCCAUGCAAUAUUCGUGGCAUUCAUCAAGAAUCGUGUCAGAACCCAAAAAAUGGCAAACUUCUAUUCCCGAUUAAAAGAAUUUCUAUCAUACUAUGUACAACAAAAUGCCACAAAAAUUGUUCCCUCUCGUGUACAAAAAGCGGAGAGAAAAACUCCAGCACAGGAUUUAUAACAGCAGAAUUUCAGAUCAAUAAACCUCAGCCAAAUACCUUGCAUUCUUCCUGCAACUCGCAACAACUUAUCCCCUACCAGCUGCAGCUGUAUGCUGAUAUAUAUAAAUAUAUCCCAUGAUAAAAAAAAAAAGGCGUAUUCUGUGACAAAAAUCGCUAUUGCUGAUACUCUGGCCUCAGAACCCAUCUAGACCCAUGAGCAUCUCUCUGCAAUGUUGCUAUUUCCUUCAGAAGACUCUUAAAUAGCGGCAAAUCCUCCGACCGUAUCCUAUCCUUAAAAUGCUGUGUUAUGCUCCCCGAGUCGGUCGACCCACCUCUUUGUUGCAGAAAUGUACACAGUUGGCGAAUCAAUACUUCAGGUUGCACAACGACAGACCGGCCAUUGGAAACCCUCGAUCUGCUGUUCCUCUCGACUAUUCUCUCUCUUCUGUUCGAACCUGAACCCAAGUCCAGGUCUUGUUCGAUUGCGUCGCUAAUUGCUCUUUCUUGAGUCCCUCGAAUUCUCGCCAAGAGUUCGGCAGAAGACAUUGCCUUUCCGGUGGAAGCACCAGCAUGAAAAUUAGGAGCCCUGCUUGAUGAGCUUUCGGACGACUUUGAUGAAUUAAGCAGAUUGGAAUUCAAGGAGGAGCCAAAUUUCCGCUGUACGGAGGAUGGUGCCCCCGCCGCACCGGAUCUUCCAGUCCACGUCGGGACGGCAAAGCUCUCGCGGCUUCUGAGCAUCCGCGACUCGCGCAAUGCUUCUGCCGCCCUCCGUGCGACUUGAGACGCCUGCUCUUCUAGCCGCAUCUUGUCGUCGUCAUUCGCGUUCAUUAUUGCGUCGUGGUUCAUCGCGCUCUGAGAAAAGAAUGAGCAAGAAAAAAUAUGACAAUUGUGUAAAGGGGGCAAUUUUUAUAGAAACAUCAUGUGGUAUAUAGUUUGAUUCCACUUUAGUUCAGACCGUAUAACACCUUACGACUCUGAGGUUGCUGUUCUGGUUGGUCUCCGAAACUUCACGGUAAAUAAAUAUUUGAUUGAACAUGCUCAAUUUAUAUGGUAUUAUACGGCAAUCUGUAAUAUGCAACCAGAAGAGCAACCGACUGACGGUUAAGUGUGAUGCUCUGAAUCACAAGAUAUUAAAGUGAAAUCAUGCUAAUACCACAAGUAUUUAAAUUUCUCCCGAAAAAGAAAAAAGAACAAGUGCAUUGGAAAAGGUCUCAACCACAUUAACACUUACAUGAAUCCCUUGUGCAUCAAAAAGGCUCUUCAAUAUAUCUGUUUCUUCAUUUAUCCCAUUACUGUUCUGAUCCACCGGCACUUUCCCUUUAUUACCGGAUGUAGAAGCUCUUCCAACCUCGCUUGUUGUUUCUUUAGCUGCUCGGCGAUCUAAAGGUGAAGAGCUUUCUUUCUGUUUCUUCUCGUGGGAAAGCCCAACGUCGACCUCUUCAGCCAACUGGCUAAAAAUAUUUGAUGUCUCAGUAGAACAGCCCUCGUUAUCCUCCCGGAAGGUGAAGAGAUUGCGCAUGUCUCUGGCUUUAAAGAACCUUCUCUGUUGAGGAUUCUUCAAUAUCUUGUUCGUGAGGAAAUGCUUGUAUAUUUGCCGAUGGUAGACUUUCUCCUCUAUUGUUCCGCGAGUUAUCAGUCGGUAAACUGUUACAUCUCGCGUCUGCCCAAUCCGCCAUGCUCGCUCUCUUGCCUGUUCCACACACAUCUUAAUCAGGUGUGACAUAGAAAUAUAGAUGAAUGCAUUUUACAGACUUCAAAAAUUGAUGACUACAAAUUGAUGAAUGUGGAAACAACAUAGGUGGAAGUCAGGUGUUAAAGCAAUAAAAAACUGAAGAACCUAAAAUUGAGCACUCUGAAAGUGAAAAUCACAUAAAUCCACCAAGAAGGUAAACAUGAUGCAGUUCAACGAAGAAAUCAGUAACUUCUUAGACAAAAAUAACUCAUUGAAAGUAAAAAAAAGGAAAAGAUUCACCUAGAGUUUAGGAGUCGAGAAGGCUUUACGGUUUUGGCAUGCUGAAUAAAAUGGCUAGAAAAGAGUGGAGAUUUUCUUGAACAACAAUAUCAAUGGGCUGAGUACCCAAAUUUUUUUCUUGACUGUACCAGUUGCCAUUUAACUUUUUUGCAAGCAUGGAAACAAAAUUCAUCUAGUCAGCAUCCCUAGUCUGGAUCAUAUACAGCUAGAAAACGAAAAGAACCGCACUUACCAGUUGUUGCAAAUUUGAAAAAUAUAAAGUCAGUUCAAAGAUGCACAUCCCUAGAAUAAUUACCAAAACAACACCUAAUACAACUCACCCACAACUAACUUAUUGUGAGGCAAGUCUUCAAAAAUGUGAACUAGCCAAUCCUAGUUUAUUUAUCAUUCUAAACAAGGUUAAACCACAGCUUGUUGCUUCUACACUCUGUCAAACCAUCGGGAAAAUAUAUAAUGAGGAAUGCCUCCUAGGACUGACUACACCUGAUUAUCCGUUAUAGAUAGCGGCAGACAGCAUAUAAGCAAGAAACUAAGAAACUCCAAAGAAACAUAAAAACAAAGGCUAGAUACACUUUAGUUUACACAGUAGGCAUUAUCAAUAGGCAAAAUAAGACCGAAGCAAGUAUUAUAACCUGCAUGUCAGUUGAAGGGUUCCAGUCGGGAUCAUAAAUAAUAACCCUGUUAGCUCCAGUCAAGUUCGUACCCAAUCCACCAACUUUAGUAGUCAAAAUAAAAAUAAAAACUUCUUCCGAGUUAUUGAACUCAUCAAUAAGCGCCAUGCGCUGCUUUGCUGGUGUAAGCCCAUCCAUUCUCCGAUAACUGUACUCAUUAGCAAUCAAGAAGUUUUCAAUUAUAUCAAGCAUUUGUUGGGUCUGGGCAAAAAGUAGUACGCGAUGCCCUUGCUCCUUCCAAACCCUAAGAACUUGGUCCACAACUUUCAUCUUCCCACUCCUUGCAAUAUUCCCAUAAUCAGGAUGCUGAUUUGAAUGCUCCCUCUCUAAUAAAUCAGGGUGAUUACAAAUUUUUCUGAGUACAUCAAUCCCGUAAAGAGAAUUUCUAUUCCCAUCGAAUAUCUGUUCCACCUCAGAACUAGCGAGAAAAGCCCUGUAAACCGACCGUUGCUCUGAAGUCAGGCUACAGAAAAGCACGUGCUCUGUUUUCUUGGGAAGUUGUGCAUUAACGUCUGCUUUCAUUCGCCUUAAAAGGUAUGGCAUGAUCAAAUCUCUUAACACAACUGCACAUCUAUAAGCUGUGGAGACUUGCAAAGGUGUUGCAUUUGCAUAGCCACCAACUGUAAUAGGAACAGCGAAUUCCGCCUCAAAAAUCGGUAAAACUCCUAAUUUUCCAGGAAAAACAAAAUCAAAGAGAGACCAUAGCUCGCUCAGUUUAUUCUGAAUUGGCGCCCCCGUCAUGAUAAUUCGAUGGACGGUCUGUAACUGUUUGCACACUAGGGUUACCUCUGCAUUAGGGUUUCUUAUCCUGUGACCCUCAUCUAAGAUAGCAUAUCCCCAUUCCAUAUCAAGUAACUUCUCCCCUAACAAGCGAAGUUGCUCGUAAGUGGUAAGGAGCAGCCCUGAAUCUGAAUCCACAACAUGGGCUAUUAAAUCAUCCCAUUUUUUUCUCGAUUUCAAAGAGCGCGGUUGUUCUGUAUCACUGUUGACAAAAGCUUCACUAUCAGAACCACUUUCAUCGGAUUUUGCUACUUUUUGUUUACGUACACCAUUUGCAGAGUCAUGCAGUAUUUCAACAUCAAAGUCUGGAUACCAUUUUUGGGCUUCUCUUUGCCACUGCCGAAGAAGGGUAACAGGGCAAACUACAAUACUAGGUUUGUACAUUUUACUGAAGUGUAGAGCGCCAAGAAAAGAAAGCACCUGUACGGUCUUACCCAGACCCAUUUCGUCUCCAAUAAUCCCACCAGCCCUUUGGCAGUGUAAUUCCCAAAGCCACUGUACUCCCACUUUUUGAUAAUCAAAGAGUUUUGAGUAAAUAACUUCGGGAAUUUUCAGACCUCCCUCAAGGGUCACGCAAGUUGGGCCUUCAUUUUCUGUAUUCUCUGAUAUUUCUCGAGUUUCUUCCUCAUGAUCUGAAGCAACUGUAUCUUCGCCCAAAUCCCCAUCUGGAAAAGAAGAAAACAAAUGUAAUAAGCACCUUCUUUAGUAUGGCAAAAUGCUGACCGGUCACCUACGAGGUUUGUACAGAUGCAGGAAGAAAUUAUUGUCUGGACCAACUCCGACAUGGACUGGACACAAAAUCUCAAUUUUGGAGACCUCAAAAUCUAAAUGUAACCCAUUGAUGUGUUCUACAACGUAGGAGAGUCCUUUAUAUAUCAAAAAGCAUAAUCUCUGAAGAUCUGUUUUUUUCUAACGAGCAAUGGCUCUUUCUACACCAUUGAUUUUUUAGAUUAUUUAAUGCUUAAAUACUAUGUUUCAACAAUUUAUGACUUGUUACAUCUAGGCCUUCUGAAAGCUGUAAAUCACAUCCAACAGUUUAGAUUGAGGGUCCUCGAUAAUUGAACUAUAGGGGAUGGUCGUUGAAUGGUGUGACUAGAUACAUGUAAUAAUAUCUCAAUUGCACCAAAGGAAGCUUACCGCUCCCAUCCGAGACUUUUUCCUUUCUCAAACCAGCUUUCCUCCAUUUCUUGUCGGGCAAGGGCCUCUUUGUCCGUCGAAGCUUUCGUUUUUUCUUCUCUGAUUCCUUCGAACCUGGAGAAACUGGCCGUUUGAGAGGUUCUUUAAGCCUCUGAAAAGGAUGAGUCGGUGCAUCAAGUCUGGGUAGAGCCUCUGGGUCGAGCAAUUUGGUCGUAGGACGAGCUUGUGCAAUUUGUGACAUCAAUUGUGCAACUUUUGCAAUGCUGGCUGAUGCUAGGGUUUCCGAUGGGUCUUCCUCACGAGCAUUUUGCUGAUUUGACGUUCCAGGUUGUUGAACACGACGCUCAAAGCCUUUAAGCUUAUGAAAUGGUGUUAAUAUACCCUUCCUAAUCAUUUCAUCCCUCUUCUGCAAAAUGAUAUUGGAAGAUCAGUACAGAGGCUAUACUUAUUUAUAUUUUGAUAUCAUGCAAAUAAAGAUAUAACUUCAUACUGUUGGAAUUUCUGGGUAAAAGAAAAGAACAAAGUGCCACUAUGGCCUGUCGGCAAAAGCACCAACAAUGCCUAACAGGCCCAAAGAUAAAAGAUAUGCUGAGAUGAAGACAAACUAGUAAAAGACAGAGAAGCUCCUUAGCACAUUACUCACUGUUUCAAUAAACCCAAAAGAGGCAGCAUCCAACGUUGCAUCAAAAUCAGAAUCUUCAUCAUAUGCAACAGUUUUGAACCGCCGUUUCGGAUUCUUAUCAGAGCUCUCCGGUACUUUUGAUUUCUUCUUUUGCUUUGGUUUCUCUUCAACCAAUUUUGCAAGUAAUUCGUCGUGCCCAAUGCCACAGGCCAAAACAUCCUCACCAAUUUCUCUUUGAAUCUGAGCCUUUGUUCUCUUAAGGCUUUUUAAACGAUCAGCUGCAAGUGCCUCCUGAAGAGUUAAUCCACCGUUGGUAACUUGAGCAGAAUUAUCAAUAUUUUUCCUCUUUGAGUCAACCCCUGUAUCAGCACAAUCAUUAUCCUCAUUUCCUUUGUCCACAACAAAUUUAGCUUUUUCAACAGUAGAAGCUACAGCAUCAAUUUCAAGCUCCACAGCCCUUAAUUUGUUAUACAGUUUGAUUUGGGCUGUAGAUGAUUCAUCCACUUCUUUUCUUGCAUCUUGUUCUUGUUCCUUUGAGCUCCCUCCAGAAUCACUCGCAUAUUUAGUGUCACUUUUUGCCUGCAUGACACCAAAGAUUUUUUGUUCAAGAAAUGUUGUACGUAAAUUGCCAAAACUUCAGCAAUAUUUAAAUACUGAUGACAAAUUGCUAAAAUCAGAAGGUAACAACAUAAGUCAAUUCUCACGGCUUAAAUCUUUUGAGUAGAUUACAUUUAAUUGAUAUUGAGGGGAAGAAAGAGAUCUACAUUUCUCCCGGAGACUUGCACUGAAAAUUGUCAAGUAAACAUAUAGUACAGAGUCUUUUCAUGUCAAUCUUGUACAUUCAGAAUGGAGUUGUUAUUGAUAACAGAUGUAAUCAAACCCAUAUCUCCCCCUCUGUUGCAUUAAAAGAAAAAACUUAAGUACAACACAGAGUAUUCCUGACAAAAACUACUAUCAUAAGAAUACAAGGCCAUUGGCCAAAAUAGAGAAAGAAAGAACAAAAAAAAAUUCAUCUGUAAACAAGGAUAAGAAUGCUACCUCUGACAAUAUUUUUCGUUCAAUGUCUUCUGGAUUCGCAGAUGUUAUUCCGAGACUACUUAAAAAAAGGCGGUCUUCAUCGUCUUCCUCCAUCGUGCCCACGUUAGAAAUAAAUUAUCUCACGUUAGCCCGAGCAGCAACCAGAAGAGGCCGUCAUUUACACUGAUGAAGAAAUACACAUAAACCCAAUAAGCAGUAAAAAAGCAUCAUUUAAAAUACAAGUUAAGAGUGUCUUAGCACGAUGAGCAAGUGUUACACACAAACAAAAUUUGGUUCCCAGGAAAGUUCUUUCGGAAGAAUUCAGUUCCUAAUUCUUCUUCAUCAUCAUUGGCGACUAUUCUAGUCUGUAUCCAACUUUACUUAAACUUGUCCUUCGUCCGCUGUAAUACUAACCUUACAGUUGAUGAAAAUUAAAUCUCACCAUUAAUUCUACUAUACUUUGAUACACAAACAUCAUAAUUUCAUCUUUGAUUCCUUUCCUCUGUAAAUUACACUCUGCUUAUUCUAGAAAAAAUUUGGAUGCUACUGAUUCUUACUACUACCAAAACGACUGCAUCUAUCAACUCAAACAUGCAAUCACAUUGCAUUGCCACCAAAUCACAAUUAGGUAAAAUCGCAUAAUCGAUUUCACACAAUACCAACAAAAAACCAAAUUAAAAGCUAUAAUCACCGCCAUUAUGCAAUCCUUUACAAAAUUAGCGCAAUAACCAGACGAUUGCGGGAGAAACUACAAGCGGAUUGAAGAGCUCAUCGUUUUAGAUACGGGUUUCGAUCACCAAGAAAAGGGAUAAUGGAGAAUUAGGGUGGAAAGAAAUUGGAAAGGGAUUGGUGAGAGAUCGAACCAGAGGAAGAGGGGAGUGAAUCGUGCGGGAAACCCUCGCGCCACGAAGAAGGGGCAUCGUCCCCUCCCGCCUCUGUCCCUCUCUCUCUCUCUCCCCCCGGUCGACUCAGAGUCGGUCUAUAUUAAAAGGGAGGAUGGGUUUGGUGAACCGGUCAAGGACCGGGUCUCAUUUUUAUUGAACCGGGUGCACCAAAUCAGUCGUAAACCACCCAGUAAUCUACUCUCAUUCCACCCUGCGCCCCUCUUAAAAAUAAUUUUAAAUUUAAAAGCAGUUGACGUGACGUGGUGCAUCACGUCCAUAGAAACUUCACCUAAAUCAAACCAGUAGAGCUUCCGAUCGUGAUGUGCGGCUUAUAACGCGACACGUCAUCAUCCAUGUUUCGAGAGAUGCGAAUCGCACCCUCGCAUCGUUAGGGUAGUUAAGGUGCGUCCUCAGCACGAGCAAAGUUUAGGUGGACUUUAAAUACCAUCACAUGAUUCCGUGUUCUUUUAUUUUAGUGUCUUGUGAUCUAAAAUAUAUAUAUAUUUUUUAUUUUAGGGUCUUGUGAUUUAAAAUAUAUUAAUUUAGUUUUCUAUAAUUUUUUUUUUCAUCAUCUCUCUGUUAAUUUUUUGUUAAAUUAUAUACAAAAAUUUUAAUAUCCUAUCUAUAAUUUAUCGAAUAUUUACUUUAAUAUUUUUUAAUUUUAUCUUUGGCAAUGAUUUCAGAAAAAAAAUUAGUGGAGCGAAUAAUAAAAAAAAUAAAAUAAAAUCAAAGAGUACAAAAAUAAUAUACUUUAAAUUAUAAGAUACUAAAAUAAAAAAGUGCGAAACCCGUACGGGUGAUAUUUGAAAUUUUUCCUUAAAUUUUAAUGGCUCCAAAUACCAAACACCAAUUACACCAUCUGUUGUUUGCACUCAAAAUUAUUUAUAUUUAGGCUUCUAUUUAAAAAAGAAAAAGACAUUUUUGCAACAAUUAUGCCAUUCUAAAUUAAUUUUAUUACAUCUUGCCCAGAUAGUAAAGAAUUUAAUCAACCAUAAGAUGAUAACUUCAUAAUACAAUGAUAUUUUUCAAAAAAAGAUAAUCUUAAAAUUCCUAAUGUUAAAGAAACAUGUUUGAUGAGUAGAGCAUCAUACAAAAGAUUCUCAUUUUUGCAAAAACUAAGGAGCUAAUGACCUUCUAAAUUGAGCAUAUUUGAUUCCUAUUUAAAGAAGUACAACAUUACAGAAAAUCCCCUGGAUAUUUCGAAAAUUGUAUUUGCCCCCAGACAAACAAAUCAAGACCUACAUAUAACCCCUCCGAUAAAUUGAAAAUCGCAAAAGUUGCCAUCCAAUAGAGAGAGAUAAAGUACAAAUAUAUCCGAUCAGCAUCUACAUUUCUCCCUAAGUAGCAGGGAAUAGAAACAUAUACCAACUAAACAAAAUUCUAACAGUGAUGUAGCUCAACAAACAGAAUUGUAUCAACUUCAUGAGAAACAAGCUCAAUUUUAGAGAUUAAAGUUCCUCUCUGCUCUCGGAUAACUAUGCUGAAGCAAAUUAAAACCUCUGACUAUGAGUUCUAGAAGAUCAGUCCAACGAAAACUAAUCGAAGGGAGAGAAGUAAUUAGAAGAAAAAAAAAGCCCGGGCGAUUUUGAAUCAACGUCUCUUCUUGCUUCCUUUUGCAGCACUCGAUUUGGACGGGCUCACGAGCACGUAGAUGAAGAGUGCGACCAACGAGAGAACAGAGACCAAUGAUCCGUACUUUGCUAGUAGCCUCUGCAAGGUGAUUCACACUAUUUUUGUUAGCUUGAUCGGAUCAGAUUACAUGACUUCAACAUGUGAAAUCGGUAUGUUAGUUAAAGACUUUACCUUAGCCUGUAGAAGUUUUGGACGCGAAGCACGAGUAAUCCAGAAGGUGAAUGUUUCAGAAAUUAGAACCACAAACAUUAGAAUCCACAUGAGAAACAUAAAUUUUUAGUACUAAAAUGUAAUAAUAAAUAAACAAAAAAGGUAGUGUCAAAGUGUCUCACCCAUUCAAACUUCUUCUCAGGGGGCCUCUCUGCAAGAAUAUCCAAAGGAAGAAUAGGACUAGAGUAGGCCUCCUACAUCAGAAAAAUAAGUAAUGUUAAACAGAACGUAGCUUUCAGAAUAACUUAGCUUCCAUGAUAAAGGUAAAAUAAAAAGUAGAAAAUUAGAAAGGAAUGUCCCAGUCCGUGGGAAAAGAGCCUCAGGAAACUAGUUUCACGCUUUACAUCAAACAUGUAGUCUUGAUCUAUUCAUUACAGGCCAAAAUUACUAAUAUAUGACUUUUAGUGCUAAACUAAGAUUUGGCAACAGACGCAUGGGUAGUGCCUAAAUUUAGACAAAUUGUGAUUUCAUCCUGGAAACUUUUUUUGACUUAACCAAAUGCUCAACGCUAACAAAUUUUUGCAGCAUCCUCACUAGGUUUCUCAAAUUCUCGCCUUUUUUAGGAUGUGCUCUCCACAUGGUCAAAUCUAAUUAAAGUGAUGCUUCACCAAUCAUUUAAAAGGCAAUAGAGUCUAAACUUAAGACAGUAUAAAAUAGGUAAUUAACAUAAUGAUGAGCGAGAGAAAUGCACAAUCCCUAAAAGACACCAGGAUUAUGAACAAUAGAUGAGUUUAGGGAAGAAAUUGCAAAAAUUAGGUAAGAUUAGGGUCUACUCUGUUAGUGAGAAAUUCUUAAUAUGCUAAUUAGGGUCUACUCUGUCAGUGAGAAAUUCCUAAUAUGCUAAAUUCCAGCAAGUAUCCCUAAAUUUAAGCCCCAACUCUACACUGUCACAUUGGAUAUCUGUUUUCUAUUUACAAACAAAGAGAGAGUGAAAAGGUAAACCUGUAGUGCAGCUUUUGUCGGAAUACGGAACUUGAUGACAGCAGGGGCACCAUGGAAGACACCCUUCACCUUGGACUCUAACACAAAGGAGUGAGAAGCAGUUGCACCACUAGGGGUAACAAAAAGUAAAUUUGUCAACAGAUUAUAUGACAGGAAACCAAUUGAAUAAAAGCACGAGAUGAUAAGACAUGCAACGGACUCACGCAUCAAGCUUUUCCCAAGUUUUUGAGGUAGUACCAGUGACAAGAUCAAAUACAUCGUUAGACCAACUAUCAUCAUUCAGGCUCACAUCAUAAGCAGUCCUGGAAUUGUUGCAAAUUUCGUAAAUAAGCAAUUACAAAGAAACCACUACGAUUUAUUUUUAAAGGGAAAACUCAAUGAAAAUGUCCCUAAUAAAUAGUUUACUUGACAAAAAGCAGAUAACGCCUAUCAAUCAGUGCCAAGCAAAGUCAGCUACAGUAAUAAUAUUGCCCUAUCUUAUGAGAAGUAUAUGAGGUACAAAUGCAUUACAACAUAUUAUUUGUAAAUAAAUAUCAAUUUACACAAAAGAGUAUAAAACCUAAAGCAAUAGAAUCACUAACCUGUAAAAGUUUGAAAAUUAUUGUAACUUAUCAAUCAUGAAUCCAUGAUGCAAGUGUCGUCCAAAUGCAUAAAUGAGUAUUCAACAAGUUUUUGGAACUGAACACUUAAAAAUUAAGCCCAACCCGAAUCAUAUAGCCUUUGCAGAUCCUUUAAAUAUCCCUUGAGUAUCCAUGUUUCUUAUCUAAAUUUCAAAAUGUCAGAUACUCCUAUGAAGCAUUCAACAUGCAUAGGGCGUAAUGAUAUCUCAUACUAAUCUGAUACAAACACAACAAAUAAAAUCAAGUAUCAGUGCAUCAUAGCCAGAAAUUAUAUUCUAUAGGUAUUGCACCCGUUAUCUUAAGAAACGAUUCACAAAUUGAAAUCCUUUCAGCUUGCGAUUAACAAAAGAUCCAUAGAACAAAUCAAAUCAAAUCAAAUGACAUAAAGACUAUAUGAGCAUCAUAAGCAAACUCCAAAAUAUACACCCCAAAAAAAGGGCAUCUAAAAACUCGUGCUUUUACAAUUUAUACAAAGGCAAAAUGGAACAAAUCGAAUUCAAAAAAAAAAACGAGGUGUUCCCCAACACAGAGUAAAUCACAAUUCUCACAUAUAGCACAUGUACAGAGGCCGAUCAGAUUCAGAAAUGGAACAGAUCAUAACCGGAUGUAUCGAUCGAUCGAAUCGAGAAAGCAAACAAAAUACUAGGGCUGCGAUUAGGUUAAGAAGCGUACGCAGAUCCCUGGUUGUAGAGAUCGAUCGAGACGGAGACGCGCUCGGCCCCGGACUUGAGGCGGGUGAGGCUGACCUUCUUGUGCGCCACCACGAAGGGCGCGUCGGAGCUCGCGAUCGCGGGGGAGCCGAAGAUAAGGUUGAGGACGACGAGGAGGAGGAGGGGGAGGGAGAUGAGGGAUCGGGAUCGGGAUCCGCGGAUCGCCAUGGAUUAGGGUUUCAGAGGAGCUCUCUCUCUCUCUCUCUCUCUGGAUCGCGUCGACCCCGUGAGCGAAGGGUACAAGAAAAGAAGUGGACCAUGUGUUUCGAGAAGAAACUUCGCGUGGACGCGGUCCACCACGUCUAUGCGGCAUACGAUUGGAUGGUCUAUAAAUGAUGUGGUAAACUCGGCGCAGGGAAAAACCAUGACGAACGUGGUUUUGGGCUGCUAAUGGGCUUGCUCUUGGAGAAAAGGUAUUUAAAAGCCCAUAUAAGUGGGCCUGGACACAAUAUCUUUGGGCUUUAACAUCUAUUUGGGCCUAAUAAUAUUGUGGUAUUUAUUUAAGCCCACAUGAAAAUGUAUAGAACGUAUUUGAAUUAUAUACCAUUUUGACUGCUAUAAACCAUUCAAUUUUUCAAAAUUUUAAUUUUUGUACAUAUCUUUCGGUUUGUUUGAUCUAAAUUAUUUAAUAAUUCUUCCGGUGUAAAAUUUUACGCAAAUUAUAUUUUUUUUAAGAUAAAUAUAUUAUGUGUUAAUUCUUGAACCUUCUAAAAUUUUAAAAAUUACAUAUAGGUCUCAAAUUAAUUAGGCCCAUUGAAAUUAAAAUAUUACAAAUUUUAGUCUUUAGAAGGGCCAAAUUAAAAUUUUAACUUACAAAAUUUGUGGCCUACGAAAAAAUUUCCUUACAAAACUUUAUAAUGAUCUUUUUUAAGAUAAAUUUGUCAUGUAUCCUUGAACCUAUUAACAUUUUAAAAAUUAUCCCAUGAAGAUUAAAACAUUGAAAAUUUUAGCUUUUAGAGUGGCCAAAUUAAGUUUUUUUUUCCUAACAAAAUUUGUGGCCUACGAAAAAUUUUUUCUUUCCAAAUUUUUUCUUACAAAACUUUAUAAUAAUUUUUUAAAAAUAAACAUAUUAUGUAUUUUUGGCCCACCUCAAAUCCACGUUCUGGUUUACGUCCCUGUGUGUGUACGUGUGUUUCACAUAAAGGACAAAUAUUGACAUAGGAAAUCUCCAUGUGAUAGGACGAUAUACGGAGACCAUUAUUCCUUUGAAUCUAUUGAAUAUAAAACCCCAACGAUCACGUUUUUAUAUCCACACUCUAUUUUCUUUUUUUAACUUAAAAAUAUAUAUAUAUAUAUAUAUAUAAGCUGGGGCUACUAUACUCUUAUGAGUAUAGACCCACUUAUACUUAUAAAUUUUUAAUCAUUGAUUGAUGGGAUGUGUGGUUAGGAUGAUGAUGGUCUCCACUUAGAAUGAUAGUGGUCUUCUAGAGUUGAGUGGGUAGUUGGUUAAAUAGUAUGAUCUAACGGGAGAAAAUGAUCAAUAGAAUAAAUCUAAGGGCCGAAAACUUAUGAGUAUAAGGGAGCCAAUACUUAUAAAAGUAUAUAUAUAUAUAUAGAGGAAGGCUACUACGCUUCUGGAAGCACGGAGUCUUCCGUGCUUCCAGGUCGUUUUCGAUGUUGCAACUUUCGAAUCGUCGAUCGACUCCGUUAAAUUGAUCUAGAGUAUUUGAAGUACUUGGAAAAUAAAUUUUAUAAUUUUUUGAUAUCAUUUGCCUAGUGAUCGAAGGGACUCAAAAUUAAUAAUUUUAAUGGCCGUGGUGAGCCGUUUGCAAGUUUAACGGUGUAGAAAAAUCCAAAUCACGUGAAAUUUUGAUAGAAAAUUUUUUAUACUAUAUAAAGUUGCAAAAUUUAUUUUUUAGAUACUUCAAAUACUCUAGAUCAAGUUUAACGGAGUCGAUCGACGAUUCGAAAGUCGCAACAUGGGAAACGACCUGGAAGCACAGAAGGCUCCGUGCUUCCAGAAGCAUAGUAGCCUCACUCUAUAUAUAUAUAUAAAGAAACAUGAUGAUUUAAUUAUAGUAUUUAAACAUAGUGAUUGAAUCACCGAGUUUUAACUUAAAAAUACCACUUAGACACUCACAUGGUAAGAAAAAAGCUAUAUAUACAAAUAUAAAUUUGUUAUGGCACUUUAUAAAAAUAAAAAAUAAAACAUGGAGGGUCUAAAUGCAAGAAAAGCCUAUUAAAUUUUAAAUGCUAUGAUAAAAUUCUAAAUAUCAUGAUUAAAUACUACAUUAUAAACCUUAAACCCUGUAAAUGUAGGGUGUCAACACAUUAAUCAUAUUUUUGGAUGCAUGUAAGGGCCGUUUGGUUACAUGUAGUUACAACUGCACUGCAGUUAUAACUGCAUGUAAAUACAAAUUCAAUGUUUGGUUUGACGUAUUUAACUUCAAGUGUUGUAAUAGAAACUGCAAAAGGAGGUCCAACUAUAGCAGUUGAAACUACGCCUAAAUUGGCCGCAGUUUUCACUGCAGCAGUUGAAGAAAAUAACUUUAAACAAAAAAUAUGCUUAUCUCCUUAAUUACUUUUUAAAUAAAAAAUAUUUUUCUUUCUUGCAUUAGAGAUAAUCUCAUCAUUAUACAUAUAAAAUGAUAAACUUUUAAAAAUUAUUUCUCAACUGCAUGCAACUAAACAAAUUAUUUAUAAUCGCAACGCUUUCUACUACAUCCAACUAAAUAGAAUGCAUGUAAUUACAACUGCUAUAUUUUCAACUAUACUAUAUUUGUAAUUACAUCUAACCAAACGUGCCUAAGUGAGGAACCUUAAUUAAAGCAUUUCUCUAUAUACUUCCCCCUGCCCUAAAAAGGCCAACACACUUGAUUGAGUAGCAGAUCUGGCAGUUGAAUAUUAAUCAUCUUCCUCUGGACAUUAUGAAAAAAGGGCAUAGAUGAGCUGUUUCAUGUGAGUCUAUCACCCAUAUUUUUUCUUUCCUGUUAUUAGCAUUUUAGGCAUAUUUGAUCCAGCUUCUAUUUGGCUUUCAAUAACAGCAAUCUUUAGUACUGGAUGAUUGAGUGUUUAGUAGAUUGAGUGUUUGACCAAAUAAAUAAAUAAACAAAAGCUUCUAAUGUAGUUGAAGCAAAUAUAUAUAUAUAUAGAGAGAGAGAGAUGUACAUUAAAGCAAAUAUAUAUAUAUAGAGAGAGAUGAGCUAGAAUACUAUCGAUAGCAAAUGGGCUCCAUUGCCACCCAUUUGCUUUCGAUGAUGGAGCCUUCAAAUUGACAAUCAGUACCGUUGAAUAUGAUCUAUACCACUUGAAAUGUUUAGAAAUCAAAUUUCAUACAUUUCGAUAUUGUUCUCUUAUCCAUCUAGUAGACACAAAAAUAAACGGCUGAAAAUGAAUAUUCUUUAAAAAAUGAUGAUAGGAGUCUUGUAAUCAAGAUCAAAAGUAUAGAUCUUGUUUUAAAUAGUUUAAAGAAUUUUUAACAAAAAUUCAAUUGAUUUGGAUAUUUUUACGCCAUUAAACGAGAAAACGCCUUAUAUUGACCAUUAAAAUUAUAAAUUUUAGAACCCUUUGAUUAUUAGGCAAAUGAUGUUGAAAAGAUUUGAAAUUUAAUUUCUAAGCACUUCAAGUGGUAUAGAUCUUGCUCAAUGAUACCAUUCGUCGAUUUGGAGGCUCUAUCAUCGAAAACAAAUAGGUGACAAUGGGGCCCAUUUGCUAUCGACAAUAUUCUAGCUCAAAUAUAUUACUAAAAGUAUUUGGAAACUAAAUUUCAUAAUUUUUCGACAUCAUUUGGCUAGUGAUCAAAAGGUCUCAAAAUUGACAAUUUUAAUGAUCGCUAUGAUGCGUUUGUGAAUUUAACAGUGUAAACUAAUCUAAAUCUGAUGAAAUUUUUAUAGAAAAUUUUUUUUACUAAGAGUAAGAUCAGUACCUCUAAUCUUAAAUUCAAGUCUUGUAUCAUCAUUUUUUAUGAUAUUUUUAUUUUUAGCCGUUCAUUUUUAGACUACUCGUUUGAUAGGUAAAUGACGUUGAAACAUUAUAAAAUUUAGUUUCCAAAUACUUUCAAUAGUGUAGAUCAACUCUAACAAAGUCGAUCGUCGAUUUGGAAGCUACAUCAUUGAAAAUAACUUAGUAGCACGGAGGUUUCCGUGCUACCAAUAGUAUACCAGCCUAUAUAUAUAUAUAUAGAAUUCGGCUGGAAUACUAUUAAUAGUAAAACGCUCUUUUUGCUAUCAAGUUUUUAACCCUUGGAUGAAAAAUUGUAGGGUCAGGAUGAUGUUAGUCGGUUAGAGUUGAGUGGUCCCACUAGGGUUGAGUGGUCCCCACUGGGUUAUAGUAUUUAAUCCAAUAGUUAGAAAUAAUGAAAAGAGUUGAUCCAAAGGCUAAAAAACUGGUAGCAACAAUGAGAUUUUGCUACUAAUAGUAGCCCAGUUCAACUAUAUAUAUAUAUAUAUAUAUAUUAUAUAUAGAGAGAGAGAGAGAGAGAGAGAGAGAGAGAGAGACGAGAGAGAGAGAUGAGCUAGGCUGGUAUACAUAUCUCGGUAGCACGGAGGCCUCCGUGCUACCAAGUUGUUUUCAAUGAUGCGGCUUCAAAUCGACGAUCAGUUCAUUAGACUUGAUCUACACUAUUAAAAGUAUUUGAAAUUAAAUUUCAUAAUUUUUCGACAUCAUUUGGCUAGUGAUCAAAAGGUCUCAAAAUUGACAAUUUUAAUAGUAGAUGUGAUGCGUUUGUAAAUUUAACGGUGUAAAUCAAUCCAAAUCUGAUGAAAUUUUUAUAGAAAAUUCUUUUCACUAUUUAGAGUAAGAUCAGUACCUCUGAUCUUAAAUUCAAGUCUUUAUCAUCAUUUUUUAUGAGAUUUUUAUUUUCAGCCGUUCAUUUUUACACUACUCGUUUGAUAGGUAAAUAAUACGAAAAAUUAUGAAAUUUAGUUUUCAAAUACUUUUAAUAGUGUAGAUUAAGUUUAACGGAGUCGAUCGUCGAUUUGGAAGUCGCAUCAUUGAAAACAACUUGGUAGCACGGAGGCCUCCGUGCUACUGAUAGUAUACCAGCUUAGCUCUAAUAUAUAUAUAUAUAUAUAUAUAUAUAUAUAUAUAUAUAUAUAUUAUAUAUGAGAGAGAGAGAGAGAGAGAGAGAGUUGGACUAGGCUACUAUUAGUAGCAAAAUUCUAUUGUUGCUACCAGUUUUUUAGUCUUUGGAUCAACUCUUUUCAUUAUUUCUAACCAUUGGAUUAAAUACUAUAACCCAGUGGGGACCACUCAACCCUAGAGGGACCACUCAACUCUAACCGACUAAUAUCAUUAUGACCUACAAUUUUUCAUCUAAGGGUUAAAAACUUGAUAACAAAAAGAGCGUUAUAUAUAUAUAUAUAUAUAUAUAUAUAUAUGUAUGCCUCAUUGUUGUUUUUUGUUUUCUUAAUUAAUUGAAUUUCUAAAUGAAAUAAUAUAGCAGGAAAUGAUGAAUUACAUUCUACGUAUUUAUUUGGCAAUAGAAAAUAAAUAUUUGAAAGCAGUAUUUUUUGCUUCCGAGUUUUCUUUCCUUUUUAUUUUAUCUAUCACUUUAGAUGACUCGCAAACUAAUCAAUCAUCACAAUAAAGAUAAAUCCUAUCACUGGUAUAUUAAGUUUUAUUAGUGUUGAAUAAAUAAAAAAGAUAAUAAUACCAAACGAGGCUAUAGUUCUGUGCUUAAAAGCGAAAGUUUUAAUUUGAUUAUUCUAAUUUUACUACAGAAUAAUUAAAAUGUUAAAAAUUUCAAACUAAGGCCUCGUUUGCUAUAACUGCCAUUUUUUAAACACUAAUUCUAUAUAUUUUAAUGUGUUAGAAGAUAGGCUCUUUUUUAUUGUAAUAGUUGGUUAGCUUAUAAUAAUACAUCCGGCUAAAUGAUAGAUGAUAAUUUAUUUUUUUAAAAAAUUGGAAGCAGAACUAAAAAUUUAUUUUCUAAUUUUUAUUUUUUUGCUGUCAUAUAAUAAAUGCUUCUAAUCCGCUGUCUAUUCCUACAUCUUUUGAUGUACAAAAUUUUAUUUUAAAAAAUGGAAAGCAAAUAUGAUACUCCUAAUUCCUAAAAAAAAAAACAUAAAUAUAAAAAAUAAUAUUUUAACAUAAUAUUUUUCCUAAUAAUAGAAUCAACCAGGGAAAAGACAACUCUCAAUGCUCAUAUGAUCAUAUGCUCAAUAUUGAGGUACAAAAAAAAUAAUGUUGCUACUGACUUUUUGCAAAGAACAUAAUAAUUAGGCUGAUGUAUCUGUCACAGAAAUUCUACUAUGUAUGAUUAUAUAUCUGGCCACAUCUAAUUGGUUGUGAUAAUUAUUGAAUAAUUGAUGAGUGGUGCAUUAUGGGGUGUUUGGUUUUUCAAAAAAAAUAAAAAAUAAAAAAAUUUUAGAAAAUAAUUUUCUGACUGCAAAAAUUUUAUCUGUUUGGUUUCCAAAAAAUAUAGUUUUCUAAAAAAUUAUUUUUCUACUUGUAUUGAAAAGUCUAUUUUUAUUCAAAAAUAAAAUUUAUAGAAAAUAUUUUUUUACACUUUUAUGAAAAACUAAACACCCUCUUUUUAGUGAAAAGGAAAGGGUACUCUUUGAUUUAUAGCUCAAGAACCCUGUUGGGAGAGAACAAAGCUAGAAGAUACUACAAGUUGCCUUUUAAGAUGUUGAAAAAAUGUAUAAACACCGACUGUCCCUAGAGCAAGUGGCAAAGAACUUGGUGGUUGGUAUUCGAGGUCUCAAGUUCGAAUCCUAGUUGAUUCACAUUUCCAGCUAAGUUUAUUUCUAAAUGAAAUAGACGAAGCGGGUAGUUUGCUACCUAUCUCUCAACAAAAAAAAAUGAAAAGAAAAGAAAAAAUGCAUAAACUAAAAGAUAGUGUGAAAGAAUAAUAUUUUUAAUAUUUGAUAUUCAACAGGUACACUAAUAAACUGUUUAAUUUGUAAAGGUUUCAUUUUUAUCAUCCAUUCCGUUUUUUAUAUGUUCUGUUACUAUCCUAUAACUAAUUUAAAAUCAUGAUUAUAUUAGUUAGAGAUUUAUUAAAUAUUAAAAUGUAAUAAUACAAAUUAACUUCUUUUUUUUUUUUGCUUAAACUUAUUACAUAUAAGCACUAAAAAUAAUAAAGACAUAUCAAAACCAAAAAGCCAUUAUUUUCCUCUAUUCCUGCAAAGAUAAAUAUAUUUAUUUUUUAAUUAUUGUGUAUCAAAAUGUGUAGCUGGAGACUUAUCACCAUCUAAUUAUACACACUAAACUAGUUGGUAAAACAUCUAUCAAAAGUGUAUCUUUCUACGACGAGAAAUACAUGGGAUAUCCCACUUUUGGAUAUUGUUGAUGUAUUAAAUAGGGAUAAUUGCAUAUAUACUCCUCAUACGUUUGAAAAUAUUCGAUUUACCUAUACUUUUUUUUUCUUUCUAAAAUAUCCCUCAUAUAUUCCACCGUUAUUGCAAAAAUCAAAAUACCCCGCAGUUAUCUCCUAUUAAGUUAAUUUGAGUUAAACGUGAGUUAAACAUCUACCACAGUUAAAAAAAAAUUAAAAUACCAAUUUUGCCCUUAAUUUAAGGACAAAUAAGAAAUGUUGGUGACGGUAGAGAGGUAUGUUGGAAAAGAUCAAAAGUCAAAAUAUUUUUUUGUGCCCCUAACUUUAAGAGCAAAUAAGAAAGUCAGUGAUGGUGGAAGGGUAUAUUUGAAAAGACAAAAUAGUAAUUUUACAGAGAUAACAGAAUUAAUUAAAAGAUUUUAACUUUAGGGUGCGUUUGGUUCACAUUAUGAAAGAUUACUAGGAAUAAAAAAUAUCCGAGAAUCUUAUUCCUAUUCAUCCUAUUACUAAGAAUAUAGAAUUCCUGUGUUUGGUUCGCACGGUAAUAUUAAUUAGCCAUGUAAUUUAAUAUUGCAAAAAAUAUACAAUUCAUUAAUUUAUUUAUUUAAUUAAUUUUAGAUAAUGUUACCAAAAGUUUCAACAUCUUUUUAGAAAAAAGGGAGAGAGAAUAUAAGUUAGAGAGAAUGAGCAUAAUUAAAAAAAUAGAAAGAAAAAUAUAGUCGAAAUUAGAGGGAGUGAGAGAGUUGAAAUUUUAGAAAGAGAGAGAGAGAGAAAGCUUAGUUUAGAGAGAGAAAAAAAAGUUGAAUUUUAGAGAGAAAAAUAAAUUUAGAGAGAGAUAUAAGGUUAGAGUGUAAAGAAAAAUAAUAUCAAUUAGCCGGCGGAUAGGAAGAAAAAAAAAGAUUAGAUAUAUUAUGAUUAUUUCAAUCCAUUAAUAUGAGGAUACCUACCCUCCCUCAAGAGAAUGAGAUUAGUACUUUGGGAUGAAUCAUAUUCCCAAGUGAAUCCAAUAUUACCAACUAGAUUACUUAGUGCAUUUAGCCAAACACUGUCAUAUUUUUUUAUUCCCAUUGGAUUACUAGGAAUCUUUAAAAAAUAGCGUGAACCAAACGCGCCCUUAGGGUCAUAUUAGAAAUAGGUUGAAACGUAAAAAGGGUAUUUUCAAUAUUAGCCUUCUAAGAGAGGUAGAUCAGAAAGUCGGAAAUUUUUUAGGGGUAUAUAAGCAAUUGCCCCUAUUAAAUGUCCACAUGGAGGGGCUAGGGUUUAAUGCUUAGUUUGGUAUUGAGGCCUAUCUACUGCUAUUAGAUAAAAUGGAGUUGGAUUAAAAGCAUGUAGGAAUAUGUUGGAGCCACAAAAAUAUAUCGUAACCGACUAAUCGAACGUAAUAUUACGUAUGGAAACAAAUAUGAUAUUUUCUCAUCGUACUUUCUCACCGUACAUAAUGCAAUCUCUCCGCAAUCCCAAACGAAGCCUAAAAUUUAGGGUGUAAUAAUGGUGUGUAGAGUUUAAUAAUAGUAUUUACAGUUUAGCAAUUAAUAAUUAAAGUGUAAUAAUAAUAUUGUCAUGUCAUCAUCAACAAUAUUCGAGGAUACACUUGGGGGUUUUUGUAGCAGCACUCUUUAGUGACAAUGCGCGACAAGUCAAAUUAAGAAGAUACACAUCACCAAUUAUGUAGGGGACCUCUUGAGCCAAUUUGGCCAAAUUUAAUUGUACCAUCAUAUAAGUACCUUGGCUAAAUAGGACCAUUGUUCAUUGAUAGAUAAAUAAAUGUGAAAUGGACAGGGUCAGUUAAGUGGUUGCUUUCAAUUGUUCAUAUUAGUUUAUCCAAUAAUGCGAAACAAAUUAAACAACACUUGGUUUCACUUUUAGUCACUAGUUUUAUCUCUAGGUGGAGCAAUUAGUCAAAAUGAGCUUCUGGAUCUGAAAAGUAAUUAACGUUAUAGCUUUUCUAGUUGUUUUGUUAUUCGAAGAAUUAUCUGUUAAGUUAUUACUAUACAAAAUGUUAAUUUUUUUAUGCUAAAUUACAAAAAUUCUUUCUAUCAAAACUCGAUUUUUUUACUUUCCCUCCCAGCUAUUUAAAAACCUACACUUUGCCUCAUUGUAAAUGAAAAAUAUUCACUUCAUCUCCUAACGUUAGUGAUUCGUUAGGAUUCCGUUAUAAAAUAUUUUUUAUGCCAAAAAUAUCCUCCGUCCUCUCUACUGUGCUUCGCCUUCCUUUACUGUCUCGCCCUCGCCCUUGCCCUCGCCCACAUCCCCGUCCGCGUCCACAAACACCCUCUCGCCCUCCUCCGCCGCCUCGCCUCCGCCCUCGUUGCCCUUGCCCACCUUUCCAUCCGCGCCCACCUCGAUUUCCUCUCUACUGUCGCCGAAAUGGAGGGGCGACGAUGGUGCAGGAGGAGAAGGGAAGCAGGUGGAGAAGAAAAUGGAGAGGAAUCGCGGUCAAUCGAGGCGCAAACCGCAGCCGAUCGAGACGGCGGAUGAGCAAGAUGAAGGAGAACACGAAAAUAGUGAGGGACAAAAUAGUUAUUUUGUCAUCACAUUUCACACCGCACCCUCUGUGAAUAUUUUUUAUUUCACAAUGGAGCAAAGUGUAGGUUUUUAAAUGACACGAGGAAAAAAUGAAAAAUCAAAUUUUGAUAGAAAAAUUUUAUGUAAUUUAGCUAUUUUUUUAUUAAGGCUAAAAUUCAGAAUAAUAAGCCUUAAAUAUUUUUGCUGUAAUCGAGCUAAAUACUAGUUUUACGAAAGCUUCAGCCAAAUAAGUUACAAUACUUUUGCGACAAGUUGCUAUCGAAAGCUCUUAGAAUUAUUUACAAACAAGUUAUAACCUUUUCUUUCUUUUCUAAUCUCUGGUACUCCAAAAAUCUUUUUAAUAAGAAGUUAAUGACAAUUUACUCCAGUGAUACAUCGAAAGAAACAAUCUCAUCAAUCAAAACUUUGAUAACAUGUGGGACAUGCGUGAUCAUGCAUUUGCAUUAAUUUUGCAUAUAUUCAUGCAUCGUUAGCUAAUCAAAGAUUAAAAAAGUACACUUAAUUAUGGAAAUUUGUAUGUGAUUUAUCUUUAUUCAUGGCCCCAUGCUCUUGUCACCAUUUGUACACUUGUGUCCAUGAGAAAGGAUUAAAUAAGUACUUUAAAUUAAAUGUUACUUAAUAAAGUGUAUUAUUGCGUGGUCACAGCUUCUACAGGCUAUUUUAAAUAUUAUUAACAAAUACUUCAUUAGAAUGUAGUUCAAUUAUAAAUUUAGAUUAAUUGCAUACAGUCCCUGUAAACAUAUCGAAUAAUAGAUAUAUAUUCCUACAAAGUUCAACUUUUUAUAUUUAUUUCUGUAAAAGUCAUAACAUUUUUAAAUUUACCCAUAUUGUUAGAAAUCGUUAGAAAUAUAUACUUAACCAUAGGUAAAAUAUUUAGCCCUGAUUAGUGAAUAAGGUAAAUUGAUUUUUUUAUUUCUUUUAUGUUAUUUGUAACGGUAGAAAGGAAGAAGAUGAAUAUUGAAAAUUUUUAAAAGAAUAUUUUUGCAUAAUUUUAACAUUUGGGACUUUUGAAUGAACAUAUUUGUAAUAGUAAAAAUAUCAUUCACUUAUCUUCUAUUAAGAAAUAAAUAGAGUCAAAUAUAAAUAUCAUUGGAUUUUUCUAAGGAUAAAUAUGAAAGUUAAACUUUGUAGGAAUAUAUUUGCUAUUUAAUAUGUUUACAGGGAGCUGUAUAAAAUUAAUCCUCUAUAAAUUUUUAUUCCACUUUAGCUCAUGUCUUAUUUAUCCUCCUAUAUAAAAAUGCCUUGAUUAGUCAUCUGUAUUUUGCCGAGGAUUCAAAUAAAUUUGAAAUCUAGGAUUAAGAACAAAUUAAAUCACUAAAACAAAUUGAUAUAUUACAUACACUGUCAAGAUCGGGCCGGAUUCGGAGCGAAUUUUAAAAAAUUUGAACCCGAACCCAACUCCAAAUUCAAAAUCCGAACUCAAAACCGAACCCGAACCCGACAGAUUUUAAAAAUCAAUAUCCAAACAUGAAUCCAACAAAAAAUUCGAACUCAAAAUCGAACCCGAACUCGACAGAUUUUAAAAAUCAAUAUCCGAACGUGAAUCCAACAAAAAAUCCGAAACCUGAAUCGGAAUCCGAACACGAAAACAACUAUUUCUCUUUUCAAUAUUUCAAAAUAUAUUACAAUAAAUCUAAAUUUAUAAAAUACAAAUUGAAAUACAACAUCAACUUUUAUAUACAUAUUAUAUGUAAUAUAAAAUAAAUUCGGGUUUGGAUCGGAUUCAGCCGUUCAGGUUCAGAUCGCGUACAGUCAAAAUCCAUAUCUGAAUUCAUAUCCGUCGAGUUUUUAUUUUUCACGAAAUUAUAUCCAUCUAACAUCGAAUAAAUCCGCUCUAUUCAGACUCAGAUUAUGAUAAAAUUUCGAAUAUCUUAAUCUAUUGACAUCCCUAAUAGCAUCAAGUAGUUUUUGUGUGGAAACUCAGAAUUUUUGCAUUCUGCCAUUAAUAAUUACUUUGAUAAUUUAAAUUUUUGCUUUAAAUUUUGUGAGAUAAUAAAGACAUCAAAAUUAACUAGAUUUCAAUAUUAUUGGUUUAACUUACAGGAAUAUCUGAUAGCAACAAGUAUCUAAGAUUUCAAAAUUUAAAAUUUAAUUAUUUUAUAUUUUUUAAAAUAAAUGAAAUAAAUAUCAUGCUAUGUUUAUUAUUUUGAAAACACAAUCACAUCCGUUCUACAAAAAAAAAAAAUCGUUCACAAUCUUUUUAUAUUUUUAAGGAAGCAAGAAAAAAAAAAAAACUAAAUUACAGAAAAUUUUCUAUCAAAAUCCAUUUUUUUUUUCCUCUGUUAUUUAAAAACCUACACUUUGCCUUCUUAUAAAAUAAAAAAUGUUCACGAGAGGGUACGGUAUGAAUUGUGAUGAUAAAAUGACCAUUUUGUUCCUCACCAUUUUGCGUUCACAAGAGAAAAGACUGAUGACAUUUUUAGCAUAAAAAAUAUAUAAUAAUAUUUUAUAAACGGAUCCCUAACGGAUUAUUAACGGCAGGGGACGAACGGAUUAUUAACUGCAGUGGACAUUUUUCAUUUUACAAGAAAAAAAAGUAUAAAUUUUUAAAUGACACGAAGAGAAAGUGAAAAAUCGAGAUUUGACAAGAUUAUUUUAUAUAAUUUAGCCAAAAAAAAUAUUAGAAAAUUAAGAUCUGUUGACUCAUUUAUUUAUUUAUUAUAUUUGGGAAAAGGAAUAAAAAAAAUAACAAUCGCCAUCCUUUUCCUCCUUUUCGUGGUCGUCUCUUUAAUAUUUCCACUUUCAUACCACCAACCUGUCAUAAAUAACUACACGCACAAAUUUGACUCAAAAUCAACUGUUGGGAGUCAACGGUUCAGUGGGACUCACCUGUUUCCUCGCGGAGUCCGUUUAUCGAGUCACAUUUUGGGGUGCGUGUAAAGCCAGGCCAUUUUCCCUCGCUCUUUUAAUACCCCGCGCGGUUCCCUCCAGUGUACAAGAGAAGCUCUCUCUCUCUCUCUCUCUCUCUCUCUUAAUUACAACGUUCCCCGUUCCCCGCGAUUCUUACUUUUCCCAUUUUGCCCCUCGUCGCGCCAUGAAAUUACCCGGCGAACCCGACCCCGACCUCGCCGCCGCCGCCGACGACGGCGACGACGAGGAGCUCCGCCGCCUCCUCUCCGCCGUAUCUUCCGCCGCCGCCGCCGCGCGAUGCUUCCGAGGCCGGUGGUGCGCCGUCGCCGCAGCCGCCUCCCGCCUCUCCUCCGCCGUCGGCGACCUCUCCAACCUCGCCGCGAACCCCCUCGCCUCCGAGCUCCUCCGGUCCCUCCGGGAAACCCUGGCCCUAGCCCUGGCCAUCGCGGAGCAGUGCCGCUCCCCCGACCCCCCCGCGGGGAAGCUCCGCACGCAGAGCGACCUGGCCGCCGCCUCCGACGCCCUCAAGCAGCUCGCCGCCGACGCCGACCUCCUCCUCAGCUCCGGCGCCCUCGCCGCGCCGGCCGAGGCGGCGGCGGGGGCCUCCUCCCUCGGCGAGCCCGUGCGGGUGGAGGUGAGGGGCCUCGUCACCCGCCUGCAGAUCGGGAGCUCCGCGGCGCGGAUCGCUGCGCUGGGCUCCCUCGCCGCGCUCCUAGCCGAGGACGAGAGGAACGUGGCGAUCGCCGUAGCGGAGGGGGCCGUGGCCGCGCUGGUCCGCCUCCUCGACUCCGGCGCCGGGGGCGCCGAGGCGCGGGAGCGGGCCGCGGCGGCGAUCGCUAGGGUUUCUGCCGUGGAGAGCUGCCGCCACGCCCUGGCGGCGGAGGCCCCCGCCCUCCUCGCGCACCUCGUCCGCGUCCUCGAGUCCGACGGCGGCGGCGGCGCCGCCAGGGAGGGGGCCUGCAUCGCCCUGCAAACCCUAACCCUAGCCCGCGACGGCGCCAUGGCGAUCGGCUCCCGAGGCGGGAUCGCCGCCCUCCUCGAGAUCUGCGGCGCCGGGACCCCCUCCGCGCAGGCCGCCGCCGCCGGGGUCCUCCUCAACCUCUCCGUGAUCCCUGAACUCCACCAGAACUUUCUAGAAGAAAACAGCAUCCCCGUACUCAUUAGAGUUUUCUCCUCCGGGACGCCUCUCGCGCAAGAGAAUGCCGUCGCUUGCCUCCAUAAUUUAACCGCCGGAGACGAAGAACAGAGCCUAAAGAUCACCGUUUUCAAAGAAGGCGCUUUAGAGUGCCUCAGGAACUAUCUCGAAAACGACAGAGGACUUGAUCAGAACCUCGAAUCGGCAAUCGGAUUGCUGCGGAAUCUGGCGUCUUUCAGGUACAUCGCGGAGAUCAUCUCUUCCGCCGGAUUCAUUCCAUACAUUGUAUCAUCAUUAGAUAGUGCCAAAUCCAGUGUAAGAGGGGAGUCGGCAAAAGCAAUCGCCGAAUUAUGUGCCGUUGAGAGGGCGAGGAAGGAGAUGAUUGAGGCCGUGCCUCUGCUAAUUAGAAUGUUGGAAUCCAAGGGAGGAGGAGAAGAAAAGGAGGCAGCUUUGAAGGCUUUGGGCUCUCUCAUUGCAUUCACGGCUUAUCGGAGGCUAUUUAAGAAGGAUGAGAAGGGGAUUGUGAAUGUGGUUCAGUUGCUCGAUCCUUUGGUGACGAAUGUGGAGAAGAAGCACGCCAUUUCCGUGUUGCUAUCGGUUUCACAGUCGAGGAAGGCGAGGAAGCAAAUGGUGGCUUUGGGGGCUUGCGGGUUCCUGCGAGGGCUUCUAGCGACGGAGGUGGAGGGGGCAAAGAAGCUUAUAGAGAUUUUGGGGAGGGGGAAGAUCCUGGGGGUGUUUCCGAGAGCUUGAAUAAUAGAGAAUUUUGGAAUCAGAUGGGGUUUCUUCUUGAUCUGUAUGUAUUUUAACCACCCCCUACUACAUUAUUAGUAAUAAUAUCUAGAUUGGUGCAUGUAAAUGCUGUGAUUUUUCAUGUUUUCUUAAGCUAAAAUGCUUAGAUUGUGUGUGUGUGUGUGUGUGUGUGUGUGUAUGUAGAGAGAUGAGGGAGAAGCUGUGUAUGAGAUGUUUUUUUUUCCCACUUUAUUGACACACAAUAAAAUGAGUGAGCUUCUGAAUUGUCUUUCAUAUAUACAGUUUUUGGUGUUGAUUGCUACAUAUAAUUCUCCUAUAUAUUUUGUUAGCUUUUUUUAAUAAUCUAUGCUCUCAUGAUAGCACUACAGGAAUUUUGAGUGAUUGACUGAUUAUUGGCCAUUACCCUUUAUUUGUUCUUGUUCUUCUUUAGGUGUCAUUAUUAGUGAAAUGGUAAAUUCUUAGAUAUCUAUCUACUGGUUGUAAAUUUGGUUCUCUAGAACAACCACCUCCUGCAAAUUUGAUGGGCUCACUGCUAGCUAUCAAACAGUGAAUUUUAUCUACAGGUGGUUACUUGGGAAAAGGAAGAAAAAGGGUGUUUCUUUUUCUUUUUCUUUUCUUUUCUUUUGGGGUGUGGGGAUAUGAGUUUAUUAAUUAUUAAUUAUAAUGAAGUAGUAGGUUUGGUAGGUAUGCCUUCACCAAAAAAAGGGAACUUAUCUUGCACCUUCUGAACUGCUAUUAUUCAACUUCUAUUCCCCCACAGAACAUACUUCAUGUGAAAAAUUUAGUGGUUUUAUCUUCUUUUUGUGUUAAUUAUUUAUGUAGUUCCUGGCAAUAUUCUCCAGUUCUAAACAGAGAAUUCAAUCCAAUAUUAUUUUGUGAUCGAAAGUAUAAAUGUGCGGAAUCUCUUCGCUUGCCCUAUCUGGGACCAGGAAAGAGUCAACAAGGCAUCGAAAGACCUUUUAACAAAGUUAGUAGCACCAAUAGUUCCACAUUUGUAGUCUUCUUUUAAGUCCUAUUAUUAUCUGAUAUUUCAAAUUUUGCUGUCCUUGUCAAAGUUGGCUUUUAGUAGAGCAAUGCUGAUUAUAGCCUAUUUUUUAGCAUUAGGUGAGGUCCAAUCGAUAACCAAAACACAUGCUGUGAUUUCCUUAAAACAACUAAAGGGGCAUUUGUAAUUACGUAAAUGGGAAUUUGACCGUAAGUCAAGAUCAGUGAGAGCAGAAACAUUAAUUUAACCGCUGGUUACAGUGAUGCCGAAGAGAUCCGCAGCGUAGCUGUGGCUAAACACCUUAAAAGCAGCUUCGAGUGGACCAUCAUUUUUAUUCAGUGAAAAGAUCCUAAUGUAGCCCAGAGCUACGUGUUGAGAUCAACCAUAGAGCCGAUGUUUCUAGUCUCAAUAAACUUGGCAUAUAGCUUAAUUGCAAUUAUGUCACUAAAUCAUUGGACCUUGUAUGUGUUAAGGAAAUAGGUUUCUGAUGCAUAAUUGACUUCAUGAUAACUUGAUGUUAUAGCUGAAAUUUAUGUAGAUGCGUAUUGAUCUUUGCGAUAUAUACCAUUUCUGUUGCACGUGCACUCUUUAUAUGAUAGCAACAUCUCUCUCUCUCUCUCUCUCUCUCUCUCCAUGAAUUAUAUAAUAAACUUUUGUACUUUUAUUAAGCUUAGCAUGUGGGUUGCUUUGCUGUACCCAUUAAUUGGAAGGAUGUGCUGUUCUUGUACUGCUUGUUGAUCUCUUUCUCCUCUUGAGUUGACUGCGUCUAAAAAGUUACUUCAAACUGUACAUCUUAAGAGCAUUUGAUAUGAUGAAUCUGAAUCAUUGAUUGUAUUUUAAAAACCUUUACAUUAUUUGGAAACUGCAUUGUGCACUCUGGUUGGUGUGGAGUACUAAGCAUUUGUUAUAUUCCCUUCUCAUUGGAUCUGUGAUGUUGUGUAAUAACUAUGGCAUGUGUGAAGCACCACAGAAGUUUUACUAUUGGUGGAUUUUUUUCAAUAUGUUUGUAUAAUGUACGAGUAGUUGCUUAAUAUCUUGCAGUGUCAUGUUGUCUGCAUUCAUUGUUUAAAAUCUCCAUCUUCUAAGAGCCUAAAUUAUAAUUUGUCAACGGUUUGUGGACCACCUAAUGGAUGUUACCACUUAUCAAUUCACGAACUACAUGAUUCCAAAUAGAAACUGCACAAAACUUUGCUGUCAAAUAUUAUAGGAUACUGAACAUUAUACUCCAGAAAACAAAAGCAUAAUUGUCGUUUGCUUUGCUAAUACGAGGAGAUUCCUCGAAACACUUCAAAGUUGGAUAACAAUUUUCAAUCUUCAUAACUGAUGCCUUUCUGUCCUACAACUUCUAGGUAGGUGAAGAGUUGCAUUCUAGUCAUUUUGGAUUUUCUUAACCUGAAGUUUUUAGUUUUGACUAGAACUUGUAGUCUACUUGUUGAUUCCCAAUCUUGUUUUGUACUCUUCUAUGUCUUGUAAACAUAUGCCCAGUUGUAUUUUUAAUUGCUCAGCAAUCAUGCACUUAUAACUUGCAUAUUAUCCUCCAAAUGACCCAAUAAAAAGUUUUAAUACCCAGAUGGUAGUGACUCUUGCAAUUUUAGUCCUGUUAAAUUUUAUUCCUUAAAAUUGAGAGAAAUAUCUAAGUGACUUGCCAUUUAAUUAUCUUUUGUGCUCUUCUAGAUGCAUGAGAGGUUGAUAUUGUUUAUGUGGUGGUAAUUAUGUGGGCUAAAAGUUUAGGUUCCAAUUAUAAAAAGUAGUUGAUGUAGAUGAUGCAGCUUAAAAUCUACCUCAAAUGGUGUAUGAUAGUUUAUGGAUGGAUGGUGGUUUAGUGGUCAAAUGUUUACAUAUAACUCUUGAUAUGAACAAGAAUAUCUAAGUUCAAUUAUAGAACUUCUAAUUUGGUUCUCCUCGUUAAGAUCCUGAUAGUCGCUGAGGAGUUUUCACUAUAGUGCUUCUUUUAAUAUCUACUGAACAAUUUUUAGUAAAAUACUUAAAAUAUACACUCUACAGUAGAACCAAAUAAACUCUAAGGCUUAGUUUGACAUUGAGACCUAUCUAACGCUAUCAGAUAGAAUGGAGAAUAUAUUGUAACCGACUCAUCGCGAUAUACGGAACGCAAUAUUAGAUACGGAAACAAACAAAAUAUUUUUUUAAUGUACUUUCUCACCGCACGUAACGCAAUCUUUCCGUAAUUCCAAACGAAAUCUAAUAAACCCCUUUAGGUCUACGCGGACCAGUGGGUGGAUCUUCUCUUCUCCAAAGUUGAUUUUGAUGGGCGCGAGUCAUCGAACAGUCACGGUAAACCUACUCAUAAAUAUUUAAAAUAAUAAAUAUUUAAAAUGUUGUAUUAUACUCUUAUAAUAAUGUAAGCCUGCUUAAAUAUUUGUGUAGAAACUAUAUAUAUAUAUAUAUAUAUANNNNNNNNNNNNNAUAUAUAUAUACAUAUAAAUAUUUUUUAGGCUAAAUUACAGAAAAUUUUUCUGUUAAAAUUUAAUUUUUCACUUUUCUUUUCUGUCAUUUAAAAAUCUACAUUUUGCUCCUUUAUAAAAUAAAAAAUAUUCACUUCAUCCCCUACCGUUAGGGUUCUAUUUAUAAAAUAUUAUUAUAUAUUUUUUUCUUACCAAAAAUGAUCAGGGGCAAAAUGAUUAUUUUAUCAUCACAGUUUAUUCCGUACCCGCUGUGACAGUUUUUUAUUUUACAAGGGAGCAAAUGUAAGUUUUUAAAUGACGUGAAGAAAAAGUAAAAAAUUAAAUUUUGACAAGAAAAUUUUAUAUAAUUUAGCCUAUUUUUUAUAAUAAAUUUAUGUAUUAUAAGCUUGUAUUGAUGAUAAAAUUGAUGUAGUACUUGUUAACUGGUACCUACUCUUUCCUGUUUAAUUUAAUAUAUCGACUCUUUAUUCGCAAGAAAUAAAUUGUACCGUAGAAAUGAUACGACAUCUUAAUUGUACGUACCCGGAUUGCACGCACCCAAAAAAAGGGGGAAAAUGUAAAUACUCAUUGAACUCCAACUUGUUUUUUUGGUAUGCAGAGGCUUAAAAUUUUAUUUGGAUAAAUUGCACAUUUGGUCCUCAAACUAUGAGUCGGGCGACACUUUGGUCCUCAUAGUUUAAUUUAUUAUAAUUUCUGACUCGAAUUUUUAAGAUUAUUACGAUCAAGUCCUACAGCCCACUUUAGUUGACUAAAUAUUAAUUCAGCAGUGAUGUAGAGAUGAUGCGACAUUUUAAUUGUUUGUUUGUCAUCAAUUAUAAUAUUGCUAUAUUAUUUUUAUAUUAGUGAUACGUUAGUAUUUAAUCAAUUAAUUAAUAGCAAUAAUUUUGAAAGUUCGAGUAAGAGAUUGCAACAAUUUAAACCUUGAGGGUCAAAAUGUCACCCGCCUUAUAGUUUGAGGACGAAACGUGCAAUUUACCUCUUUUAUUUUAAUAAUAAUUUUUUAAAACUUUAUUAAAUAGUUUAAUAGAUUCCUAAUUGAUGUUAGUAAGUAUACCAUCAUUUCGAUCAUAUGUUUUGUGCAUAACUUUAUAAAGCCUUAAAAUAUAAAGAAAAUUUUUUUUUAUUCUAACACAUGUUAAAAAAUAAUAAAAAUUAAAAGUUUGUCCUAUUCAAUACUCAUGCUUAAUUGUAAAAUUUAGAAGAAAACAUAAAAAAAAUAUUCUAUAUUUUGAAGUUUUACAACAUUAUUAUGUACAAGAUAUGUGAUCAAACAUCUGUGUAAUUAGUAGUGAUUGAGGAGAUAGGUUUGUUAGAUUAUUAAAUAAAAUUUAUAAAGUCUAAUUAUCAAAAUUUAAAAUUAAAGCGCGUAUUUGUAAAACAAAACUAAAGUUUGAACCGUCUAUCUACAUUGGCCUUUUUUAUAAAAACUCACUAGUUUUGUAAUUUUGUAACAUCAAACCACCUUUUUGAAUUUUCCAUAUUUAAACCAAAUUUUAAGAAAAAUGACCACACUUUUUAUAUAUCUCUUACGCUUUCCUUUCUCUCUCGCACGUUCUUCUCCUCCAACUUCGUGUUUCCUCCUCUUCCACCGUCCAAAUAUCGCUGAAUUCCUUCCAGCCUACUUCACACAUGUCUUCACCAUCGUCACUGUGCUUCUAUCUGCCUGCCUCGUCCCCGUAGGUAGCAAUGAGACCGUUCCAGACAAAGAGCUCAGUGGCGAGGCCGUGAUGAAGCGCGUGGCUGUGGACAGCGAUGGCGACGAGGGCUUUGCAGAAUUUGAGGAUGGCGCAAAGGAAAAACGUACUGAACCGGGAUAGCGGUUACGAAGCAUGUAAUGGAAGUGACAGAGAACAAAAAAUAUGAAGCAUACGAUGGAAGACGCAGAGGGUAAGGGAAGGGGCACCGUAGCAGAAAAUAAUAGAGGGAUACGGGGCGAAAGUAAAAAAAGGCUUAUUUUUAUAAAAACACAAAAUUAGGAAAUUUUUUUAACGCAAAUUGGCCUUGCACAUUUUUUUUUUUUCCCAUAAAUGUCAGCAAAUUGACGUGCAACUGUUUUGGAGAAGUUAUUGCAUGGACCUGGUGCAACAUGUGGAUUGCGUAGACAACUUGGCUUUAAUCUGUUUUUUUUUUUUUCGUUGAGGGCAAUUUUUCUGUUAUCAAUCUAUAGUUUUGAAAAAUUUAUUUUACUAAUUACCAUUUUUAUUUUAAACCUUUGUAAAGAUGUGCUUAAGUAGGAUAUUAUAAUACUGUAAUUUGUAAACCAUAAGAACGUAAAAUUAUAUAUUUUAUAAAUUACAAAAUGGCAAAACAUAGUGUUUUCCACAUCUAUAAUUUAUAUUUUUCUAUAAGAGCAUGUUUGAUUCGCAUUAUGUCAGAUAUCUGAGAUUUCUGAAUCAGACUAUUAUUAAUGCUGCAUUAUCUCGUUUGGUUUAAUAUAAUAACAUAAUGUAUGAUAAAUUUUUUAUAAAGUGUAUAUAAAUUUUUAUGGUAAAAUAAAAAUAAAACUAUAUAAUAGCACGGUAAAGUGUAUACAAGUCUUUAUAAUAAAAUAAAACUAAAACUAUAUAAUAGUAUGGUAAAACUUUUUGGUAAAGCUAAAUACACUAAAUUAUACCAAUUUUUUACUUUCAAAACCUCACAACUUGGGGAAAAAUAAUUUUUCAAUCCAAAAAUCUUUCUCCCUUUUUGAUCCUAAGCCGGUGUCUUAAACACCAAAAUUUUUCUAUUACUUUUGAGUGGGUAAAUUGCAACAUAGUCCCUAAAAUUUCUCCUAAACUUAUUUUGAUCCUCAAGCUUUCAACUUUAACAUUAGAAAUCUCAAAUUUUUACAAAGUUUCACUUUAGUUUCUGUGCACGUUUACUAUUCAUCAAUAUAUAUUCCAAAUAUUUAUCAGGUUUUAUUUUUUUUAUUAAUCUUACUAUCCAUAUAAAAAAUGAAUUAUUAACUGACAUUAUGAGUGGACGAACGACAGAUUAACAGAUCUAUGAUAUACAGAUAGACGAAUGAACUAGGUGUACAUGAUAUAAUUUUAAGUCGAAAAUAAUAAUGAAAAUAAAAUAAUUUUGAAAGUUUGGAAUCUAGAACGCGUAAAAAUUUGAAGAUUAAAAUGAAAGUUGUCUUGUAGUUCAGGAAUUAGCAGUGCAAUUUAACAUCUCCCAUCCAAAGGCUAUAAAUAUCACGCUAUCAUUUUUUGGAUUGGAACAGUUCAUCAACUUUAUUUGUAGUGAUUUCUAAUUUAAUUUUUGUAAAAUAUUAUAAUCAAGUCUUUCAAUUCAAUUUAAUUGACUAAAUAUUAAUGUGUUGUUAACGUGAAAGUAAGAUAACAAUUAGGUUAUAAUGACGUGAUAAUAAUUAAAAUGUCAUAUUAUUUUUUACAUCAGCCCGAUGAUAGUGAUCCUAAAAAUUGGUUGUAAUAGUUUAUAAAGUGUGGUUUUAUAAAUUAUUACCAAAAUCGUAAUUAUUAUUAUUAUUAUUAUGAGUGAGGCUACUAUGCUAUCGAAAGCACGGAGCCUUCCGUGCUUCCAGCUCGUUUUCGAUGUUGCGACUUUCAAAUCGUCGAUCGACUCCGUUAAACUUGAUCUAGAGUAUUUGAAGUACCUAGAAAAUAAAUUUUAUAAUUUUACGAUAUCAUUUGCCUAGUGAACGAAGGGGCUCAAAAUCAACGGCUGAAAAUAAAAAUCUUACAAAAUGUAAUAAUAUGACAUUAAAAUUUUAAAUCAAAGAUAUUGAUCUUGUUUUAUAUAGUAUAAAGAAUUUUCUAUCAAAAUUUCACGUGAUUUGGAUAUUUCUACACCGUUAAACUUGCAAACGGCUCACUAACGCAAUUGAAUUAUUGAUUUUGAGCCCAUUUCGAUCACUAGCAAAUGAUAUCGAAAAUAAUAAAAUUUAUUUUCUAUGUACUCCAAAUAGUCUAAAUCAAAUUAACGGAGCCGAUCGACGAUUCGAAAGUCACAAUAUCGAAACGAGCUGGAAGCACGGAAGGCUCCGUGCUUUCGAUAGUACAUAGCCUCACUCUAUAUUAUUAUUAUUAUUAUUAUUAUUUUUAUUUUUUUUUUUUUUGGGUGAGAUUUGAUUUGGUACAAGGCGUACGUAUAAAUAGUGUUUGUUUACUCGGCUCCUGCUCCAUCCCCUCUCCCCCACGCCCCGCGCCCUCGCCAUGUGAGCUCCCCUCGGGAACAGCGAAGGAUCUCCCAUGGCGACUCCCCCACUUAGAUCUCCUCCCCAUCCCCCUCCUCGUCCCCCCUCAUUCCCAUCUCUCGUACGUCCCUCUCUCUCUCUCUCUCUCUCUCUCUCUCUCUCUCUCUCUAGGGCGAAAUCGGAUUCAAAUUUGGGGGGCGAUUCGAUCUGAUUUGGUCCCCUAAUUAGGCCAUUUGCGGCUGUAAAAAUACCCAAUCUUUCUAAUCAUCUUGCGGGUAGAAGAAGUGGAUUUCGCGAUUGCUCUUGAUUUAUCUGUAUCUUAGGGUUUGUUUGUUUGUUUGAUUUUUUUUUUUUCCCUUUUUUUGGGGUGGUAUCCUUAUCCUUGCCCCCAAAUUUCCCGUGUUUCUUACUGAAGUUGCAAAUUUUUACUACUAUUCGUAAUCUCUGGGUUAAUCGGGCAAUUUGCUAGUGCGAAAAGUUUCACCUUUUCGUUGAUUUCUAUUCGUUUUGUUGUUCUCAUCUUUCUCACUUAGUCCCUUUUUAUGUCUACAUCUCAUGGUGUUCUGCUAAAAUUGCUAAGUUUUGCCACUUUUUUUUUUGAUCCGCUGGGCUAAUCGGGAAAUUUGCAAACGUGAAAAUUUUCACCUUUUUGUUGAUUUUUAUUGAUUUUAUUGUUCUUAUCUCUUGUACCAUUUUGUCCCUAAAGAGUCUUCUUUCGAUGAUCUUUUCGUAAAUCUUGGGUUUUGUUUCUUCUCACUCUAUGCAGUUGUAAAAAAAAAUCAAAAAUUUCGAUAAUUUUUACUUUAUACUGUUAUAUACUUAUACUCUCUUCUGUUGCUAUCACUAUGCAAAUAUAUAUAUUUUUCCUUUCUGCAGUUAAUAAUAAUAAUAGAAGAAUAUAAUCUUUCACCUCUUUCUCUUUAACUACAUAUAUGUGUGUAUCUACAUGAAUUUUGAUGGCUCUAGCUAAUAUUUAGGCUUUCAUUCUAUUUUCCGACAAUUAGGAUGUUUGGCAAGAGAAAUCACUGGAUCAUGUAGAAAGAUGGGAUGCGCUUCAUCCAUCCCGAAGCGAUACAAUGCAGGUAGGCGGCGGCGGAGGAAGAAACAGAGCAUACUUAAUGAGGUGGCCGUGUACGUGCCGGCCCUCUGGGUCCCGUUGGCCUCCGAUGUCGUCCGCCCUCUCAGAGGACUUGUAUCGCGGGAUGUCUUAGACCGGCUCUCUGCACUCCGUGGCAGGAUUGUGUCGUUGGCCGAAGAGAAUUGUAUGUAAUGUUAUGCUGUAAAUGUGCUCUAUUUGUUUGUCGAUUCAAUUUCAUGUGUUUGAUUUGUUAUGUUUAUUAAAUCAUGCGUCAUUGAUAUUGUUCUUGUAUACUUAUUAGAUCUUGCCACUGUGCCUACUGUUUCGGAGCUCCUGCAUGCGCUUGAAGAGUACUUGCCUAUUCUUCUUGGUUUGGCCAAAAAAGGUUUGAUCUUUUUUUCACGUGCAUUUUAUGUACUUAUUCCAAACGAGUAUCUUGUAAUUAGAUGCAUUGUUUUCAUAGAUAACCGUCUCGAAGCAUUGGUAGAAUUCAAAUGGAAAAAUUUAGGAGAUGAUCAAGUAAGAAUCUGACCUCAUUAUUUCUUCGUCCAUAUGCUAUUUUUUGUUCUUCAUAUAUGUCGGAUAUUGUUGCACUAAUAGAUUGCUUCAAAAGCAGGAAUGUUGUUUUUCCAGUGCUUGGUAUGAAGUACUAUCGGUUGUUCACAUGAUUGCAAUGCUUUCAUUGAUGGAAGCAAACUUGAUGCUGGUUCCAAGAAAUGGUCAAGAUGCAUGUGAAAUGAAAGUAUCUGAAGGUCCGUGGUUUCCUCGUUGAUGAAAUUUGGGGCAUUCGGUCCAAAAAAUUAAGGGAUCUGACUGAAAUUACACAUAAUUUUUUCAUUUUAGUUUUUUUUCCCUUGGAGGGAGCGUGUUUAUAGGGGGUGGUCCAUACAUUUUUUACUACUAAUUCUUAAAAGUUAUUGGCUACUAUUUUUGGGCAGAUUCCAAGAAAGAUGUCAUUGAUUUGUUGAUCAAGGCAUCAGGAUGCUUGGAUUAUUGUGCUCAUCACAUAAUUGUUCACAUUCCUUCACAGAUUAGGUAUGCAAUAGACAUCUUUAUGAGCUUUUUUGAUGAUUGAUUUAUCUUGGCAAAUUAUAUGGGUUGCUGUGCUUCUGAACUGCAAUAUUAUUAGUAUGCUGGGGCCGUCUGUUUAAAUGUGAGAUGAAUCUUCUUUCAUGAAUUAUUAAUUUCUAGGAAGAAUUUACCAAACACCUUUCAAGAGGGCACGCUGGAAGCUGCUUCAAUUCAGGCAUUGGCACAGGUACUUCUUUCACUAAAUAAUUUUUGAGUGUCAUUUAUUGUCAACAAUGAAAUAUUGUUUCAGUCUGGGUCGUUAGCCGUCUAGGUUGUUAAUCCUAGAUGGUUGUUUUUAUGAUGCAACAUUUUUUUUUUUAUAGACAACAUUUUCUUCACAUUACAUUAAGUUGGGUACAAAGCAAUGCUGUUCUCAAAAAAGUUGUUCAAUUGUACAAAUCUUUAAGGUGUGCCAUCUAAGUUUUCACUCAUGUGAUUUAAUGAAUGCGUUAGUUAGAACAUUGUGUCUAAUUUCACAUUACAUAGUAACUUUUUCCUUUUCUAUCCAUCUCACAAACAUUUUCGCCACUACUUUUCUUCAAUAUUCAAUGCAGGGUGUAGAAAUGCAGCUUGGGUUGGCUAUUGAAUCUGAAAAGGCCACCUUAUCUGUAAAGAGGAGGUUGGCAUGUGAGGAGGUCAGCUAUUUUUCACAGGUCAGUGAUUGAAAAGCCAAAGUUGAAUGCUAAGGAUGCUGCUAUUGUGCAUUUUCUUUGUUGAUGAGGUUACUGUACAUAUUGAGUAUUAUUAAUAAGGAAUAUGUAUUCUUAUUGCUCUUUAAUUCCAUAGUGGCCUUUUUUUGGUUGGUUAAAAUAAGAUCUGAUCUAUCCCUUAUCUUAGUGAUUAAUCACUAACUAUGACUGCUAUUGUAUAUUCAUACGAUCACAUCUUGGACUAAUAUCAUCGUAGUUGGAAAUAUUAAACCUCUCAGAUGCUAAUUUUAUCAAACUCAAUCUGCAUUCCCAAAAGAAAUAGUAAAAAAAAAAAUCUUCCCUACAUGCACUCAAGAAGAAAGACAAAUGGACUCUGGAGCACAUUCUCAACAGAUACAGCUGUUGGCCAUGUUGUCAGAAAGAUACACUUCUUGUUUAUUGUCAAUUUCCUUUUCUCUUCACCAGGCCCAUUACUGCUUAUCAGGAUGCGACACCAGUGAUGCGUACGGAAAGAAGCUUCUCUUGUUCAUUAAAUGGAAGUACUUAGAGGCAAAGGUGCCACAAAUUACUCAUGCCAUGAACCAGAUUUCUUGAAGCCUAGUUUGGGAACGCAAUUUCUGAAUGCAGAAACCCUGCUGGUUUGAUGCGAUAGAGCUCGAAAGAAAAUCUAAAGCGCAUUAGAGCUCUCCUCUUGCAAUGCUAUGAUAUAGUGCGGGAACCUGCACCAUCAUUUCAUAGCAUCGUAGGACCAAAGCUUUAAGUUUUUCCAAAUUUUCUUUGGGAUGGCAAGUAUGAAAUUGUUGUGUUUGGAGAAUGGAUUCCCAAACUAGGCCUGAGUCUCUUAUUAAGGGUCUGUUUGGCCUGCCUGAGCUUCUGCACGAGUGCAGUUUACUUGAGCUGUUCAAGAAGCACUGGCGACUGUUUUAGUAAAAUAUCCUCAACUGCUUCUCGAUACAGCAAAGCAGAAACUUGAAAAUAUUCUACUUUUUGGGUCUGCAGCAAAAGCUCCAAACUAUAAUUAGCCAAAUCCUUGGCGACACUGACUAUAAUUGGUAUAUCUGACUAUAAUUGGUAUAUCUAAUGCUCAAAUAUCCCAUCAGGCUGCGGCAUAUUACUAUCAUGGUCUUGUUCUUGACAAGGGCAGUGAACCGAGCAAUCACAUCAGUGCAGUUUGCUGCCUUUGUGCUGCAGACGAACUCCUCAUUGAUAGCAAGAGGGCUUGCUUAAGUUUUUGCUUGGCUUCUCCGGUAACCAGGUUAGACAUAUUUAUAGUUGGAGGCGCAUACCAAUUUUGAUAUGUGUUUACAUGGUAACUCUGGAAAUUUGUCACCUAAUACAUAUGUAAAUGGAUGAUGUUGCAGGCGUAUUACGUGUAAAAAUCCCUUUUUAGUUUAUCAGAUGUAUUACACAAUCUGAACCUUGGUUUUUGGGUGAUUUUCUUUCUCACAGGGUACCUCCCGCAUGGGGUGUUAUGAAAAAUUUGCAUAAGAAAGUUCCUGAUGUAGCACGCAAGAAGUUUCAGACAUAUUCAUACCUUAUCGAACAAGAUAAGAAUGCGUAUGCCCCUCUAUACUCUCGAGUUUCCAUUACCUUUGAUAUUUCUCUUUCAUUUCUCGAAAAUAAAGAAAUAGUAGAGGUAUUAUUUGCAACUCUCAAUCUUACUCUUUUUCCCGAAAACUUCAGAUACCCUUACCCUUCCUGUGUUGCAUAGCGUGAAUCUAUUUGAAGCUUAGAAUGUGACAUUUAAGUACUUAACCCAACCUGAGGUUGCUGUUCUGGUUGCCAAUUAGGAGUUCCCGUUAGUCAUUAGAACUUAGUGCAUGAUAAUCACACCAUUUGUUAAUAGUGGUAUUUAUAAAAUGGUAAAAACAUAUGGAACUUAUCUGAACUAUGGACUAUUUUCAAUCGGCUAACCCAAUCUUUCAAAAUUUUAAUUUUAUUGCGGAACUCUUAAUUUGUUUGAUUUGAGUUAGCCAGCCAACCACACUUUUAACGUCAAAGAUUAAGCUAAUUACUUUAUUAAUAUAUAGCUGCGAGAAUUGCAUGAAGUAUACUAACUAAACAUGUAAAGUUAAACAAUACAUUCAAAUUUUGAAGUGAAAAUCAAAAUGCUCUUGAAUGCUCAAAUCAAACAAAUUGAAAUUUUGGAUAGUAAAAUCAAAUUUUGAAAUAUUGGGUUGCCAACUCAAAAUGGCUCAUAAUUCAGAUAAAUUUUGUACGUCUCUACCUUACAAAAUUUAACUUAUUACGUGGUCACAGAAUCCACUCUCUCUCUCUCUCUCUCUCUCAUUUGCUGGUUUCUUUUCCUUUCUGUAGGCUACUCCAUUCUUUACCCGACCUUCCAGAGUUCCCGCUGUCACUGAGAUCCGACGCGUACGAGUUGCCACAAAUCGAUGCAUCAUGGGACAGUGAGGAUUGCCAACCUCAGAUUCAAAGCCUCAAGGAGCAUCUCAAAGACGACGAAGAUGAAAUAGAAGCCGAACAAUAAUGCAUAAACCUCGAUACUUCAUUCUAAAUCCAGGCAACUUAAAUAUCUCCUCCUUUUAAGGCAUGUUUUCGGUGUUUUGCUAUUUGCCAGCGAAAGGGAAUGAUAAAUGAACAUUCAACUUUCUCAUAUAGUUAAAGAUUUUUGAGUGGAAAUUCGUAAUGUCGAAGAACUACUUUUGUUUUGAACUCUUCAAUGGAAAGUUUGUGGCAAUUUGUUUAGAUGGAAAUCUCAUAUGGAGAAGGCUUUGUCCAUGCAGAUAUUACAUGUGCAUGUAACAACAUAUCUUGUUUGCCAAACAUUGAUUGUUGCAUAUACAGCAUGCCGGGUGUGAAUUAUGGCAGUACCAAACGAACCCUUGAAGGCGCAAAACUACACAAAAGCCACAUAUAUCAGAUUGUGUGUGAAUUACACCACCUAUUACAAAUCAGAUCAGUUGGGAUCUUACUUAUGGGCAUUAAAUGUAACGGGCUGAAAAAUUCAGCUCGUGUAAUACUGAAUGCUAGCCGGCUCACAAACAAUAAGUUAAAAAAAUUAGAAUAUACAUAUAUAUAUAUAUAUAUAUAUAUAUAUAUAUAUAUAUAUAUAUAUAUAUAUAUAUAUANUAUAUAUAUAUAUAUAUAUAUAUAAGAAAUAAAUUCUUUAGAUCUUAUCUAUUAGAUUUUGAUGUAAUGGUUAAAAUUUUACAUACAAAUGAGCCUUUUUAUAAUUGAAUUGGACUUUAUAUUUAGAUUAGGCUAAAAAUCAAAUAAUAAAAAUUUAUAUUUUAUUAAUAUAAUUAUUUAUUUCUAUAUAUGAAUGUAAAAUAUACAAAUUAUAUAAAUGUAAAAUAUAUGUAUUCGAGCUGUUAUCAGAACCGAAUACGAGCAAGCUGAUCCUAGCUCGUAUUCGGCUCGUUUAUUAAAUAAGCAUUCAAUUCCGAGUCAAGAUGAGCUGGCUUGCGAACAGUGAACUGGAUUGCCGCCCCUACCUACAAUGCAAAAGAAACAGCAGGGUCUUUUUAAAAUUUGUGUAAAUUGCACUCCUAGUCCCUGAUUUUUCAAAUAGUUUUAUUUUGGUCCUUAGAGCGCCACAGUGGAAAUAAGCUGAACCGUAGGGGGCAGUUUGAAGUUUACCCUUGCUAAUUUCAUUAGCUUGCACGUGCAUCGCACGUGUUUUAAUGCUUAGUACAAAUCGGGGUAACCCGGGUUGGUCCCGGACUCCCGGGGAGCCACAGAAUAGUAGUCUUUUGAGAUAACGUUAACGGGCCGUCGAUUUUGGUGGGCCCAUUUCAUCGGACGGCCCAAAUUUAAUCCUUCCCCCUUAAUUAUUUUUAUUCUUUUUAUUGGCAAAAGUGUUCGGAGACCCCUCAACUAUCGCUUUAUGCUCUUGAAUGCUCAACUUUAAUUUUCUCUGUUUCGCAACCCUUUCAAACUUUCUUUUGAAAUUUACUGAUUAGUUAAAUUAAAAAUUUUAUUCAUAUAUAUAUAUAUAUAAUUUACUACAAUUAGCAAUAAAUUUUAUAAAUAUUUAUAUAUAUUUGGUUAAAAUCACUUAAUUUUUUUUAAAGACAAAACGUUAGAGCGUGUCCAUCAGAAAACGAAAAAGUCAGGGGUUUUAAUGCAACUUUCACUUUUUUUAACUCCGCUCGAGAAAAAGAAAAGAAAAAAGAAAAAGAAAAAGGGUACGCGCCUCUCCUUCCUCGUCGCGUGGGGGAGAAGACGACGAACGAGGUGCGAAUAACUCGUCUUCGAAACCCUAACCCUAGAGAUUACAAGAUUCCUCGAUCCCUUUCACAACUUUUUUUUUUUUUUUUUUUGAUAUUCUCUCCCUUCUCCUUUUGGUUCUGUUUCUGUGGUAUCUGUUUGAUCCGUGUACAUGAUAACAUAUAUCUCUUUCGGUUUUUGAUCCAUAAAGUUGAUCUAGUAAUGGCCGCUUAUAAGUGUUUGAUUUGAAGCUUAAAUUGGAGCUACAUUUCGAGAGUAACUGUGGCCAAGAAAUUUGUAUGUGGUGAUAAUGUCGUGAUCUACGAAUUAGGGUUUAACGUGUCCAUUUUCACUUGAUUUCUCCUUAUUUUGCUUACUAUUUUUGUAUGUAUCCGUGCAAGAUCUUAAAUAUACGUAUUGCUCCUCAGAGAUUGAUGUUAUUUAUGAGCUUAUUAAUCCUCAUAAACGUUUAAAAAGUAGUUACAUCUAUAUCUAAAUGACUAUUGUAUCCCUUUUAAAUAUGGCGCUUUUUCAAAAAAAACAAUUGGGUAGAAAAUUGCUCGAAGAAGGGGUGAAAUAUUUGAAAGGGUAAAGAGGUUUUUUUUUUUUGUUUUUUACUUUUCUUUUAAGUAGCUAAUAUGCAAUUUAAAAGGUCAACUAGCGCCAGUAAUAACAGAGGGAUAAAUAUUUAAAUUUUUAAUUUUUGUGCGAAUAAUUAUCCUCUCAUUAGAUAAGAUUUAAAAAAUAAAUAAGUAAAUGUACAAUUUUGCGUAUAUGCUGCAUUAGUUUUAGUUGUGUUUGGUUCUAUCUGAUUUAUCAAACAUUAUUGAUUUUCAAGUUGGUUUGCUACAGGUUGCAUCCUAUCCUCUUAUUAUUCCAUGACUUUGUGAGAUCUGAGAAGCUGUUUCAGUUUUUAAAUGGGGGAUUGCGCUGCUGUGCCAUUAUGUGCUCAGUAUCAAAUACAAAGGCUUACUUUCAAUGAUAAUCGUUUCAUACCCAGGAAUGUGUCUAUUAGACUGCUGAGAAGGUCAAAAACAGCAAACAAAGUUUUGUCUUGGUUCUUAUGCAAAUAUCCUUCGGAAAUUUUUAAUCAUUUGAAAUUCAUGGGCCAUUUUAUUUGUUCAGGAACUGCAAUUUGAGAGAAGGUCAACUCAUCUAUGGGUUAAAAUCAUCAAAGGUACAUGUGAUGAAAAUUCCUCUUCCUGCAUCAAAUGGACUUGGUUCUAGAAAAGAGCAUUCCUUGAAGUGUCAUUGCACUUGGUCAUUCAUGGACUCAGAGGGUGUAGUUCCGUUGAAUUGGAUGCUUGUUGAUCAAACGCUUCUAACAGUUAGCAUAAUAUUUACAUACAUGGCUGGUGUGAUACCUCAAAGAAGGAACUUUCCAAGUUUUACAAGUAGCAGUAGAAGGAAAUAUAAAGAUGCUGCAGAUUCUACCAAUUAUGGUAGGUAAGAGUAGGAUGCUAAAAGUUUUGCUGGUGCAAGUUUAUAAAUCUAUUUGUCCUUCUUACUUGGCUAAAAUUUGGGCUAUAUUCCAACGUGAUUCAGUGGAAGUGAUUCCUGGGGCGAAGUGAGAGCAAAACUCCUAGAAGCUUUGAAAGCACAUGAACAGAAUGGUGAUUCAGAUGAUGUAGCAAUCAAAUUUGAGAACUGCAGCAAAAGUUAUCCUUUGAAUAUGUUUGCUAUAAAUGAAGGCCCCAGGUUGCGACUCUUGUGGGCUGCUUUCCAACAACUGCAACAAGAGGCAAGCAUUCUUUUCUAUGUUUGUAGUGCUGGAUUGUUUUUAGUUCUUUUAAAUUUUCUCAGGUUUCUUCAUGUAAUGUAGCAAAAAAAAUAACUUUGGAAUGACUAUGUUUUAUUUUCUGACUAGUACGUAAGCGCUGGCUCCUUAGAUUCUAUUGCUCUUUGCUGUUGCCUUCUUCAAUGUAGAGUUCCUUUUUAUCCCGUUUAUUUUUCACAUUUUAGUUGUCUUUCAUAACUGCAACUCAUUCUGUGAUUGCUGAUACUAAUAAUUGAGGAAUUAUCUAUUUCUUUGACUAGCUUAAUAUUCAAACCAUUACCGUAGUGGUUGGUCACUAUUUCUGCUAAAGUGUAUUUCCAAACAAAUAUAGUGUAGCCUAUGGAAUCUUAUACAAGUGACAGUAGACUGGAACGUCCACUUUUUAUUGGUUUAUGGACAUCUCGGAAGGUUCUGUUAAUUUUGGUGUAAUCCCUUUCUUUAAGAACCUGUUUCCGAUGAGUAGUUACUGUUGAGUUUGGUUAUCAAAAUCGUGUUCAAGCUGGUCAAUAGAAUUCAUUCCGACCAUCACCAAAAAACCCAUAAAAGGACAUUUUAGAAGGUAAUCUAAUUUAGUCUAUACUAUCUUUCUCCAGAACGACUCAGUGUUUGCUUCUUGUGCAAAAUAUAUUAUGCUGUUGUGUCUGCUCUGAAGAUGCUAUAACUAACUGCAGGUCAUUAAUAUCUCACGAGCUGGAAGGGAAAAUUGGAUGGUAAUUGUCACAGAUGUUAUAAAGGGGUCUAUUGAGGCAAUAUACAUAAAAUGGCUUGAAGAUGAGCUGAGGCUGAAAAUUGGGGAGCCCAAUACAGUAUGGCAAAAUUUCAGAAUGUUCAUUUUCUUUUCUCUGGUUGCUUUAUUUUGUAUUGAGAUGUGCAUUUCUGUCUCAGAAGUUACUUACUAGUACCAUUGGGAAGUUGAAAGGAGAUGAUAGAAUCUUACAGAACUUCAAUAGAUCAGGGAAGGGUGAACUAUAUUCAGACUUACUGUUCUUUCUCAGAUUUGGGUCUCUCAGGUAUGGUAUUAAAUAUUUGUAUAUCUUACUACUAUCUUUUUUUUUAAUACUCCUUAUUCUUUGUUUAGAUAAUCUGUUUUUCAGUUAGCUUAGAAUUAGCUUGAUACUACACUAAUUUAGAUUUGUAGAAAUACUCAUAAAAGUUGAGUUUCUUGUUUUGUGCUAUAGGUGUUUUCAAGCUUUCACUCAUCAGGAUAACUGUUAAAUAUGUUGAUCCUUUGAUCGUUUUCAUUCAAAUCCGCUAUACUCUUUGGACUUUUUUUUUUUCCUUGGAAGGUUCAUUAAGGGGCUGUUUGGUUCGAUUCUUCCGACUAUAUAAUUAUUAUAAGAGGCGUAGAGAAGAAUGUAGGGUCUUGUCGUACGUAUGGAUCCUGAACUCUACCUGUACCGUUUAAGGUUCUCAUAAAAUGUUUGGAUAUUGAAAUUUAUAUGUACUGUUUAAUUGUAAUGUGCCAAAUGGUCUAUGUACUUUCUGGUUUGUUCUGCAGAAUGGUACAUAAACUUUUCCUUUUUUUUUUUUAUUUGUCUCAUGGCAGAAAUGGUUGCUGUUAUGAUACUAAAUUUCUGACUGAGAAUGGAGUUAUUAUUUUGGAAGAUCUGGUGAUCUGGUUGGCAGAUGUAACAGCCAGUUUUUAUCUAGAGCUUGUCUCCAUUGAUGGUGACACACCUAGUGAGAUAAGUGUUUUGGGCCUGUCUCUUUGUUCUCUCUCUACCAGAUCGCUUCAAAGACUACGCAAUGAGGUAAGUUGAGAAAGCUCAAUAUUUGUUCAAUGGCAAACUUCACUUAUCUAUUCUUUCGAGCCGUCAUAUGGCAAUUAAACUUCUUAAAUAUGUCUGUUUUAGUGACACUCCUAUUGUGUUUCCAUGGAUUUCGUGGUCAUAUUCUACUGUACAAUCAACCUGGUGCUUCCUAGUGGAUGACAUCUUUCAUUCUUGUAUACAAUUAUCAGGAAAUGUGUGCUACUCUUCUAGAGCUGUCUGACAUAGCAGUUCCAGUUGGGUAGCUUAGAAUUAAGAUAGGAGGUUAUACCGCCUAAAAUUGUUGUAAGAUAGGAAGCAUUUUUUAGGAUUAUAUGCAACAAUAAAAGUUUUGUUUGGCAACUUCUGCAAGAAAGGAGGGUUUAUAUGUGAAAAAGAUUCAAAGCACUUGCCCAUUUCUUUUGCUUACUGAAAUUGAUGGCAAUUGAAUUUUGGACAUUUUUGCAAGGACUUGUGUCAUUCUGCAAUCGGUAUGAUGUUUUCACUAAACCUGUAAACUAUGGGUAUAGAUACAAAAUAUUUUUAUGCGCAGGCUGGCAAUCAGGCCUUGGUAGCAGCCAAUUGAAUUAAUCAUCUCUAGAGUCUAGACUCGACUUAUUUUUAAUAGGUUUCUAGUCCAAGGUAAUCUCCAGGCUGGUGUGGACAAGUUUAGAGGAAAAUAGAGUAGAUUACUUUCUCAAUGACUUUAUUUACAAUCUAUGCUAGUGUACUAUGUAUGGUUUCAUUAAGUUGUAGCAGUAUGCCAGUUCUACUGUUGAUUACCUUUGAUUAGGCAUUUUCUGCAUAGAAGAGAUAGCAUAACACCGGCGCGCAUGAAUAAACUCAUGUAGGAUUCAUAUCUAAUUAAAUAACUUCAGCAGGACAGUUAGGAAAAGUUUGUGGCCGGCUUUCUUGUUCUGAUGCACAAGCAUCUGCUCUCGAAUCUUGAUCUCCAGGUGGCACUGAACCGUUGGCUGCAGCAAAAUUUUGAGUCAGUUGUUGCAAUGUUUGACGACAGGUAUGAAUUGUAUGUUCUCUCCAGGCAGCAAAGAGAGAUGCCGGAGAAUCAUAAAAGGGCCAUUUGGUGGAAAAGGUUUGCUUUUAGAAACUCUGAGGCGCCAUCUGUUGAAAAUUUUGUUCAGAUCAGCCCAUUUUCCUUGCCUGCUAAACGGACUAAGGAGUUGAGAGCCUUGACUGGAUGGUAUUGUCACACUCUUGUAUAGUUUUUGCUACACAUAAAAAAUUGGUCUAUAAGUAUCUCUUUUAGCUUGUGCUAUUAUCUGAAUACUUGCGAAUUCUAUAUGUAAGGCUUCUAUGAAAACGAAAAACAAAAAAUUAGCGUUUCUUUGAUCUAAAAAAAGGUUAUGUUUUUAAAUUAGUCAGUAACAGCAAAAACAAAGAAGUCUGCCCUAAGCGCCUUCAAGAUUUUGAGGGAAACGAGAUCACGAUGUCAAACUCUUGACCUUUGUUUUGCUACAAGUUGUGUUUCCGGAGUUGUAUCAGAAACUUUGAAUAUCUGCUGAACUAAUUUAACCAUAGUAGAAUUUGUCGCUUAAUCUAAAACUAAUAAUGGAUGUCUAGAAAAUCAUUAAAAAAAGUGGUAUUCUUGGUUGUGCUUGUAGGAGGUAUUACUUCAGCUUGGUUUUGGAGUUCUCGGAUAUCACAAUGCCUUUCCUUAGAGCUGUUUGCACCAAGAUCAGCAAUGCGGUGUCCUUCUUCCUUGUCUGUAUGAUUGGGAGAUCAGUCGGACUUAUUUUUACCGGAAUUAGGCAAUCCCUUGGCUGGAGGUAAGAAAAUGUUGUUUUCUUUCUUUCUUUCUUUUGUUAUUACCUUCUCUACAAUUUUUCUAUAUCAUUUGGAAUAGUUCUUGAAGAUGAUGCACGCUUCUUUUUAACAAAGGAGUUCCUAUUAAUGGUUAUUCCUGUUGUUCCAAGAGUUUUGAACAAGAUACAAGAGGGAAAUGAAAGUUUUGAUGAAAAUCUUUUGCUGUAAAUUCUGUUUUUUUUUUCUUUGUUUUUUCAUCUUCCUGAUUGAGGUUCAGAGUGUUCAUUGUCGCAUUUGAACGCAACUGACAUUUAUCAUUUCGACACAAAAUCUGUUCUUAUGAUGAUGCUUUUAUUGUGAAAUACUUCAAUUCUGAAUUACUAGUUCGAUUGAGCAUUUCAUAUUAUCAGCCCAAAACUAUGUGAGGUUUUUGCUUGGAGUAACCGUCUCUCAUUAUCAUUCUUUCCAGUUAUCUGGAGAUAAAACCUGUUAUAUUACCUGCCUGUUAAUGGCUUGGAAGAAAAAUACUUGGACCUUCAGAAAACAUAUAGUUUUAAGGCAUUUUGUAUGUCCUAAAUGUUUCAUGAAACCGUAAAUAUGUGUAUUAACCUUUCAUACGGCGAGAAACUCCGAACCGCAUCAAGCUUUUGUGUGUUUAGAAACCCCUUUUUUUUAUAGUUUUAUUUCAAAGUUAUUUGCUCUUGUUGAUGCUUUUAUACAGUGGUGCUGUUUGAGUAGAGUUAGAUUAUAAGUAUGCUUAUAUUGUUUAAAAUAAAAUCUGCCAAUAUUUUUGAGCAUCCCGUUUGGAUUGGAUACAAGAGGGAAAUAAGGUCGGGGAUAAGGUCUUAUCCCCUUUUGUACCUAAACGCGAAUGCUAAGGGAACUACUUGUUCCCGCCCUUAGCGGAAUGGAUUCCCACUAAGGGUGGGAACAAGUAGGUGGAAUAGGGAUGGGAACAAGCAGUUUCCACCCCUAUUUUUUAAUAAAUUUUAAAAAUUUAUAAUUUGUAAUUUUAAAAUUAAAGUUUAUAAUUUUAAAUUCUAAAUUUUAAAUUGUAAAUUUUAAUUUUAUAUUUUAUAUUUUUCAAAAUUUAAAUUUUGAUAUUUUAUAUUUUUUAAAUUUAAAUUUGAUCUUAAAUUUUAAAACUUAAAAUUUUAAAAUUUUGAAAUUUAAAAUUUAAAAUUUGGGAGUUUAAUUUUAAAUUUUAAUUUCAGAUUUGAAAAUUUAAAAGUUAAAAUUUUAAAUUUAAAGAUAAAAAUUUAAAAUUUAAAAAUUCAAAUUCAAAUAUAAUAAGAGUGAUAAUAUUAUUUUUCUAUUUCUAACUACUCACUUCUUCUUAUAACGCAAAAUUAGUUUAGUUCUCGCUUAUACCUAAACUUGUAUUUAUUUCUGAAAUAAGUCGUUCUUAUUUAUAUCUGAAUUUCUUAUUUAUAUCUGAACCAAACGAAGCCUAGCUUUGUUUGUCUUCCGAAUAUGUGCCUAUAAUAAAAUGCUUGUUUGAAAUACCUACUACUUAGGUAUCAUUAUUAUCUAGUAAUUUUAUUAUCGUUUUCUAGGUGGAAAUUUUUGCAGUUGUCAAAUAUUAGUUAUAGUUUAUUCUUUGUGGUUAUUGGACUUAAUUAUACUAUAGUGUACUAUACUAUAUGUUAGUGUUUUUUUUGUUUUUCUAAGACACCAUUAAACUUUUUUUUUCUUUCUUUUUCAGUUCCUCGACCACAAACAAUGAAUUUAUAAUUUUAGACAAACACUACCAUUUCUCUUAGAAAACAUAAAUAGCAGAACAUAUAUUCAACCUAUUAAUAAAAAAUGCAUAGAAAUAGCUUAAAAAUUAGUUGUAAAUAUUUUCACAGAAGCUUUUAAUGAAUUAAUUUUCUAUCUAAUUAGCGUCUCUUACUAAAAUGGUUAGAUUCUAUCUAAAAUAGUAGAUUUGUUGACACUAGUAAAGAGAGAUUGGCGAAAAAAAAAGAAGAUAAAUUAGUAAUAUUUUUUUAAAAAAAAAUAGUACAAGGUAGCAAGUGAAAACAAAUCUAAAGUAUUAUGUAUAGAUCAAUGAGCAAAUAAAAGUUCAACUAUGUUUUUGAGAACAAAAGUAAGUACAAUAGUGUGGUAGAGGGUAAUUAAGCCUCAUUAUUAUACUUAUUAUUAUUAUUAUUUACUUUUUUAAUUCUUUACGAACUCUUGAGUAUUAAGCAAUAAUAAGUAACUUGGUUGGGAACUUGGUUUAUAGUCUCCAUCCACCAAUUAAUGCAUUGUCUAUGAACAAAUAAAUGAAUUUCGUUGAGUAAGAAGCUAAUGCAUCCAAAAUAGUUCCCACAAAAAUUUAAUUUAAUGCGGGAGUUAGCAUUAAUGAGCCGAGUUUUUUCUUCUUCUUUUUUUCCCCAAACAUUUAUAGAGUCCACACUACUAGUAUGAAAAUGGAACUAAUAAGAGUAAAGAGAACUUAAAUUAGAAUAUAUAUAUAUAUAUAUAUAUAUAUAUAUAUAGAGAGAGAGAGAGAGAGAGAGAGAGAGAGAGAGAGAGAGAGAGAGAGAGAGAACUAGGUUACUAUACUAUCGGUAGCACGGAGCGCUACGUACUACCAAGUUAUUUUCGAUGAUGCGGCUUCCAAAUCGACGAUCGGCUCCGUUAGACUUGAUCUACACUAUUGAAAGUAUUUAGAAACUAAAUUUCAUAAUUUUUCGAUAUCAUUUACCUAUCAAACAAGUAGUCUAAAAUUGAACGGCUGAAAAUAAAAAUCUCAUGAAAAAUAAUGAUAAAAGAUUUAAAUUCAAGAUCAGAUAUACUGAACUUACUCUAAAUAGUGAAAAAAAAUUUCUAUAAAAUUUUCAUCGCAUUUUGAUUAUUUUACACCGUUAAACUCACAAACACAUCACAUCGGCCAUUAAAAUUGUCAAUUUUGAGAUCUUUUGAUCACUAGUCAAAUGAUGUCGAAAGAAUCUGAAAUUUAGUUUCCAAAUACUUUCAAUAGUGUAGAUCAAGUCUAACGGAGCCGAUCGUCGAUUUGGAAACCGCAUCAUCGAAAACAACUUGGUAGCACAGAGCGCUCCGUGCUACCGAUAGCAUAGUAGCCGGACUAUAUAUAUAUAUAUAUAUAUAUAUAUAUAUAUAUAUUCUACUAAUUGCUGAUAGAGAAAUAUUUGGUGCAGUUGUCCCCACAAAUCAAAAACUCUCAAACAAAUUACAGAUUCAGUAACAUGAACAUGAAACUAAACAUGAAAAAUAAAUAAAUAUGAAUAAAACUGCAGAUAUUCAUCGCUGUGAGUUGAGUUCCUCGGUAAUGUGCAGAAAGUUUUUACCCACUAAAAUAAUAAAAAAGUUCUCUCUUUUAUCCCCGGUGUUCAAAAAAUUUGCACCUUUCUACCAAUGCGAUUAUUUGAUCAUUUCAGGGUUGCAUAGUUAGAUGUAAUUAUCAAUACAGUAUAGUUCGAGAUUUAUACAGUCAAAAAUACAACAAUUAUAAUUAUAUAGAUUUUAUUUGGCUGGAUGUAAUAGAAAAUGCGAUAACUAUAACGCGGUUGACAAGUACAAUUAUAAAAUUUUAUACUUUAUAUAUGGAACGGAGAGAUUAUUUUUUAUAUAGAAAGAAAAUUAUUUUCUAUUGGAAAGAUUCUACAGAGGUAAGCUUCUUUUAUUUAAUGUUACUUUUAUUACUGCAGCUGGAACUGUAGUCAAUUUUAGCAUAAUUUUAAUUACUGUAUUUGAAUCUCCUCGUACAGUUUCAACAACAAAAAAUGAAGUUAAAUGCAUAAAAUCAGAUAGUAAAUUUAAUUUGCAUACAGUUAUAAUUAGUUUACAAUUGUAACUACAUGUAAUCAAAUAAUCUCCUAGUGCGCACUAAAUUUGUGCAUAUCACAUUACCCAUUGAGUUCGAUAAUAAAACUUAUUUAUUUAUUUAUUUACUUAUUAUUGGAAAAACAGGAUUGGUCAAGAACACAGUGCCCAAUAAGAAGAAGACACGUACGCAGGUCGUACGAGAAAUGUACAACCGUUAAUGCAAAGGAUCCUCUGCCACGAUGGCCGGUGUGGGCUGGUGGGGGCAAUUAAUGAGAGCGUCAGGGGCAUUUAAGGCAGUGGAGAUGUGUCACUUGCAGAGGGGCAUUUUCGGAAGAAAAUUUACUCCUAUUUUUAGAACAGAUUCUCAGUUGUUGGUUCGCGUUGACCCUUUCGCUGUCCCGGGCGGGAAUGGAAUUACGCUUCCAGCGGGGAUUCAUUAAAGCCCCGAGUUCUUGUGGAAACUUCGAAAUUGCCCCUCCCCUUCUUCUUCUCCUAUGAUCUAUAAUUCUUUUUAUUUUAUUUUUAUUUUUUUGCCUGAAUAUUACUAAGACACUGCGUACCAAGAAUUAAAGUAUCCAUAGACAUAGACAGUAUCCAUCGUGUCGUAUCGUGCCAGCAAAAUAUCGAUACGAUAUACUUUUUGUGCUGAUAGUACAACUCAAAAUUAUCUAUUUUUAAAAUUAAUAAGACUUAUUUUGGUAUUGAAGUCUAUCUAACGCGAGUUGAGAAAAAAUAUAUAGGGAUAUAUUUCUGCGUUCUACGAUGGAACCGCAGAAAAUAUAUCAUAACCGACUAACCGCAAUAAAUAGAAUGCAAUAUUACGUACAAAAAUAAAUAAGGUAUUUUUCCGUCGUCGUUUCUCAUCGCAGGUAACGUAAUUUUUCUGUAAUCCCAAAUAAAGCCUAAGUAAUUUUCACAAUAAAGUUCAAAAAAAUUGAUAAAAAUAUAUAAUAAAUAAUUUACAUAUUUUGCAUCUAAGAAAAAUAAAUAUUUAAUGUCAUUACGUGUCGGCACACAUAUAUUUUUUAUAUGACCGACACGCAUCGGUACGGUCCGACACGUACCAUGCCAUACUAUGCCGACAAGUUUUCGGCACGAUUCCGUGUCACAACACUUAAAUUCUUAUUGUGUACGAAACCGAAAACUCUAUAUAGAGAUUUAUGUUAUUAUAUUAAAUUUUUUAACAUGAUAAAUUCUUUAUAUGAUAUAGUGGUGGAACAGAGUACUACUAUGAAAAGUUUAUUGUAUAUAUUUUGAACUAAAAUUGUAACUCGAAUAGCUAGAAAUUUUUUUUUUCUUCGUAAUAGUACUAAAUUGAAAGCUCUUAUGAAAUUUUUAACUUCUAGAAUAUAAAAUAAAACUUUUAAUCAUCAUAUUACUCUUUAAUUCAAAGCAUGGAGUGCUACUGGAGUAUAUGUAAUAGGUAAAAACGUACUAAAUUUAUAAACGCUGUCGACGAUAUUGAUUUGAUUAUUUAAUUUUUUAAAAUUUUAAUUUUACUAUCUAACAUUUCAAUUUAUUUGAUUUGAAUUAUUUAACGGCAUAUUAACUUUAAUAUUUAAAUGUAUUAUUUAUUUUACAGGUGUAGCUAGUAUAUAUUUAUAUGAUUAUUGUAAAUAUAAAUUUGUUAAAGUAAGUAAUUAAUCUAAAUUUGGAUGUCAACAUAACAUUGGCUGAACUCAAAUCAAAAAAAUAGAACGGACUGAUAGUAAAAGCAAAAUUUUAAAAGCCUGGGUAACCAAAUUAAAAUAGUUUAUUAUUCAGAUAAGUUAUUUAUAUUUUUACCUAUAAAAUAUAAAAAAAAAGCUAGAACACUUUGCUUUCGAAAGUAUAAAAGUUUUCGUACUUUCAAAUUAUUUUUGAUGAUGAGACUUUCAAUUCAGCGAUUGGUCGUGUCAGACAUAAUCUAUAAUAUUGAAACUAUUUAGAAACCAGAUUUUAUAAUUUUUUUUUAUUUCGUUUUCUUACUGAACGAGUAACCUCAAAAUAAACAGGUGAAAAUAAAAAUCUUAAAAAAUAAUAAUAAAAUUCAAAAUAAAUUAUAUCUCUUUACACUAAUUAUAUCUCUUUACAAUAUUUCAAAAUAUAUUACAUUAAAUUUAAAUUUUUAAAGCAUAAGUUUAAAUUCAAUAUCAAACACUUAUAUAAUAUUGGCUAGUAUACUAUCGGUAGCACGGAGGCCUUACCAAGUUGUUUUCAAUGAUGUGACUUUCAAAUUGACAAUCGGUUCCGUUAGACUUGAUCUGCACUAUUAAAAGUAUUUGGAAACUAAAUUUUAUAAUUUUUCGAUAUCAUUUGGCUAGUGAUCAAAAUAUCUCAAAAUUAACAAUUUUAAUGGCCAAUGUGAUGCGUUUGUGAAUUAACGGUGUAAAACAAUUCAAAUCUAAUAAUUUUUUUUUCACUAUUUAAAAUAAGAUUAGUAUAUCUGAUUUUAAAUUUAAAUUUUUUUUAUCAUUUUUUAUGAGAUUUUUAUUUUCAGUCAUUCAUUUUUAGACUACUCGUUUGAUAGGUAAAUAAUGUCGAAAAUUAUGAAAUUUAGUUUCUAAAUAUUUUCAAAAGUGUAGAUCAAGUUUAACGGAACCGAUCGUCGAUUUGGAAACUAUUUCAUUGAAAAAAACUUGGUAGCACAGAAGUCUCCGUACUACCAAUAAUAUACCAGCCUAACUAUAUAUAUAUAUAUAUAUAUAGAGUGAGGCUACUAUGCUAUCGGAAGCACGGAGCCUUCCGUGCUUCCAGCUCGUUUUCGAUGUUGCGACUUUCGAAUCGUCGAUCGGCACUUUCGAAUCGUCGAUCGGCUCCGUUAAAUUUUAUAUAUAUAUAUAUAUAUAUAUAUAUAUAUAUAAUUGAGCUAGAAUAUUUUUAGAAGCACCAACGCUUUGGUGCUUCUAAAUUUCUAGCCCUUGAAUCUACUCCUUAAUUACUAAUACUCAUUGGAUCAAACACUAUUCCCCCUACCACUAUCUACCACCAUCAUCUCAACUCUGCAUCUCUCAAUCUAAUAGUUAAAAACUCGAAAGCACCACUCCGUAAGUGCUUUUGAGAGUAUUCUAGCUCAACUCUGUGUGUGUAAUGCAGAAUAAUUUUGGGUUCGGUUUGGAUCGAAUACAAUCAAAAUUUAUACCCAAAUUUAAAUUCAAAUUCGUUGAGGGAUGUCUGUAUGGACGGACCGACGUUGCUGUCGGCGAAGAAUCCUGUGGUGCUGCUGCUGGAGCAGCAGAAAGCACAGUGGCAAUUCUGCAAAAAGACGGCAACUCCGGCCCCCUUUUCCAACUCUCUGCUGUCUGCUCUCCCCGCUUACGCAACUGUCCGCCACUCGGCCGACGACGUCUCUCCCCUCUCCCAGCCAGCACCACUACACACCGAAGACGCAGGGGACACUGCACAAGUACAACUGCACGGCACUAUUUUCUUUUUUCUUAAAAAAAAAAAAAACAAAAAAACAAAAAACACUUCCGAGCCCGAAAACGACGGUCGCGCGCGCGGAAGUGCGACCGGAAACUCCACUUCCGCGUAACUCGAUCGAUGCCGAACUGAUGGGCUGCGUCCUCAGCACCGCCGCCGACCGCCGCCGCGGCCCCUCCGCCUCCGCCGCCGCCGGAGCAGCCGCCGAUCGCCGGCUCAGCCCGGGGACGCUCCGGCCGUCGCCGGCCGACGCCGGCGGGUGGCCGGCGUGGCUCGUCGCCGUCGCCGGCGACGCGCUCCGCGGGUGGGCCCCGCGCCGCGCCGACUCCUUCCAGAAGCUCGCCAAGGUUCUAGAACCCUCCGCCUCUUAUAAUUCCUCUCUCUCUCUCUCUCCUCCUAAGUCGUCUCCUCUCUCUAAUCCUCGGAAGCUUGUUUUUUGAAUGCACCAACGUGCAUCUUCUUCUUCUUCUUCGGUGGUUUUCUUUUUUUUUCUUUUUUUUCUUUUUUUCUUUUGAUCAGAAGUUUUUGUUCCAUUGUGUGAAACAAUAAUUCUUUCGCAUUAUUUGAUAUGAUAUUAAAAUAAGUGGUUUCGAGUUCGAAUUACGUCGUGUUCCUAACUUUAUUUUACAUCCUUUUAUUUACUUUAUAUUGAUAUUUAGGGCUUACUUCUGAAUAUAAAUUUGAAAUAUUAUUUUUUAAAAUAUUAUUUGGUUAUUAGAGAACAAGUUAUUUUUAUUUAUUUUUGAGAUAGAUAUAACUUGUGUGAUAGUUAGGAAUUAAUUUAAUUUUGUGUUUGGACGAGAAUCGAGAUAUUUAGAGAAAUAAAAAAAAAUUAAGUUUGGUUGAGUGGGUUGGAAUAGUAAAAAUAAGAGUAAUUAUGGUCGAAAAUAAAAAUAAUUUAUCUAAAUAAUACACAUCUUAGUAUUAGUAAAAUAAUAUUUUAAUAAAUUAAUAAAUAAAUAAAUUAAAAUUAUUAUAUGAGAUGACGAAGAUUACAAAAAUAACUGUAUAAACUUUGAUGAUAACAAUCUUUCAUUUCAUUUAACAAUUUUCAGGAGCUUAUUUUAUAUUCGGUCCUUAAUCGCUUCGUUGGUAAAAUACGUUUUUUAUUUUAAUAGAUUAAUCACUAAGCCUAUCUUGUGAUUAUUAAAAAAAUAUCGAGUAAAUUAUAUUUUUGGUCCUCAUAGUUCUUGAUGCAUUUUAGUCAUCGAACUUUAAUUAGUUAUAAUAAUUUUUGGCUCGAACUAUAAGCCAUAUGAUACAUUAAUUCUCAAAAAUUCUAAAUUAUUGCAAUCAAGUCCCACAAUCCUAUUUUUUAAAUUAAUAUUGAUUAAUUACUAAUAUCGAAGUAAGGCAUUGUUACAUCAUCAAAUAGAAUAUUGUUAUCAUUAAGAAAUUUUGAGAACAAAAAUGCUAUAUAUCUCAUAGUUCUAGUAAAUUGCAAUUAAUUAAAAUUUGAGGACUAAAGUAUCACAUAUUUCAUAGUUCGAGUCAGAAAUUAUAGCGAAUUAAACUUCGAGAACUAAAUGUCACGCGCCUCAUAGUUUGAGAACCAAAAGUGCAAUUUACCCAAAAGUAUUCUUACAAGUUGUAAUUAACUAACAAAUACCUGCACUAAGGUCUUAUCUGGAUGCAUAAAUAUUUUAUUUUGUAUAUAUUUUUCUAAUUUAUUAUAAAAGUUUAUAGUAUUUGCUAGAUGAUAAGUACGAUCACAUUCUAGGAUGAUGUAACCUAUUAAAUUAUGAAUAUUUAAAAAUUUUUAAAGAUUAAACGAAAUUUCAUGUCGAAUUAUUAAAUUAUCAUUGAAUAACUUAUUUCCCUUCCAUCAGUAUGCAUGGCAUGGUUUAUCUGAUUUUUAUUAUUCACAAAGUGUAGAGAGUUUUUACAGUGCAUCGUUUCUUAUUAUAUCGAUCUUUUACGUAACAAUGUCGACGUUCCGAGUGUUUGAUGUUUUGCUCCUGUGAAUGUGCAUGCAUGCAUAGAUUGGGACCGGGACGUACAGUAACGUGUACAAGGCGCGGGAGGUGGGGAGCGGCAGGGUGGUGGCGCUGAAGAAGGUGCGGUGCGAGGCCGCGGAGGCGGAGAGCGUGCGCUUCAUGGCGCGGGAGAUCGCCGCUCUCCGUCGGGUGGGCUCCCACCCGAAUGUGGUGCGCCUCGAGGGGAUCGUGGUGUCGCGCGUCUCGCACUCGCUCUACCUCGUCUUCGAGUACAUGGAGCAUGACCUCGCCGGCCUCGCCGCCACCCCCGCUGUCGCCUUCUCCGAGCCCCAGGUGAUCAGUGGGUCUCACACUCUCUCUCUCUUUCAAUCUACAUAUCACUGGGGCAAGAACACCAUUGAUCGAACACCUCGUGAACAUUGUUAGAAUUUUUUACAUCCAUCUUAUCAACUAUAUGCUGUUUUGAAAUAGGCCCCUCAAUUUUAUUAUUUCGAUUAUGUUAACGAUUUCGUUCAAUUACUGAUUUGCUAGCAUACGUCAUGCGCGAGAACUUUGAUUGAUUCAUGCACGCACAAUGUAAUUUGGCAGGUGAAGUGCUACAUGAGGCAGCUGCUCUCGGGGAUGGCACACUGCCACGCCCGCGGAGUCCUGCACCGCGACGUCAAGUGCUCCAACCUCCUCCUCAACAACGAGGGGGUGCUCAAGAUUGCCGACUUCGGCCUCGCCGCCACGUUCGACCCGCGCCGCCCGCGGCCGAUGACCAGCCGGGUGGUCACGCUGUGGUACCGCGCGCCAGAGCUCCUCCUUGGCGCUACGCACUAUGGUGUCGGCGUCGACCUCUGGAGUGCCGGGUGCAUCCUUGCCGAGCUGCUCGCCGGCAAGCCCAUCUUGCCUGGCCGCACCGAGGUGCUUCUCUCUCUCUUCAUUUUUUUUUCAACUCAACUUGCAUUACUAGUAGUAUCUGAAUUUUAAGUCUAGUUUUACUUUGAACUUAAUUUUAAGAUGACAUUUUAAGGCGAACAUUUAGUCACCGUCCUCCUAAAUCGAUCUUCUUGGUAACAUUGUAAUAAAAAAAAGGGUCCUAAGUCCCCUUUAUUUCGUGCGGACACGGUUUAUCUGAUAUAUACGGAGUGUUAAGACUGAUUCUGAGCUAUUUCCUACCAUAUCAAUCUUUUGGAUAGCAUAGGCAAUAAUUUUUCUCGAAUAUUUUGUAGCAUGAACUGAAACCUUUCAAAAUUUUGUGAUGUUAACUAUCGAGCUCAGUUUUUUUCGUGCCAAAGUGAAACAAGAAUUUAAGGUCAAUAAUAGUACAAUUUCCCCUGUUUUUCUCCAUCAGUUCUUACUGAGUUGCCGAUUUUCCAUGCAUGGUCUUUUCAAUUUUGAUUUCAUUUACAGUUUAAACAAGCUCAUUGUUCUAAAAGCUCAAACUUCUGUACAAUGCGCAACUACCUUAAACUUUACUCCCUAUGUGGGAGGGGAUUUGAGUGCAAACUCAUUUUGCGGACUCAAAAUUGUAUGAAAACUUAGGAUCAUGAAAUGAUCUUAUGAUUUCGUACUCUGAUAUCAUAUAAAAUAAAUCAUCCAGGUUGAGCAGUUGCAUAGAAUCUUCAAGCUAUGCGGGUCCCCGUCAGAGAAGUACUGGAAGAAGUCGAAGCUGCCGCACGCGACCAUCGUCAAGCCGCAGCAGCCCUACAAAUGCUGCAUCGCGGAAACCUUUAAAGAUUUUCCUCAGUCUUCUAUUUCCCUCAUCAAGAAGCUUCUCUCAAUCGACCCCUCAGAGCGCGGUACAGCCGCCGAUGCCCUCAACUGCGAAGUGAGCACACUCCAUUUGAAUCUUUUCUUCCUUAUUCUUGAAGAUAUUAACAUGGCUUUUUUGUCAUAACUGUCGCUGAAGUUUUGACCUUUAUUUCAUCCUCGUGUUCAUAGAUUUAAUCAUAACAGUUUACUUUUUGAAGUUGUCUUAACCUUUUCCUUGUUUUAUUACGAACUCUUGGGUUGUAAUUGAAAGGCCGAUUUGAAAUCAAACGAAAUUUCAGGGCCUAGUACUUUUCAAUUGAAACUUUAAACACAAAAUUGAAAUCAAGGUCAAAACUUCAAGGAUUAAAUUUGUAAUAGUAUUAUAUAUCCAAUCAAAAUUAAAUGCCUCCUUUCAUGUUUGAUUCUCAAUUCUUUUAGUUCUUUACGACAAUGCCUUAUGCCUGCGAGCCAUCGAGCUUGCCGCGGUAUCCGCCCAGCAAGGAGAUGGAUGCAAGACUACGGGAAGAGAAGGCGAGAAGGUAAAUUUGCACCUUAGUCUCUGAACUUAUAGCUAAGUUUUGCUUAAGCCAUCAACAAUCAACAAUUGUAUUUGGAAUAUUCGACUCCAAUGCUCCUUAACAAUCCUUUUGUCACCUAUCUCGGCGGGACUAAUGGAAAUGCCAAUGUGAUUAUCUUAUAUUCCACUCGGAAGCGAAGUUUUUCCUCUUGCAAAAUGCGAACAUGUUUUUGGGACCAAUUGUUUGAUUGUAAGCGAGAUUAUGGGUGGAACACUGCUUCCAAAUAUGUUGUAGAUGAUAGUUAUAUUGAUUUUCCUCUUAAUAUGUCCCGCUAAUGUAAUUGACAUGGACUAUGGUCUAUGCGUAAAUCAAAAGGUUGAGGAUUAGAAGGGCAAAUAAGCAGUGUGCAGGAAUCAACUUGUGAGUUUUACUUGUGAAAUAUCCAUCAUUUCGAGUUAUGAUGAUUCUGAAUUUGUCUGGAGUAUGCAGGCAAAGAAGGAUGGACGGCAAAGGAAAUGUCGAAGCUGCAAAAAGGUCGCGAAUGCAUAAUCAACGAAGCAGAGCAAUCCCGGCCCCAGAAGCGAAUGCCGAGCUACAAGUUAACUUGAAUGUAUGUGUUCUAAACCAUUUAUACCAUUCAACUCUCAUUCAUACCAAACUUUUGCUAUUCAAUUUUAGGACUAAAUAACUCUUCGCUAAAUUUAAGGAUCGAGGGAAGAUAACCUUUGUUAUCUCUUUAGUCGCGGAAACCAAAUUCUGAUAAUGAGAAGCAUGUGAAGUACUGUAUACUAAAUAGGCUCUGUAUCAGAACAAAGGUAAAAGUUUGAAAUGAGAAUCAUAUCAAAAUUUUGAAACAAUGAAUACCUGAGUGUUCACUGUAAUCAAACUUAAUUGAUCAUAGAAUUACGGUGAAAAAUAGAUGAAUUCCAUUCAAGCAAUAGAGUGUAAUAAAAGCACAAAGAGUAUAAUUCGCGAACACGACAAUGAACUUAGAUGAUCAAUAAUAUAUCAUUAUCGAAUUACCGAAACACUUACAUAUCUUUCUACUUGUAAUGUUGUUUUAAACUUAGCAGAGGCACAGGCUGAUGGCUCGAGUUAGCGCGGCGAGCAAGAGCGAGAAGUUCCCGCCGCCCCACCAGGACGGUGCAGUCGGUUCCGAUGAUCCGUACAAAGCGCGGCUCUCUUUCAUCGCCGUCGAUCGGUCUUUUGCUUCGUCGAUCUUUCAAACGAAGGAAGAGCCUGUCGGCUUGUCGCCAACUUCUUCAGAAAGUGCUUCUAGGAAAAGCCAUGCAGCAAGGAAGAGUGCAGGUAGAGGUUGGCCUCUGUCAGCUGCUAAGCCAUCUUCAAUAGGGAUACUUACGGAGUUUGGAGAAAAUUAGCAAAAUUAGUGGGAGUAAAGGGAAAGAAUCUAAGAUAUACCAAGGGGGGGAAAUGAGAAAUUUCUAGUGUUUGAGAUGCUUUUAUGUUAAUUUCCUGGUGCAAAAUAUGUACAGCUAAACCAGUGUUUUACCUAUAUACAUUAUAAAUCUUGUGAUUAUCAUCUUUGAGAAAGAAAAGAAGAGAGAACAAAAAGGAGAAAAUUUAGUAGAAUUUUUGAGUUGUCGAUGAAUUUUCCCCUUUGAUAGUGUUAGAUCAAAUGCAUUGACCCCCCUCGACUAAGGCUUAUUUAGAAAUAGAGCCCUCAGCUAUUUUUAUUUUGAUUGAAAUUUCCUCAACUUUUAAUUUUUUUUAUUAGUUAAGUUAAAAUAAAUUUAAUGAUUCUAUUAGUUAUUUACUAAAAGUGUUUAAAGUCUGAAAUCACUUUGAAACUUCAAACAAAUUCACAAGUCGAAGGGUCUCAAUGACGAUUAAUUGCUGUUUGAAAAAGAAAAAAAAAAGUUGAGACGCAAUUUCAGAAUAUUCUGUAGUUGAGGGGCUCUGUAUACAUUUCCAUGUUUCCAAUGCGAAAAGCCUCCUCUCCCCGCCGCGCGAAACCCUAAUUCUCCGACACACCCUCCACCUCCUCCUCGACGCUCCUACUAUUACUACUCUCAUUACGCGGUGGAGAUCGAUCGAUCGAUCGAUCGAGAGAGAGAGAGAGAGAGAGAGGGGGGCGAGAGAGAUGAGCGGGGGGUUGUUGGGUGCGUUUUGGGGGACGCGGGCGCUGGAGGUGGUGAAGCGGAACAACUCGCCGGGGCUCCUGUGGAAGCGCAUCAAGCUCACCACCACCCGAAAGAACAAUGCCAAGAAGCGCCUCCGCCGCGUUUGGCAGGUUCCUUCUCCUCCCCCCCCAAAUUCCCCAGCUUCUCUAGGGUUUUGAUUCCGGUUACCUAAGAAAUUUUGUGUGCGUGUGUGAUGCUCAAUCGGGUUUUAUGGCGCCUCAUCGGAUCAAAGCCGACUCUUGAUUCGCAUUUCUGAUGAAAUGGAGGUAUCCAAUUUCCGAUUUCCCUCUUAAAUGUGCGUAAAACCCUAAACCCUAAUAUACCCCACGUUUCCUUCAAUUCGCAAACUUUUUUGGGGUUUCGAUCCAGUAGUCCGAAAGUUUGGUGUUUUCUUUGGUCUUUAGUGAUGCUAAAUUUGGAUUUAUGGCACUUCACCGAUCAAAAUCGGAUCUUGAUAACUAGUUCCGAUGAAAUGAACGAUGCCCAAUUCCAUUUCCCUCUCAAAUGCACAUAUAACUCUAAAACCCCUAAAUUCUAAUGUAACCCCCCCUCCCUGUUUCUCCCGAUUAGCAAACACUUCAAGGGUUUUGGUCAUGGUAAUCCCAAAUUUUGAUGUUUUAUUUGGUCUUUUGGUGAUGCUUAAUUGGUAUAACUGAUAAAAAUCGAAUCGUGAUAACGAGUUUUGAUGAAAUGAAGAAUACCCAAUUUCUCCUUUCCCUCGUACAUGUGCAUGAAACUCUAAAACUCUAAACCCUACUGUAACCCGCCUUUUUUUUACCUAUUCUCAAAUUCUUACCGAGUUUCGAUAUGGCUAUCCCAAAAUUUUGAUUUCUUUUUUAUGGUUGUUUACCGAUGCUAAACCGGUAAUUGUGUCAUUUCAUCAAUCAAAAUCGAAUCUUGAACUAGUUCCAAUCGAAAGGAGUACCCGAUUUCCUAUUUCCCUUUUUGAAGUGCAUAAAACCCUAAAUCCUACUAUAAUAUGAGUGAAGAUUUGAGCAUGGCAGGUCCUUCUCCUUCUACCACAACUCUCACCUUUUCACCCCAUUCUUGGAUUGUUCUAGGGGUUUGAUCCAUUAAUCCAAAAUUUUGAUUUUUUUUUUCAACUAUGUCAAUAGUGGUUAAUCGGGAUUUGCAGCAUUUAGCCGAUCAAAACCAAACCUCGAUAACAAGUUCCAGAGAAAGGCUCCUGUUAACCCUUUCCCUCUAAGAAGUGCGUAAAACCCUAGAAGCUGUAAACCCUACUAUCUAUCCACACUACAAGUCAAGAUUCGAUUUUUCUGAUCAGUUCUCAGAAUCAUCAAUUUGAUGGAACUCACCAUUGUCAACCCUGUGAUUGAUGCUGUAAAAUUCCUGAUACUUUUGCGUUCUGUUAUUUGGCAAUAAGGAAAUAAAGGGAAUGGUGAAGCAGAAGGGAGAUGGAUAAUUUUUCUUCAUGGUUUGAAAUGUAUUUGAUAUAGACAAGAUUGACCUGGUCAAAUGAGGGGAAGUUUAAUACUUAGGGUUGUUUGCAACUAGAAUAGAUUGCUUGAUGUAUUGGUUGCUCACUAUAUGAAGUUCUUGCUUUAUUGGAUGGGAACUUACAUUCAUCAUGUCUCUUUAUCCCAGGCUUUUGGCUCGUUUACUGCUAUAGCUGGAACAUCUAUUGAUUAUAUUACAAAUCAGUUCUAAAUUUUGGCGAUAGUGAAUUUGUAAUUACCAAGUCUAUUUACUGAACAAAGUUUUGUUAAUAUCCAUGUUGUUGCUUCUCUGAAUUUUACUUAAUACUCCAUUCAUUUAUUGAAAUUAAUUAGAUUUUAUAUCUAAAUUAGAUAGAUUUGCAGACCAUUUUGCUCUGUGGUAUUUUUUACCAGAAUUCACUGAGUUUCCUCUUUAUCCCUUCCUGCAGUGUUGUUAGGCGUGUUGAAGCUGGAUAGUAAUUUCUUUAUUUUUACUGUAGUAGCUCUGCCUGUCGAUCAUAUUGACAGUUUUCUUAGUCAAGUCCUCAAAUUGUAAACUGUUCUUAUAAUUGAAGAGUUUCUAACUGCCCAUUAUCUAGAACCAUAGAACUAUGUUGGUCUUGUGGUCACCUUGUGAGCUCUUCCAUUUAAAGGUUAUGUCAUGAAUACAUUAGACAAGCACUUUGUCAUUCUGAUUGCUAUGUCCAUUCUUCAUAUAUAAUAUCAUCCCCAAUGCUUGAUUCUGGUUGUGGUUUACUGAUACCAUUUUAAUUUUCUAACUCUUUUUUGCUUCUAGUAAAAUGAUUUGUUGCGUAACUUUUACUGAAGCUGCAUUUAAUCAGUUGUAAUGGAACUACUAAGCUUCCACGAGUGAUAACUCCAGAGCUCUACAAAUGGACGCUCUUUCCAUUUUGCAAAGGGAGAGGAAAUGAUUUAGUUGAAGCCAGUACACUUAUUGUCAGCUGGAGGAGCCUUAUUAUCUCCACCAACUAUUUGUUACAUGUUAAUUAGUACAGUAUACAGGUUGGUGGCAAGUACUAGAAAAGAGGUCAAGAAACCAAGCCAUAUAAUCAUCACGUUACUUAAUAAGUCACAAAUUAACAAUCGCUGAUGCCCAUUUACUUUGGGUAGGUAUGCGACUAAAGUUAGGUGCAAGACAUUAAGGAAUAGAAUAGAAUAUCACCAAUUGAAUUUGACAACCUCGUAACCAACUACAAAUUGCCUACUAACAGAGCUGCCUCCUACUUUUUUUCUCUCUGUUCCUUUUACAUUUUUUGACCACUUUUCGUUGUGCAGCAGUGAUUUCAUGAUGUGUAAUUUUGGAAAAUUGUCUUCAAAUUAUAAUAAUCUAUGAACUUAAAUGUGCAACAAACUAUUGCAGAAUGAGGCGGUAUUGAGGGCUUGCGCUGAAUCAGAAGCACCAAAAACAUCGGCGACGACUGCUUCUGCAGUUGAAGGUGAGCAGUAGCCUGGGAACUGACAAUUAUGCGCUUUAACAACUUCGACAAGCCUUUGGAAGGUCUAAUUUUUAUUACCUCUUCUUUAAUGUGGGCGAAAAUAUCGUUCUUUGUUAAUUCCCCGAAAUGAAAAACAACGUGUUAUGUUCUCGUUUCGAACGACGGAAUACAGAAUGAUUGUUCAUCAUGCCGGAUUUGACUCUUUGCUUCUCUAACCUCUGUUGUUUCGUCAGCAUCAUGCGGUUCUCACGUAUAAAUUUUUGCAUGACAAUUCGUGGAGAACUUCACUUCAGUUCUCACUGUAUGUACUCAAGUGAUCUAGUCUCUGAACUUGUAGAAAGUUUUCAUUUCAGCCAUUUGUUCCAACUUAGUUUGUUUUCGUGUCGAAGCUCCAUUUUUAAGGCAGGUUAAGAUUAGGAUCUCAGCAGACUUGAGCACGAGCUAGUUGGGCUACUUGGCUCAGCCCACUCUGGUCCGGUUCGUCGGGCCGUUUGAUACUAAGAAUCUGUUGUUGUCCCUGUAUAGAAUCUGCUGAAACUUGUGGUUUUUAGGUGUAUUUUUCGUCGAAAUGUAUUUAGUGUUACUUCAGAAAUUAUUUAUACAUUCAUUUUGCCUUUUUUUUUUUAGUGAGCUGGCAAUGUGGGCCAAACGUUUUUCCGAGUGAAAAAUAGAGAGAAAAUGAAUGGUAGCAUACUACCACUUCGUUUAUCUUUUUUAAUAAUUAAUUUAGCUGAAAAUAUAAAGCAAUUAAGUUUUGGAUUUGGAACUUCGAGUGUCAAUCACCAAAUACGUUGUCAUUUGCACUAGAGACGAUCCGUGCGAUAACGCUGUUAAAAAAAAAAAAAAAUUGAAGUCGUAGAAAGUGCCGUGUUUAAGAAUACCUGCAUUCGUGCUUUGAAUGAUUCUGAAAAAUCUUAAAGCAUUUUGGAUCCCUUCUCCUUCAAUGCUAUUGUUUCCUAUCACUUUCUUAUAGCAUUAGAGGACUCGAGCUUCGAAACACUUAAAUUUUUUCUUAUUGUUUGCAGUAUGAAAGCAAAUCUUUUUGGCAAAGUAGAAUCUCAAAGUAGGCCUUAGUCGUACCAAGCAAGUACAGGAACAAACUAUUUUUUAAUAAUUUUAUUUUCAAUUAUAUUUUAAUAAUUUUAUUUUCAACACUUCUUCUUACGUUUGGACUUUAGAACAGACGUGUGAUAGAAUUAAAUGCGAAUAUAUUAAACAAAAGUCAGACCCAAAACCUUCUGUUCUAAUAUUAUUUAUAUAUAUAUUUUUAAAAUAAUAAUUUAUCAGAGAAUAAUAUUUUUAAGAAGAAUAUAUUUUGGCGGAGCAUUUUUAAAUUAAGCCUCUCUGGUACCAAGUACGAACCAGGUCUGAAGAGAUAUGGCUGGAAUAUUGAGUCAUGCUGACCAAUUUUUUAAUAAUUAUUAGGGAAUAUAUAUCUUGUUUUAAGACUCCAAAAAAUAAAUUCCCCCCCUUUUAUUCUCCCUUCGCUUGUUCACACACUGCACAAACCCUAGUAACUGUCCUUUUAAAACUGAACCCAAACCAACCAUCCAUUAUUAUUAUUAUUAUCAUCAUCAAUCCUUAUUAUUAUUAUUAUUAUUAUUAUCAUUACGCUUACUUAUAUAAAUAGAAAAAAAAAAUUAGAUACCCUUUUGUAAUUUACCUUUUCUUUUUUCUUCAUGUACUCUUUGAUUUUAACUGUCAUCUUUUUCAUGGAUGUCAGCAUGUGCAUCGUAGAUUGUCAUUUUUUUUUACGUUCAAAUAUAAUUUAUAAGAGACUAAAAUAAAAUAAUAAUUUUUAUAAUAAUAAUAAUGAUAAAUAUUAUUUUAUUGUUGUUACAUGAUGAUAGAUAGAUCAUAGAUGAUGUACUUGUUUCUUGUUCCUCUCAAACUCUAUGGCAUGGUGGUUAGUGGGGAAGUGUCCCGAAGCUUUUAUUAGCUUCUAUGCAAUUUUAGGGUUGAGUGGUCGCCCACGCCGGCCGUGGGGCCCACGUGAUCGCGGGUGACGACGACCGCCACGUCAGCAAUCCAACACCACACUCUUGUCGGGUGAUCUCGGGUCGGGUCGGAUCCCUCCCGACCGUUGUUUCUUAUUGGUUAGGAUCCGCUACUACUACUACACUAGAAAUAAAUAGAGUAUAUGAUGAAUAAGAAGAUAACAAAAAAUCAAAAACUUCUGCUGCUGCGCAGCUGUAAGCAGAAGCAAGAGCAAGUUAACAUUAGACAGCACUAUGUAUUACAAUAACAUACCAAAAAGUUAUAGUGCUUGCGUGAUUUCGCUGUAGUUUUUUUAACUGAAAGACUGUUUACGGUAAAAAUUAUUUAAAAAAAUAUUUGUUAACUUUUUUUUUUCUAAGAAAUUAUAAGCUUAAUUAGUUUGUCUUUCUAAAUAAAAUUUAAUUUGAUUAUUAUUAUUUUAAUUACUAUGUGUGUAAUGUACCAUAUCGAUUCUUUUUAAAAUAUAAUAAUUAUUUCAGAAGACAAAUCAAGCAAAAAAAAAAAAACUUACUUGGUAUAUAUUUCUCUUUUCACUUUUCUAUUAUAUUAAAUUAUUUUAGAUAUUCAAACUACUGCUUCUCGUAACGGAGAAGUUGUUGUAAAAGUCAAAUCAAACAGGUUCUUCUAUACGGGUCUCGGAUUACCGGGUUAUCGGGUGUGCGCGAGGCACGUGAACAACCCGGAAAAGGACAUUAAGGGUGGUCAAAGAGGAGAGAAAAUGGCGCUUUCAUUGAAUUUAUAGAGGGGGACUAUUAAUUAAAAUAUAUUAAAAACUUUUUUUUAAAAAAAAGGGCGAAAAAAAGGAAACAUAAAAACGGUGUCGUGAACGAAGUUCCCAAGCUUUAUUUAGUUGGGUGAUGAUCCGAAACCCACACUCACAAGAAACAUCGGUCGGCUCCUCACCUUUUUCUCUUAUUUUUUAAUUAAUUUAAUUUAUGUCACGGCUCGCACGUAACGCUCCCACCAUUUGAUCUCAUCAAACUCUCCCAUUUUCAUUUUUUAAUAAGAUAAUAAUUAAUUUCAAGUGCUUCUUCCGUUCCAUGCUCUACUAAAUUUUCACAACUUAUUAUAGAGAAUAUAUAUUAAUUUACUACGCUAUCUUUUUCUGUGCUCUGUUCCAAUCUCACGCGCUACGAGUUUUUUUAUUCGCAUAUGUGUACUAAAGCCUACGUUGAUUGACUCUGCAGGAGAUAGUAUAUAAUUGCUGUUUGAAUAUAACUAUUUGUUUCGAGGCUAUAAUUUAGGACGUGUUUUGCCCUACCUAUUAAUUCUUCUACUUUUCUGCUUGUAAUUUUUAAUACUAUUACCCAAAUAAUACUUCGUCGAUCAGUACCGCACCCUACAGUAUGUAGUACAAAAAUUUCACACAAUAAAUAUUUUGAACAUUUUUAUUUGUCAAACAGCUGAACACCGCCGCUUUUUCGAGCAGAAAAAUUAACUUACUCUUGAGAAAAACAAAGACCAUGGAAUAGAUACAACAAAAUACAUAGAGUAGAGUAAUAAGCUACACAAAACACAAGGCAACCACAACUUCACCAUCCAAAGUAUAAAAUUUGGGUUUAGAGGCAAAGGAAACUAAUUAAUUAAUUAAUUAAUUGAUAUAAUAAAUGCUUGACGAUGUGUUAACGAUGGCCAAAAAGGCAUAAACCUAACCUGAUGUUUCAUAGUGCCGUCCACAAGUAAAAUAACUCUUUUAUUAAACAUUACAUAAUAGGAUUCAUUUUUAUUUAUGCACAUUAAAUGAACCCAUCAUUGUCAUAGUUAAUUUUUUUUCGCAUUUAUGUAUAACUUCUUGGGGUGGUGAACUUAUUUGAGCCGUUACCUAUUUUUAUUGGGAGAUUAUACUUUUCUUCAACUUGUAACACAUAAACAGUCUCCAAUUAUUUAAUUGUUUUUUUUUUUNGGUGGCCACUUCAUAUUGCAUAAAUAAAAGUGAUAUAUGAAGUGUCAACUUGUAAGUAACACAUGGAAAUAGUCAGUUUCUUGUAGUUAAUUGAAGGGCUAAUGUAGAUUUGGUCCUAAGUUUUGAUGCAUAUUUUUCAAUUUUAGUUUUAUGAGUUUUUAUUUAUAUAUGCAAUAGUUAGAUCUUUCUGUUAGUUUGUUGUCUGAAAAUAAUAAUAAUAAUAAUAAAAUACUAUAUGAGCGCUAUUAUUAGUGUUGGCGGAGGUUAAGUUGGACCAAAUCACAGUCGAUAUCUAUAGGGACUUUGUUUAUACGAUUUCAGUAAAUUCGCAGUUCAAGUUUUUCAAAUUAUGGUUAGCACCGAUAAUCCAACGAGUAAUAUCAGAACAGGUCAUGAGCUCGAUGCUGAGAGGAAGGGGAUUGUUGGAAUUGAUUGUCUCCUCCUUUCUCACAGCUCGAGCUUUUAGUAUUACGGUUAACGCAUUUUGUUAAAAUUGAAAUAAGAGGACAGUAAACUCACCAAACUUUAGAUUGAGAUGGAAAUUUUGCGGGUCCGAGUCAGAUACAAAAUUGUUAUGAUUGAAACUCCGCAGAUGAAAUCGAAACCUUUAUUAAGGAAAAAAAAAAUAGAAAGGAAAGAAAAGUUUAGAAAGGAAUGGUGGAAAAUCUCCCAACUUUUUUUUUUUUCACUUUGAACUUUUGCUUUCCAAUAUUAAGAUGCCCUUUGCCUAAACACACUUCAACUUUUAUGAAAACCCUCUUUAACCCUGAGUAGUUCCCAUGUGCACCCACCAUUCAAAUGCAACUUUGGAACCUUUGUUAUUAUUUAUAUAAUAAUAAUAAUAAUUAAUUUCUCACUACCCCACACAUGUUUGUUAGGUUGUACUCUAUCAGAGAAACCCUAUUAAUUAGUGAUUCCUACAGUGUAUAUAACACAUUGUUGAACCCAUUUUAUGUCAUUAGGUUCAACAAAUACUCCUCCCCCUAUUAAAUUUUUCUCAAAAUUUGGUAGCUCAUCCCUCCUAUAAUUAGGAGCUCUUUACAACCUGUCCUGUAAAUACAAAAUUGCUUUUUUUUAAUUGUGAGUCCUUUCAAAGUUGAUCACCUACUUUGCCUUUAAUACAACAAGUGCUUCUUCUUUAUCUCUCUCUUGUUUAAUUAGAUUCCAAAAAGUGGACAUACAUUUGUUAUUCUUAAGCUAAUGAUGCUUUGUGUGCUCUUAUGAAGCUUCUGCUUGAAGCAACCUAGUUUCUUCUAACUUGUACAAGUUAGUUAAAUUCUAAUUAACAAGUCUUAUCCAACAUGUGAAUGUACUAUUGCCUAUCAAAUAUUUCUCCCCUUUUUUUCAAAGAUUCAUUAAUGUGACGAAAUUAAGGUAUCCGGUAACAGGCGUGUCCUAGCGUGAUUAACAUGUCGUAUCUGGUUAAUUUACCACUAUUUAGAGUCUUUAGACUAGCCAGCGUAGCUCAAAAGAAAUCGUCGUAAAAUGUAACAGUUAUUGUGUAUCAACAUUAAUCGCGACCGAUACCUAAUUAAAAAAGGCUUAGUAUGCUGUUUCUUUAAAACCUAAACUAAGGCAAGACCUAAAGUCAUACUAAAAUUGAUUGAUACAUGUAGAAUUUGGCAUAAAGUGGGAGUUAUUUUUGCCCGUUAAGUUUGGAUUAUCCUUGAAGGUUACAUCAUUGCUAAGUUAUCGUCUGCAUCGAACGAUAAAUAUUCGAUCCAAAUCAUCUCCGCACCGCCCAAAUUGUCGCCCAUUUGUUAUGCUAAUGUAGUUUUCAAUGUCCUAAUCAUGGGGACUAUUCCUAGCUUUUCUUUCAUCAAAUAAGCAAAUUUAGAGGGGACAAUUUUCACCCAAGAAUCAGAUCAUAAAAUAAGUAGAAUCUUAUUAAGAAAAGAAAAGUCAAAGUACACACAACAUCAUGAACUUGUCCUCUAUGAAAUGAAAUAUUGCCUACUCAAUUAAUUGGAGAAUGGAACUUAAAGCAUGAGUACAUGUAAUCUCUCAAAGCUUUUACAUUUGGCAUGUUAAUUGUGGAUGAGUAAGCAGGGGGGGGGGGGGACGCAAACUUCGCUUCAAGGGUUUUGGGCCAUUCACAAGGGAUUCUUUUAUUUGACUAAGUCAAAAACCCUAACUCAACAAUAAAACACAUCAAAAUCACAGGUCCUAAUCAGAUGUGAUGCCCCUCUCUCCCCUUGUCAAAGCAAAAUCUAUGCAAUAUAUUCUUGACCAAGAUGGGCAUAAAUUUAAGGGACCCAUUUGCCUUUGACCAUUCUCUCUCAAUGACCCUCAUACCUUUAGCUACCCCUUUUCUUCUUUUUUUUUUUUUUUUUUUUUUUUAAACAAAGAAAGAAGGAAACGUUAAAACAAAAGGGUUUGUAAGCAUCUCUAUCACAAGCCAUAUAUUUUUACAAUUAUAUCUACGCCUUUAAUUAUAUUCACCCAUUAGAUUAUACUAUUUAACCAACUAAUCACUCAACCUUAGGGGGUCAACAUCAUUCUAACCGUAUAUCCUUUAAUCCAAAGGCCAAAAACUUAUAAGUAUCAAUGACUUGGUACUUUUAAAAGUAUAGAAGCUCAAUUUUAUAUAUAUAUAUAUAUAUAUCGUAGGAUUAUUGUGCUAUUAGGAGUACAGCAGCUCUUGUGCUCCUAAUUUUUUAAUCACCUAUUGAGUUUGAUAGGUGGUUAGAAUGAGAGAAAAAAGAUAUAUUGGAGAGAAAUUCAAAAAGAAGAGAAAUCGAGACAUCCAAUUUCUCCCCAAUAUCUCUUCUCUCUCUCACUCUAAUCACCCAUCAAAAUUGAUGGGUGAUUAAAAAGUUAUGAGCACAAAGACGGUUGUACUCCUAAUAGUAUAGUAAUCUUGCUCUCUCUCUCUCUCUCUCUCUCUCUAUAUAUAUAUAUAUAUAUAUAUAUAUAUGCUUUAAGCCACUGCCCCCUUUUAUGCCCUUUUUUUCACAGCAUUGGAUUCUCCUUUGUGCUUACAAAAGCCACACCUUUGUAAUUUGAUUCCCAGUUAUGGGGGGUGAGGAUUCUGAGUUGCUGCUAAGCUACAAGAGGACUAAAUUUCUCAAAGAAGAAAAAAAGGAAGAAGAAAGCACACACAUUAGUGAUGUGAUAGAAAUCUUAGAAGAUAAAAAGUAUAAUUGAUAAGUCAAUUUUAAAAUAUCAAAUUUAUAAGUUAUUUGAAUAAUAAAUUGUAACGUGUAGAAUACUGAUUUAUCAAUUGUCUUUUGUUCAGUAUAUUUCAAAUACAGCUCUAUGCCAUUGUGUGAGCACUUAUAUUGCAUCUAAUUAUAUUUUGAACUUUUUAACUCGGACAAUAACAAAUAUUACUUUGGCAAUAUGAGUUCUCAUAUAAAAACAUUCCCAAAGAAGUGACAAAGCUUUACACUAAUGCUUAAUACUUAAAUUGGCAUUUAUUCUCUAAAAACUAGUUUAGAUAUGGAAAUAGUCCACAAAAGAGAAAAAGACUCAAAAAAGUUAAAUUUUUUUUCACUCUUCACUUCCCUACUUCCUAUGAGUUGUUUACAUUAGUCUUUUGUGCAGAAUAUGCCAAGAAGAUAAAUAUUUUUUUUUUUAAAAAAGACAACAAUGUAAUUGAGAACAUUGGCUUUCAUUAAGAAAAAAAACAUCUUUGCAAGAUUAGCCAUCAAAUUCAGCUUGCAGCAUAGGGCUCUCUUGUACCUAACAUGUAAGUAAAAAAGAACUUGUACAAGAAGAUUAAAAGAGGUUACAGUUCCUAAAGCUCAGAGUUAUUUAUGUUGGAUUUUCCGAAAGAUCAAAGGCGGGGCGGGGAGGCUCAACCGCGACGGGUACAGUAAAGCAGAAGGUCCAGCUUUCUCUCCUCCUCACGGAGCUGAACGAUUACAACUGCUACUCGUCUCCUCUCCGUUGGCAGAUUCAUCAGAAAGAUCCGUGACGCAGCUCGAGUCCGACGAGGAUGAUGAAGGCGAGGGCGGAUUCGAAGGGUGUUCUCGCCGCCUCAUUAAACCUAUGAAGACCGCUGGGUUAACUGGAGUCUGCUGCUCUUCGAUCUCGACUUCCGUCGUGGUGGCUCUCUUCUUCUUAAAAAUGCGACAGAGCACCCAUCCGUUGGUCGACACCGCGGGAUUCUGCAUUACAAAGAAGUACAACUUCAGUAAGAUAUUUGUGAUAUUCAUGAUUGUUCUCUAUCCUCUUCAUCCACAACGAUCGAUAUGUAACAGCAAGCCUACAAUGAUGAGAGCUAGUCGAUAUAUCCAAUCUUAGAUCAAAAGGAAUCCAUUCGAACAGCAAAGAAGCUAAGAGGAUUACAGAUACAAGAUCCAAUUAUGUCGAAAGAGUCCGUUACUGGGCAUCAUCUGUAGAACCUCUAAACUCUUCCUGAAUGAGCAUCUUUUUCUUCUUUAAAUGAAUAAAUGCGACAAAAUCGAUGCAAAAAAGUUUCUAACUUUUAUUACCAAAAAACAAGAAGCCGAUAUAUAGAUUGCAAACAAUUCACCAUCCAGCAGCCCAUUGAAUCACAUAGAUACAUACACAAGUUGAAAGAAAUAUAAGUACAUGAAAUCAUAACCAAGUGGAGGGCCAAAGAGCGCGGCUAAAUUUGUUCUUCUUAACCUGAUUUAUCAAGCUAGGGCAUAAGAAACAGCAGUAAUUGAGCUCCUGAGAUGUCGAAGAACACUAAAAAUGGAAAUUAGCUCACAUGGGAUUCGGGUCCGGAGAGGCGAUACUCGUGCAUGAUCCAAUCGGUUUUCGUACCCCUCGGGGGCCUUCCUUGGUAGAACACAAGGAACUUCUUCAUCCCCACUACUUGGUUGAACCUACCACCAACUAUUUGCCUAUCUUUCCCUGUCGCCUUCCAAUACCCGGACACCGUCGCCCUGUUCGAUCGAAUACCGUUUGGGUAUUUCGCCUCUACUCGGUUGAAGAAGUAUCUCUCAUCUUCGCCCCCACCUUUAACACAAAAGUAGGAAAUUUUGGUUCAAUUUUCUGUAAGAGGUAUUGAUACUUUUGCAUAACUUUUGUUCCACAUGUAUGUAAUAAAAGAAUCAAUCUUGCUAUAUACUGUUUAGUAGUUCAUGUUCGUAAUCUCCAUCAAAAUUUUUACUAGGCACAAUUUUUCUCAAUUAAAUGCUACAUGGGUAUUAACAGGAUUCAAAUCACAUAGCAUGCUAAACAACCAAUUUCCCCAAAAGCUAAAGAAAAUCCUUAACUUUUACUAAAAUCAUUUUUUUUAGUUCAAAAAAAAUAUCCCUAAAAGCUAAAGUUUACUUUAAAAACACUUUGACCCUAAACUCAAACAAUCAUAUUGCAUGCACCAUGAUGUUCAAAAAUUGCUCCUUUUUUUUCUCUUUUUUUUUUUUUCUUUUUGUUGCUGAGAAAGAGAUAAACAGCAAACAAGAACCAAUUUUUAUGCAGUAAAAUCGAAAAUUUGUUCAAAUUAAUCUAAAAAAAAAAAGAGGCUAAAAUUACUAACCAGGUAACACCCAAGGAUCGAACUUGGAGAGAUCGACCUCGGGUAUGAUGGCGGCGGGUAAUGGCCACGAAAGAACCUUCCUUUUUAGGUACUGCAACACCAACUCCUCGUCCGUGGGGUGGAAUCGAAACCCUGGGGGGAGCCUCACCACCCCUCCUCCCCCAUGCCGCACCACGCUCUGCUUCUCCAUUAACGGCCCCCCAACACACACAGAAGAAGAAGCUCCUCAAACCCUAGCUGGCCCCUCAAAUCUCUGCGCCGAGGGAGAUGCGGGAGCAGGGUUUACACCGGUUACGGGUCGAAAUGGGUGGGAGUGUGGGACUAAAAGAACCCAUAUGCCAUUUUCCGAGGUGGAGCGAGGAGAGAGAGGCGUAAGAGAGAGAGAAAGGGAAGAGAGAGAGAGAGAGAGAGAAGGGGGGUUAUGAGAGGGAAGGGGAAAAGGUGAGGGGCUUUUUAUAGGAAAAGGUUGCGGGAGCAACGCGACGACCCCUCUCUCUCUCUCUCUCUCUCUCUCUCUUCGUUGUGGCGUGAACAAGACUCAAGCUUUUGCCUUAUACACUCUCUCUCUCUCUCUCUCUCUCUCUCUCUCCUCAUAUGUUUCUCUCUUUGACGCAUUUAAACAAAUGGGUGGUGAUGGGGAUUAGGAAUUCCCUUGUUGGAAGGAACAGCCACAAACUUAAUUUUUUCUUUUUUUUAAAAAAAAGAAAAACAAACGAGUGGGGGGUGAGGGUCAUCACUAAAUAUGGACAUGCUGGAGGGGGUGUAUUGUAAAAAAAAAAGAGCAAUGCUACAUAUACAUCCUAAAGUGGGGUUUAUAUCUUACACCCACUUCAUCCUAUGGUUAUUUUUGGUACAUCUUUUUUGUAAAUUUUACAAAAAAAUAAUUCAGUUUUUAUCAACUCUAAGAUUACGGAUGUAAGAUCUACACCCCUUUUUGGGGUGUACAAGAAGCAUUUUCUAAAAAAAUAUAUAACUUGUUUCAUUCGUAAUAAUACCAUCUUUGUAAAAAUAUUUAUACAGUUCUUGUAAAUAUAAAUUUAUAAAAAUAAAUAAUUUGGCUAAAUUUUGAAAUUAGAGUAACCCUGACCUACUCAAAUCAAAUAUAUUAAAAGAUUAGAUUGUAAAAAUUAGAAUUUUAUAAGAUUAAAUAGUCAAUUCAAAAUAAUUCAUGGUUAAAAUAAAUUUUGUAUGAUUUUAUCUUUUUUUUUAUUUUAAUGGAAAGGAGUUGUAAGGUCAAAAUGCUUAGAUUAGAUAGGGAUCGUAACGAGGACGGCAGAUGUGGACCGUCAGAUCUUAAAACAAGUUACAUGUAACUAAGAUUUUUAGGAUCCAAAACGUGUUCUUUUAUGAACAUUUGCGCUCUCUUCUUCGUACUGGGGAUGUCAAUGAAUACAGAUAUCUGAAAUUUUAUUUGAAUCCAAACUCAAAUGAAGCGGAUUUAUUUGAUACUAAAUGGAUAUUAAUUUUUAGAUAUGGAAUUUUUAUUGUACCCAAAUGAAUCCGAACCCGACCCGAACUUGUAAAUAAUUUAUAUUAUAUAAUAUAUAUNUAUAUAUAUAUAUAUAUAUAUAUAUAUAUAUAUAAAUAUUUGAUGUUAUAUUUGAAUUUAUAUUUUAAAUAUUUAGAUUUAAUGUAAUAUGUUUUGAAAUUGUAAAGAGAAAUAAUUAUUUUGUAUUCGAAUUUUCGGGUUCGGAUUUCGAAUUUUUAGUCGGGCUCGGAUUUGAAUAUGGAUUUUUAAAAUCCGUCUGAUUCAGAUUUGGGUUCGAAUUUUGGGUUUCGGAUUUAGUAGUUAGAUUCGAAUUUUUAAAAAUUUACCCCGAAUCCGACGCAUUAACAUCCCCACUUUUUAUUGGUACUGUACUCUGAUAUAGUUUUGUUUCGUAAAAAGAUCAUUUGCAUGUUGUUGAUAUAUUAGUAAAUUUAUGCAUUAGUUUAGACUCAGUGCAUGAAUUUUUUAUAAUUUUACAUAUUAUGGGCGCUAAUUUAUUAACAACUUAGAAGGUUAAUAUGCGCAAUAAUCCGUAUACUUGAUGAUAUUGUAACUUGAUUAUUUUAAAUUUUUUUUACUUUUAUAUUUUAAUUAUUGAAUUUUUAGGUACUGUGAUAUUAGCAGUUUUGAAAUUUAUAUUGACAGAUAUAUUCACUGAAUUUAGUCAUUAAUAGAUUCAUUAAAUAUCAUAUGCACAUCGCAAAUUUAAUAUUUUAUUAUACUAUAUUAUAUAUUAUAAUUUUUGACUUUUUAGAAAAUUUUACUUUUAAUUUGAAAUAUUUUGCUAUCUUGUUUAACAAAUGUGUCAUUUUAAUAGUACACAGUACGAUCAUUACGAAGAAAAUUUAACUUUUUAAUUUUUUUUUGGUACUUGAAAAUCAAGAAUUCGAACAGUAGUCAUUAAUAUAUGAAAAUUUAAAAAUUAUUCUAUAAAGUACAAAAAAAAAAGAAAAAGAAGAAGGGUUGAGGUACAAUAUUGGGAUAGGUCAAGGACUAUUCAUGCAUUUUAAAUCGUAAAAUAUCAAUGUAAAAAGAGGGGAGGGGGAAACGUGGUUUAUAUACGGGGGAAUCGUUUCCCUUGGGGAUUACUUUUCUUAGGACAAAAAUACCCUUCAACUUCGGUGGUAUUUACGAGAAUGUAUACGGAGGGGACAUGGGCUCGGAGGGGUAGGUCGGGUCAUUGGGCGGGACGAUGGCGUCAUGCUUACAGCUGGUGAGCAUCAACGCCUCCGUAGGAGCAGUGAAAUGACGGGUUUGCCCUUACGGCUUUACCGAUAUUACGUGCAUGCCCUUAUUCAGGUACCAUUGUACCAUUGCCCUUUCCAUUGUGUUAUCAUUUAUUAAAAGAAAGGGACGGAUCGGGUAAAAUUUAAAAAUAAAUUUAAGAGUAAAAACUAUAAAAUACUUUUUUAAAAAAUUUGAGGCUCAUAAUUAUUGUAUUAGAUUUUUUAGGAAAAACUUCAGAUACCACCCUGCCAUUUCGCACUUUCUUACUGUAGUAUCCUGUGGUUUAAAGUGUUUCAAGUUAGUAUCCUGUAGUUUUGCAUUUUCUCACUUUAGUACCUUAUGGUUUAAAGUGUAUUAAGCUAGUGCUCUGUGAUUUUAUUUUUAUUUUUUGUAUCAAGUUAGUAUCCUGUGGUUUCAUUUUUAUCUUUUUAUUAUUCAUUUCAGAGUUUUUUUUUCGUUAAAUCAGUGACAAAGUUAAAACUAAAGGGCACUAAAAUGAAUAUUCGAUAAACCUAGAUAGAAUAUAUGAAGUUUUUUAUAUAUAAUUUAUCGAAAUAUUAAACCACAUGAUACUAAAGUGAGAAAGUGCGAAAUUACAAAGUACUAACUUGAUACACUUAAACCGCAUGAUAUUAAAGUGAGAAAGUGCGAAACCACAUAGUACUAAUUUGAUACAUUUUAAACUAUAGGAUAUUAAAGUGAGAAAGUGCGAAACCACGGGUAGUAUUUUAAGUUUUACUAAUUUUUUAAAAUAUAACUUUUUUUGAUAAAAUUUUGCAUUGUCCAACAAUAAAGGCUUAAUUCAGAAAUGUAUUCUUCAAAACGUGCGUGUUGCAUUGUCUCCUUUUUAAAAAAAAAAUCAAAUUGACGAUUUAGUAUAUUUUAAAUAAUUAAAAUUAAAAUAUAUAAUUUUUUUAAAUUAUAUUAAAAUUUAUAAAACAAAUGCAAAAUAAAUGGUUAAAAUCAAAAAGCCAGAGCUAUUGAUUGCUCUUGAUCUAAAUAGUGAGCUUAUACACAGUUAAACUAAGAAGCACAAUAUUGUUUAUUGUUAAAAUUAUCAAUUUUGAAGCUUUUUUAUUGCACCGUAUAUGCGGUCAAAAAUUACAAAAUUUAAUUUUUAAAAUAUUUAAAUGCUCUCAAGUAGGGUAAAUUUAUGUUUAAUAAAAAAAAUUAAAUAUUUUAAAUUUUGUUCAAAACAUUGUAUGCCGUCGAUUCGAAAGCUUUAUAAUUAAAAAAGACUGAUAAAUAUAAAGACGAUCGUAUUGAUAAUAUAAACUAAUUAUGAUUUUAUAUAAUCAAUUGGUGUCCGCUGCACGGGAGCGAGGAGCAAAGUUGAGAAUGCAAUUGCAAAUUGUAGAAAAAUUAAAAGACUAAAAUGCUUAAGGCUUCAUUUGGUAUUGAGUUCUAUCUGAUAUUAUUAGAUAAAAUGAAGUUAAGAUAAAAGUAUAUAGAAAUAUACUUCUACGUUCUUCGAUAGGAUCGUAAAAAAUAUAUCAUAACUGACUCAUCGCGAAAUGCGAAACGUAAUAUUAUGUACGUAAAUAAAUAUAAUAUUUUUUUCAUCAUACUUUUUUACUGCACGUAACACAAUCUCUUCGCAAUUUCAAAUGAAAUCUAAGUAAAAGGUUUAAAAAGCUAAUUUGGAUUGCAUAAAAAUUUAUGGAUUUAUUCAUGCACUUCACUAAAACUCAUUUUCGCUUUUUUUUAAAAUUAUUAUUGCAAUGGUCAUUGGAAUUGAAUGGUUACAGGAGAAGUUCGAACAAUAAAUUUUGAUUACAUACAAUUCGGUCGCUUAAAGCAUACACAUACAAUGUUCAAUAACUAUUAUUGUGACUAAGGUCAAUCUGAUUUUUGUCACCUGAUAUCAUUUUGUGAAUCAUUAAUGCUAAUUAUUACUCCAAAUACAUAAGCUAAUAACAUAUACAAGUGUAAUUCUCACAUGUUUUAUAAUCCUAUCCAACAAGUAAUAUGAAAAAAAAUAAUAAUAACAUUUUAUUUUCUCUCCAUAUAUUAUAUUAUAUUAUAUAUGUGUCGCAUGUCAUUUGUGUUUUAUUCCGACACAGUUUGGGAAGAAGAUGCCAAAAUUGCCGCCCCCGAAUUGAUUUCCAAUAGUUUUUUCUUUUUCUUUUUUUCUUGAGCACAAGCCAAGUAGCUACAAUCUAAAAUAAACUUUAAAAUUAGAGCAUUUUUGUUUUUUCAUUCAAUGUUGUAAACAUCAAAAUAAACUUUUGAAUUCCAAAAUUCCAUAUUUUUGAAAUUUAAGGCAAUUAAAAAAAUCUGAAAAAAAAAGUUGUUUUUUUUUUAGAAUACUGAAAAAAAAAAGUUGUUGGAGCUGUUAUGAACGGAUCUAGACUAUAUGCGCGCUUUAUUUUCUCUCCAUAUAUUAUAUUAUAUUAUAUUAUAUGAAUUGAGCUCCUAUGCUUUUAAAAGUAUCAAAUUGUUGAUGCUUGUAGAUUUUUAGCGAUUGGAUUAAGAGAUAUGCGGUUAGGAUGAUGUGGAUUCCCUAGGGUUGAGUGGGUGAUUGGUUGAAUAGUAUAAUCUAAUGGUUAAAAAUGAUCCGAGGAGUAGAUCUAACAGUAAAAACUUACAAGCACUAAGUGCUUGGUGCUUUUACAAACACUAUAGCUGGACUCUAUAUUAUGUAUGUGUCGCAUGUCAUUUGUGUUUUAGGAGGUGUUUGGCCUAAUUUUUAAAAAGCACUUUUGGGUUGAAAAGUAAUUUGGUAAGAAUAUGCCAAAAUUGCCGCCUCUGAAUUGAUUUCCAGUAGUUUCUUUUUUUUUUUUUUUUAAUUUGAACACAAGCCAAGUAGCUACAAUCUAAAAUAAACUUCAAAAUUAGAGCAUUUUUGUUUUUUCAUUCAAUGUUGUAAACAUCAAAAUAAACUUUUGAAUUCCAAAAUUUCAUAUUUUUGAAAUUUAAGGCAAUUAAAAAAAUCUGAAAAAAAAAAAGUUGUUGGAGCUGUUAUGAAUGGAUCUAGACUUUAUGCGCGCUUUAAAUAUAUUUUGAUCCGUGACGACAAAAUAGAGCGACACGCAUUUGUGCGCGUGUGCGAGUGCGCACGUGUCUGAGAGAGCUCUAAAAUCCAACUUUAGCACUUUUUUUCUUUUUUCGCCUACUGGCUGAAUUUUAGCAGCAUUUCAACUUAUAGAAUGUUUAAUACAAUUUAAAUUUGAGUGCGUCCAGUAUGCUUCGGUAGUACAGAGCGCUCCGUGCUUUCAAGUUAUUUUUAAUAUUUAGACUUUCGAAUCGACGAUCGGCUCUGUUAGACUUGAUCUAGAGUAUUUAAAAUAUCUAGAAAAUAAAUUUUACGAUUUUUUGAUAUCAUUUGCUUAGUGAUCGAAGUGGCUCAAAAUCAACGGCUGAAAAUAAAAAUCUUAUAAAAUAUGUUGAUAUGACAUUAAAAUUUUAGAUCAAAGUUAUUGAUCUUAUUUUAUAUGAUAUAAAAAAUUUUCUAUCAAAAUUUCAUAUGAUUUGGAUAUUUCUACACCGUUAAACUUGCAAACGGCUCACCACGGCCAUUAAAAUUAUUGAUUUUGAGCCCCUUCGAUCACUAGGCAAAUAAUAUCGAAAAAUCACAAAAUUUAUUUUCUAGGUACUUCAAAUACUCUAGAUCAACUCUAACGGAGCCGAUCAUCGAUUCGAAAGUCCGAAUAUCGAAAAUAAUUUAGAAGUAUGGAGGGCUCCGUACUUCCAUAAGCAUAUCAGCCCAUUCUUUAAAUUUUGCCCCUUAUGAUCUGCUGACACCUCACAUCACCUUUUGGUUUCGGAGAGCUCAUUAAAUCUUAAUAUUUUAGAGGUUUAAUUCAUAUUUUUCUAUUAAGUAAUUACGAAAAGAGUAAUCUUUUGAGUAAACAAAAAAAAAAUUCUUCAAAAUUGUUAAUUUUUUUUUUUUUCUAUAUGGCACUUAAAUUUGAUAUCAUCAAAUUUUAAAAUUCAAUUGCUACUCAACUCUAUAAGAAGGAUUUUUUGAGUUAGCCAAAAAAAAAAAAAAAAAAGCUCUUAAUUCAAAAUACAUUAAAAAACCAUUUUUUUCAUUAAAAAGAAAGGGAGUAUUGGAUUUUUUUUUUUUUUUUGAUGAACCGCAACGGAGCCCCCAAGGGCAAAAAUGUAAAAUCAAAAUGAUGUCCCAUGAAUAACGUGAUGAGCUUUUUUGGCCACUGACGUUUAAAAAAGAAAAAAAAAACUUUUGGUUUCCGUAGGGGGCAGGGAAACCCUUUUUUAAUUUUUUUUUUUUUUUUUUACAAAGUAAAAGAUGAAAUAAUAAAUUAGGAAAAAUCUACGGGGCAAAAAGCAAAAGAGAUCUCUUACACAAGUUACUCAAUUUUGCUUUCCCAUGCAAGUUACGUAUGAAGAGAUAUUUAAUAUUUUUUCAGUUGCGGCUGAAUUUUUUAGAAUUUUUUUCUAAUUAUUUUCUAAUGUAAAACAUAAGAUAAUUAGAAGUUAGGGAUGUUAAUACUUAUGGAUAUUCGAAAUUUUAUCCGAAUCCGAAUCGAAACGGAAUGGAUUUAUUCGAUGCUAAUUAAACAAAUAUAGUUUCAGAUAUAGAUAUCAAAAAUAAAAAUCCGAUGAAAAUAAAUUCGAAUAUGAAUUUUGACUGUACCUAACCCGAUCCGAACCUAACCCAAAUUCGACCCGAACCCGAAUUUAUUUUACAUUAUAUAUAAUAUGUAUAUAAAAAUUUGAUGUUAUAUUUGAAUUUAUAUUUUAAAAUUUUAGAUUUAAUAUAAUAUAUUUUGAAAUAUUGAAAAGAAAAAUAAUUAUUUUGAGUUUCAAAUUUUUGGUCGGGUUCAGGUUUGGAUAGGAAUUUUUAAAAUCCGAUAGAUUCGGAUUUGGAUUCGGAUUUUGGAUUUGAAUUCAGGUUCAGGUUCGGGUUUGAAUCCGACCCGUUUGACAUUUCUAUUAGAAGCUUCUAAUUAUAGCUUUAUUUUAAAGUUUUAGAAACCAAAUUUAACUCUAAAACUCGGUUACUUUUUCUCUUCCCUUUUUAUUCAUUCUUUAUUUUUUAUAAACACAAAUUUCAUGCUCUGAUGAAGUAAAGUGGCCAAAUUUCAUUAUUUACAAAUUUUAUUACGCAUUUUUUUAUUUAUUAAUAAGAAGAGGUCAAUACUUUUGUGUAAUUAUUAUAUAAAAUAUACAAUUAAAAAUUAGAAAAUAAUAAUGAUGAUAACAAUGUCAAAUAAGACUUAGUUUUUUUUUUUUUUUUCCUUUGUUAAUGAAAUAAUUGUUCUACUUCUCACUCUAAAACACUCUCUCUCUCUCUCUCUCUCUUUUUUGAGAGAUAGGUAGCAACUCUCUCUCUCUUUUAAACCUUAUAAAACAAGGUGAUUUUUAUGUGGUUAUUUAUGUUAUCUAAUUUCUCCCUUUUUUUUUUAUUUUUUCUGGUCAAAGAGGUUUGCGUGUGGGAGUUGAGGAAGGUUUUGUACUUUGUAGGAGAGUGAGAGAAAGAGAGGAGAGAGAGAUAGAGAGAGAGAGAGAGAGAGAGAGAGGAUAUGUCGAAAGGUACAAUAAUUGUGCUUUUGAUGAGUAGGUCUCUUUUAUUUUUGGUAAAAAUGUAUGGAGAUCCUCUCACCUAUAAGUAGCUAUGAAAGAGACCUCCCAAAAUAAAAUUUUCUUUCAUAAACAAAAAUAAAAAAUAAUACUUUAAAUAUCACUAAUGUAGUUCAUACUUUUUUUACUUUAGUAUUCUAUAAUUUAAAGUGUACCAUAUUGAAGCAUCAAAUCAAACCACAUUGAGCCAGUUCAACCAACUUAUUAAAUCAAAAUCAAUUCGGAAUCAAGAGGACAACCGAACCACACCAAAUGAUCCAACUGCACCAAUCACAACUUGAUAGUUUUCGAAUUUAUAAAUUUGUAUUCUUGAGAGUGUAUGGUUGUAACCUCCUCCGCAAUAUAGGAGUAACCUCCUCCACAAUAAGUGUGAGAAGUUCUCCUUUAUGUGUAUAAGUUUCUCAAUCGGACAUUAAUGAAGUGUGUAAGCUUCCAAUUUUUUUAUGGUAUCAGAGCCACGCUAAGGCACCAAAGAUCUUAAAAAAAAAAAUUGGCAUCCUUAGCUAACCCGAAAUUUUCCUUUCCCUCCACCAUUAAUGUGGCAAAUUUCGUCACAUUGAAGCUCAAUGACAACAACUAUCUGCUCUGGGAAACACAAGUAGUGUCACUGAUCGAAAGUCAGGACUUACUUGGUUUCCUCAUGGGGGAGACUAUCGCACCACCUAAGAUGUCGACUUCAGAAAGUGGAGCCACCGUCAACAACCCAGACUACACAUCUUGGGUACGGACCGAUCGCCUUGUGAAAUCAUGGAUCGUGGGCACUCUCUCCGAAGAGGUUCUCGGCCAUGCCGUCGGUCUUCAAACUGCAGCUGAAGUGUGGACAGCAUUAACCAACCACUUCAAGCAGAGCUCGAUCGCCCGUGAAUUCGACCUACUCGCACAGCUGCAACACAUCAGGAAAUGAAAUAAUCCUUUACCUACUUACCUUCGUAAUUUUAAAUCAAUUUGUGAUCAACUGCAUGCUAUUGGCAAACCUGUUUCGGAUUCUACCAAAGUUUUCAGGUUAUUAGAAGGGCUCGAUGAAAGCUAUGAGCCAUUCAAGACGACUAUGUUCCGACCUCCUAUUCCGCUAUAUACAGAGGUGGUUCCCCAACUCCAAAGCUAUGAAUUACGAAUCAAGCGACACUCAAGCCCAGCUCCUGAUGUGUCUAUGGCUUUUGUGUCACAACGGGGACGCGGAAGCAACCGGCACAGAGGCCGAGGUAGAGGCCAUAACUUCAACUCUCGAGGCCGGGGUUUUCCUCAGACGACCCAAGGUGGCAGAUCAGAGGGCUAUCAAUCUACUCCGCCGCCUGGGGCUGAUCGUGCAGCCUUGACUUCCUCUACUGGCAACAAUCCUCUCACUUGUCAAAUUUGUAAAAAGCGAGGCCAUGAUGCUCUGCGAUGCUGGUUUCGAUUCGAUAACAGCUAUCAAAGUGACGACAUUCCCCGUGGUCUAGCUGCUCUCUAUAUCACUGAUGUGCAUGAUGAUGAAUGGCAUCCCGACACUGGUGCCAAUGCUCAUAUCACAGAUAAGCCAGGUAACCUUACUAACUUGGUUCCUUAUUCUGGAUCUGAUAGUGUGAUGGUAGGAGAUGGAACUUCCCUACCGAUUACUCAUGUGGGUACGGGCUCUUUUGGUAAUGGUAUUCAUCGCUUUUCGCUUUCUAAUGUCCUGGUUGUCCCGCAAAUGAAGAAAAAUCUUCUCUCUGUUUCCAAAUUGACCACAGAUCAUCCCUGUUAUUUUAAAUUUGAUGCAUCUGGUUUUUCUAUUAAGGAUUCCAAGACACACCAAGUACUAAUGACGGGAAAUAAUCAUCAAGGGUUGUACACCAAUAAAGAUCCGCAGCUUGCAGCUUUCUUCUCUCAGCGAAAUAAGGCGACCGAUGAACUCACUUGGCAUCGUCGAUUGGGCCAUCCGAAUAGCCAAAUCUUGCAGCAUUUGCGGAGUAAUAAUUUAAUUUCAGUAGCUAAGUCUUCUGGCACUUUGUGUACAAGCUGUCAGAUCAGCAAAAGUUCAAAAUUACCAUUCUAUAUAUCUAAUUCUCGAUGUUCUUUUCCUUUGAAUAAAUUACAUUGUGAUAUUUGGGGACCAGCGCCGGUAUCUUCAAUGCAACAGUUUCGAUAUUACGUAGUAUUUAUUGAUGAUUUUUCUCGUUACUGUUGGUUAUAUCCAUUGAAGCGCAAAUCAGAUUUUUUGGAUAUUUUUCUCACCUUUCAAAAAUUGGUUGAAAAUCAAUUUGAAAGAAAAAUUAAAAUUUUUCAAUCGGAUGGCGGGGGUGAAUUCAUUAGUAAUGCCUUUCUUUCUCAUCUUCGCAAUUGCGGCAUCCAACACCAACUUUCAUGUCCGAGCACACCAGAACAGAAUGGUGUUGCAGAAAGGAAGCAUCGCCACAUUGUGGAACUUGGACUCGCUGCACUAUUUGAGGCCUCAAUGCCCUACUGCUACUGGGUGGAGGCAUUCACCACUAUUAAUUAUUUGAUCAAUCGGCUUCCGUCUGCAGCACUAGGCAAGAAAAGUCCAUAUUCAGUUCUUUUCAAAAAGGAUCCCGACUAUUCACAUCUUCGUACUUUUGGAUCUUGUUGCUUUCCAUAUCUUCGCAGUUAUAUGGUGAAUAAAUUCGACAAACGAUCAUUGCCUUGUGUCUUUUUAGGCUACAGUGAGAAACACAAGGGUUAUCGCUGUCUUCAUCGAUCUACCGGUCGUAUCUAUAUUUCUCGACAUGUUAUUUUUGAUGAACAUUACUUUCCAUUUGCUACUUCCUCUCAGAUCGCUGCUACUUCUAUCGGGGAUCUCUUGCAUUGGGGCUCCACUCUCGGCUCUACUGACUCUACUCAAUCUAGCCGAACUUCUCUAUUUGAUUCAACUGACUCAAGAGAAGUUGCUCGAUUAUUCUCCGAUGAGGUUGCAACUACUACUUCAACAAACUUGCAACCUACUGAUCCUCCCAGCUCUUCGUCUAUGCCUCCAGUCGAUGCCGCACCACCUGCGACAGAAGUGGCCACUCCCUCUAUGCAUCCUAUGGUGACCCGCUCCAAGAUCGGAAUUUUCAAGCCUAACCCACGGUAUGCUAAUCUUGCCCUAUCAUCAAUUCCUCUCGAACCGCACACUGUCCAAUCGGCUCUUAAGCACUCUGGGUGGACAGCAGUGAUGCGUGAGGAAUUGGACGCUCUUGCAACAAAUAGAACAUGGCAGCUUGUUCCACGGUGUCCCUCGAUGAAUGUCAUCGGAUGUAAAUGGGUCUUCAAGACAAAACUCCAUGCGGAUGGGUCACUAGAUCGACUUAAAGCCCGCCUUGUGGCCAAGGGCUUCCAUCAGGAGGAGGGGGUCGACUUUCUUGAGACAUUCAGUCCGGUCGUAAAGCCGGGUACUAUUCGUAUCGUACUCACUAUAGCUACUGUUCGACAUUGGCCGAUUCGUCAAUUGGACGUUAAAAACGCUUUCUUACAUGGCGACCUCGUAGUACCGGUUUAUAUGGAGCAACCACCUGGUUUUCGUGACCCGACUUAUCCCGAUCAUGUGUGUUUACUUCGGCGCGCACUGUAUGGGCUCAAGCAAGCUCCUCGGGCAUGGUUCGACAAAUUCAGUGACUUUCUGAUUGGUUAUGGGUUCGUUUGUAGUAUCUUCGAUCCAUCAUUAUUUAUCUAUCGUCAUGACAAUCAUACUAUUAUUCUACUUCUCUAUGUGGAUGAUAUUGUUCUCACAGGUGACUCGCACCAACUUUUAGAUCGACUUAUUUUUGCUCUUGGUCAGGUUUUUCCUAUGAAAGAUUUGGGUCCUCUACAUUUCUUCUUGGGGAUUGAAGUACACCGCUCUUCAAAUGGUUUAUUUCUCUCACAACAAAAAUACGCUUCUGAUAUCUUAACUCGGGCUUCUAUGGAGCAAUGCAAGCCCAUUGCCACCCCUAUGACCUCUAAACCACCUCCACUUAAGGAAGGAGACAAACUAUAUAGUGACCCCUCGCACUAUCGAAGCGUUGUCGGUGCUCUUCAAUAUCUCACCAUUACUCGCCCGGAUCUCUCACUCGCGGUCAAUGUCGCCUGUCAGCAUAUGCAUGCUCCUACUAAUGCCAAUUACCAAUUAGUAAAGCGUAUACUCCGAUAUUUACGGGGAAGUCUACAUCUAGGGCUUCGCAUCCUAGCUCGUAGCUUGCUGGACUUAUUCGCCUUUGCUGAUGCGGACUGGGCAGGAUGCAAACUUACGCGUCGAUCUACUACAGGUUAUUGUUCUUUUCUUGAUUCUAAUUGUAUUUCUUGGUGCGCAAAGAAGCAGCCUACUGUGUCUCGAUCCACGGCCGAGGCCGAAUACCGGGCCCUCGCCUCAGCAGCUGCUGAACUCACGUGGAUCUCGCAUAUUUUACGUGAUAUUGGCAUUUCUCAACCUCGGCCUUCCCUACUUUUUUCCGACAACAUAUCUGCUUUGCAUCUCACAACUAAUCCAGUCUUUCAUGCUCGAACCAAGCAUAUUGAGAUCGACUAUCACUUUGUGCGGGAAAAGGUUGCCCUCGGUUCUAUUAUCACUCGUUACGUUCCAUCCUCUUUACAACUUGCUGAUAUUUUUACCAAACCAUUGACUCGGGACAGCUUUGUUGGUCUUAGAUCCAAACUCGGUCUCUGGUUAUCACCAAUGCCCAGUUUGCGAGGGAGUAUUGAAGCAUCAAAUCAAACCACAUUGAGCCAGUUCAACCAACUUACUAAAUCAAAAUCAAUUCGGAAUCAAGAGGACAACCGAACCACACCAAAUGAUCCAACUGCACCAAUCACAACUUGAUAGUUUUCGAAUUUAUAAAUUUGUAUUCUUGAGAGUGUAUGGUUGUAACCUCCUCCACAAUAUAGGAGUAACCUCCUCCACAAUAAGUGUGAGAAGUUCUCCUUUAUGUGUAUAAGUUUCUCAAUCGGACAUUAAUGAAGUGUGUAAGCUUCCAAUUUCUUUAUACCAAUUUAGUAUCCUGUAGUUUCGCACUUUUUUACUUUACUUUCUUAUGAUUUAAAGUGCAUCAAUUUAGUACCAUGUGGUUUCAAUUUUUCUCUUUCGUUGGUUUGUCUGUUAAUAUUUUGUUAAAUUAUAUACAAAAAAUUCAGAUACACUAUCUAGGUUUAUCAAAUAGUUACUUUAGUACCCUAUAGUUUUAACUUUGUUACUAUUUUUUUUCCCUCCGUUAAUAUUUCGUUAAAUUACAUACAAAAAACUUCAGAUACUCUACCUAUAUUUAUUGAAUAUUCACUUUCAUAUUCUUUAGUAUUAACUUUGUCACUAAUUUAACAAAAAAAAUUAGUGAAAUGGAUAAUAAAAAAAGUAAAAUGAAACCACAUGAUACUAAUUUGAUACACUUUAAAUCACAGAGUACAAAAGUGAGAACGUGCGAAACCACAGGGCUAACUUUAUACACUUUAAAUCACAGAGUACUAAAGUGAGGAAGUGUGAAAUUAUAAGGGGUUAUUUGAUUGAAUUUUAUCCUAAUAAAAAACUUAUUUGUUCCUGCAUUAUUUACUAUAUUUUUUUAACUUUACCGCUUCAUCUUAUAAAAUAUUCAAAAUGAUAAGAUAAUAACUCACAGUAGUAUAGUUUGUAAAAAUAUAUAUCUAUUGACUAGUUUAUCUAAUUACAAUUUCUCACGGAAAACAAACCAUAGGUUAAAUUGAACUUUACUUUUUCUUUUAUUGCGAUCACUCAAAUUGAUUGCAAAGAAAUUACGAGUUAAAGGCCGUGAAUUUAAGGGGUGUGAAUCAAAACAAAAAUUAAAAUUUAUGGGUCAAUUUCAGAGUCGUCUAUAGUGGAAAGCUCUCUACAAACUUUUACUUUUCUUUGCUUCAUCUUAUACAAUACACAUAUACAAUUCCCUUGCUUGUUUUGUUUGGUGUUUCUUUCUUUUAUAUAUAUAUAUAUAUAUAUAUAUAUAUAGUCGGCUGGUAUGCUUAUGAAAGCACGGAGCCCUCCGUACUUUCAAGUUGUUUUCGAUGUUCGGACUUUCGAAUUGACGAUCGGCUCUGUUAGAGUUGAUCUAAAGUAUUUGAAGUACCUAGAAAAUAAAUUUUAUGAUUUUUCGAUAUCAUUUGCCUAGUCAUCGAAGGGACUCAAAAUCAAUAAUUUUAAUGACCGUGGUGAGCCGGUUGUAAGUUUAACGGUGUACAAAUAUCCAAAUCACAUAAAAUUUUGAUACAAAAUUCUUUAUACCAUAUAAAAUAAGAUCAAUAACUUUGAUAUAAAAUUUUAAUGUCAUAUCAUCAUAUUUUGUAAGAUUUUUAUUUUCAGUCGUUGAUUUUGAGCCACUUCGAUCACUAGGCAAAUGAUAUCGAAAAAUCGCAAAAUUUAUUUUCUAGAUACUUCAAAUAGCUCUUUAAUCAAGUCAAAUGAGCUUCUGGGGAUUUGUUCUCUCGUAUUCGAAGUCAUCAAACAAUCGAAAACAAAGUGGGCACGGAGCCUCUUGUGCUUCCGAUACGAAUCCUAGGUCGCGAGCACUCUCUCCUCUCUCUCUCUCUCUCUCUCUCUCUCUCUCUCUCUCUCUUCUAUUAUAUAUAUAUACGUAUAUAAUAGAGUUGGACGGCUACUAUGUAGUUGCAAAUCAUUGUUCCUACAAUUGUUUAGCCUUUGAAUCAACACUUUCAUUUAUUUCUCAAACCAUUGGGAUUACUACUAUAAAACCCGAGUAGCGCACCACUCAACCUGGGGGGACCACCUAACUCUAACGAAUAUCAUCCCUGACUCUACAAUUAUUAUUCAAGUUAAAAACUUGAUAGCAACAAAAACGUUUUUACUUAUUAAUAGUAUUCCGCAUUCUAUAAUAUUAUAUAUUAGUAUAUAUACUAUAUAUAUAUAUAUAUAUACCAUGAUACUAUCAUUAGUUAUAUUAUAUAAAACUAGCUACAUACUUAUCGAUAGCCGGGAGCGGCUCCGCUGCUACCAAGUUGUUCGAUGGAAUGCGGUUCACAAAUCGGUGACGAUCAAGCUCGUGACGGUUGACUCUACACUAUUGAAAGUAUUUAGAAACUAAAUUUCAUAAUUUUUCGAUAUCAUUUACCUAUCAAACAAGUAGUCUAAAAUUGAACGGCUGAAAAUAAAAAUCUCAUAAAAAAUGAUGAUAAAAGAUUUAAAUUCAAGAUCAGAUAUACUGAUCUUACUCUAAAUAGUAAAAAAAAUUUUCUAUAAAAUUUUCAUCGCAUUUGGAUUGUUUUACACCGUUAAACUCACAAACACACCACAUCGGCCAUGAAAAUUAUUAAUUUUAAGAUCUUUUGAUCACUAGUCAAAUGAUGUCGAAAAAAUCUGAAAUUUAGUUUCCAAAUACUUUCAAUAGUGUAGAUCAAGUCUAACGGAGCCGAUCGUCGAUUUGGAAGCCGCAUCAUCGAAAACAACUUGGUAGCACGGAGCGCUCCGUGCUACCGAUAGCAUAGUAGUCGGACUCUAUAUAUAUAUAAAUAUAUAUGAGUGAGGCUAGAGAUGUCAACAGAUCGGAUUCGGGGUAGAUUUUUAAAAACCCGAACCUGAGUCCAAACCUGAGACUCGAACCCGAACCCGACGGAUUUUAAAAAUCCAUAUCCAAACCUGAACCCGACCAAAAAUCAGAAAUCCGAACCCGAACCCGAACCCGAAAAUUUGAAUCCGAAACAAUUAUUUCUUUUUUCAAUAUUUCAAAAUAUAUAAUAUUAAAUCUAAAUUUUUAAAAUACAAAUUCAAAUAUAACAUCAAAUUUUUAUAUAUAUAUAUAUUAUAUAUAAUGCAAAAUAAAUUCGGGUUCGGAUCUGGUUCGGGUUCGGGUCGGGUACAAUCAAAAUCCAUACCCGAAUCCAUAUCCGUUGGGUUUCUAUUUUCGAUAUCCAUAUCCGAAUCCAUAUCUAUAUCCAUCGGAUAUAUCCAUUUUAUUUGGGUUCGGGUUCGGAUAAAAUUUCGGGUAUUCAUACCCAUUGACAUCCUAAGUGAGAUUACUAUGCUUUUGGAAGUACAGAGCCUUUCGUACUUUCAAGUCGUUUUUGAUGUUGCGACUUUCGAAUCGUCGAUCGGCUCUAUUAAACUUGAUCUAGAGUAUUUGAAGUACUUAGAAAAUAAAUUUUGCGAUUUUUCGAUAUCAUUUGCCUAGUGAUCGAAGGGGCUCAAAAUCAAUAAUUUUAAAGGCCGUUGUGAGCCGUUUGCAAGUUUAACGGCGUAGAAAUAUCCAAAUCACGUGAAAUUUUGAUAGAAAAUUCUUUAUACUAUAUAAAACAAGAUCAAUAUCUUUGAUCUAAAAUUUUAAUGUCAUAUUAUCAUGUUUUGUAAGAUUUUUAUUUUCAGCCGUUGAUUUUGAGCCCCUUAGUUCACUAGGCAAAUGAUAUCGAAAAAUUGCAAAAUUUAUUUUCUAGAUACUUCGAAUACUCUAUAUCAAGUUUAACGGAGUCAAUCGAUGAUUCGAAAGUCGCAACAUUGAAAACGACCUGGAAGCACGGAAGGCUCCGUGUUUCGAGAAGCAUAGUAGCCUUUCUCUCUCUCUCUCUCUCUCUCUCUCUCUCUAUCUCUCUCUCUCUCUCUCUAUAUAUAUAUAUAUAGUGUGGAGUUACUGUGUUAUCGGAAGUAUAAAAUAGUUGGUGCUUCCGAUUUUUUAGUUCUUGGAUUAAAAAUUCUACGGUUGGAAUGAUGGCGGUCCUCUUAGGAUUGAGUGGUCCCCACUGGUUAAUAAUAUUAAUCCAAUUGUUAGAAAUGAUCAAUGAGGUUGAUCUAGGGGCUAAAAAAUCGGAAGCACCAACCACUUUAUGCCUCCGACAGUAUAGUAACCCUAUUCUAUAUAUAUAUAUAUAUAUAGAGUCCGGCUACUAUACUUUUAUGAGCAUUGGCUCCCUUAUACUCAUAAGUUUUCAGCCCUUAGAUUUAUUCCAUUGAUCAUUUCCACCGGUUAGAUCAUACUAUUUAACCAACUACCCACUCAACCCUAGGGGACCACUAUUAUUCUAAGUGGGGACCACCAUCAUCUUAACCACACAUCUUAUCAAUCAACGGUUAAAAAUUUAUGAGUACCAGGAGGUCUAUACUCAUAAAAGUAUAGUAGCCCCAGCCUAUAUAUAUAUAUAUUAUUUUUAUUAUUAUUUAUUUUAGAUAUUUAUUUUUUUUAUAUAUAUUAUAUAUUAUAUACUAAUAAAGGGGGAUUUAAACGAGUAGUGUGGAAAGAAGCAAAGGGGAA